rnacentral:lncRNA from 1 species
UCGACGCUGGUGCUGAUGGGGAAGGAGACGGACACGCCGCACUUGCCGGGGAUGCUGGCAGCGUUACCCAUGCUGAUGCCAUUGAAGUUCCCCGCCAGGUUCUUCAGGCAGCGGCACGCCGCCUGCCGGUCGGCCGCGGUGGACGCCUCGCCGUUCAGGGUCUUCACCCCGCCGCAGCACCCCGCAGACGGUGCCGUCGCUUGCCCCGUCGCGUACGACAUGCACGGCGCGAUGGCGGACGUCACGUCGCCGCAGGUCACGGCCCCAGACGCCAUCUCUGCCACCGACAGUGCCGCAAGCAGGGCGAACACGGCGAGCAGUGCCACGCGUGCCAUCGAGGAUCUAGUGCUUCGGCUUGCUUGCUAGCAACUUUGGAACUAGGAAGGAGCUGAGAGCUUAAGAAAGGUAGCUUGAAUAACUUGUGUGGUGGUGAUGGAAAUCCAUGGCCAUGGAGCAGGGGUAUAAAUAGCAAGCGGGCGAGAGAGAUGGCAAGAAUAAGAUAGGUGUUCUUGUAAGUUGUAACAUUGCACUGCAGGGUGGCGGACGGUAGUGAGUGCAUGCAUCGUACUCCCUCUGUGUCGGAUACACCUAUGGGAACCUCCGCGGACCCCUUGACCGUUCGGCGGGAAGAGGGGUGGCGUCAAGAACAGAGCUAGCGAUCAGCAUCGAAAACGUUUUUUUAUCCAAGUUCGAGUCGCUUAGUGCGUAAAAUUCUACUUCUGCUUUGUAUGUUGUAUUAGGCGUUCGCCGUAGGAUUACUUGCUACAGUGAUUUCCUACUGGGCAAUGUCCGAAGUGUCUAACCCCUUAGAACCGAGCCUUGGCCUCCUUUUAUAGAAAAAUGGAUCACCAACAGUGCUCAACAGUGGAUUCACGAGCUAUACAGUGAACAGGGUUCAUUGUUAUCCAUCUAUCGAGGUGUGAGGGUCAGUAAAUGCUUCGUCAGUCUCCUGACCUGCAUCAGGAUGGUAUCGACACCUACCCAGGUGUUUCGACACUUGGGUGUUGUGCUGACGCAUGAGGGAUGCACUGGCGCUGUGGUAGUCGGUGGCAUUGUAGAAGGAGGGAACACCUGGCAGGCGAAGGGGGCUUGCCGGGCUGGUGCCCUCGCGAGUGGCCUAGUCUGCCUUCCCGACAAGGAAAGAUUGCCGGGGCCUUGUCUAUCUUCCCGACAAGGAGGACUUGGGCCUUGGAUGCCUUCCCGGUAAAAAAGGCUUGCCGGGGCCUUGUAGCUUAGACUUGUUCCUCACACCCUUGGAGGGGUGUGGCCCUGGUGAGCUUGGGGAUUAAUCUUGCUGCCAGACUUCGUCGUGCCUUGCCGUCAAAGGGGUUGCUGGCGCCCGUGCAUAAAUCUGGGGCACAGGAGACUUCAAUCUUCAGUGCACCGACACUCUAUUUCUAAAUAUAAGUAUUUUUAAAGAUUUUACUGAAAUACAACAUAUAGAUGUAUAUAGAUAUAUUUUAGAAUAUAAAUUUAUUUAUUUUGAUCCGUAUAUAGUUCACUAAUAAAAUCUCUAAAAGACUUAUAUUUAUGAAUGGAGCGAGUAGUACGUAGCUAGUGAGGCAUGCAUAUGAUGCAAAAGCUUCUGCAUGCAAAUAAUUUCGAUGUGAUUUUCUUCCAAUCGAACCUGUGUGCGAGCUAGCACAGUGUGGUGUGCAGAUCUGGAAGAAGGGUGGGCCACUGGUAAGUAGGUGGACCGUCGUUAUCAACCACAAACACAAAAAAGGGACGGACAUUAACAUGAUCUGGAGUAAUUAUGUGUACGAUCGAUCUAUCCAUCUACCAUGACAUGCAUGCAUUGAGAAAAAGCAAAGCUAGGAUCUAUGACCAGUGAAGUGGGUAUUAAUUUCCACCGGCAAAUGUACUGAUCAGGCGGUGCAGAGUGAUCAAUGGCAGCAACAUGCGGUGCUUUAUUUCUUAACCCCAACCAAGUGGAGUGUAUAUCAAGCAUACUCCUACGACAGAAUAUCAUACACAUUUUUCGUGGAAACCAUUUUCAAACAUUUUAAAAAUAUAUAAAAAUUAUAUGGGAUGUAAGGGGGUGAUGUUCUAUUGCUAUGCGGAAUUCCAAGUUGCAAAACAUUACUGGAUGCGAGCUAUGAAGAAACAAAUUUAACAGUAAAUAGUGACGUUACAGUUCGGCACUAUUUAAUGUUGAUUUUGUUAUCUUAUACUCCUGCAUCCAGUAAUAUGUUUGAACUUGAAAUUUCACAUCCAGUAAUAUGUUUGAACUUGAAAUUCCACAUGUUAGUAGAACAUCAUCCUCUUGCAUCUUGUAUUUUCAUGAAAACUGCAAAACAUCGUUUCCGCAUUGUUUUUGUCGGUUUCCACCGGGUGUUAGUUUUCAUGGGAGAAUAUCACAUGAAAACCAACAUUCAAAGAGAAGUCCUUAGACACCACCUUUGAAGUUUUGAAAUAAUCUGUAAAAAUGGGAUGUUAAGAAGAUGUUCUAUUGCUAUGUGAAAUUCCAAGUUGAAAAACAUUUGAAGCUAAGUCUUGUUUUUAUUUUAAUUAAAUAGAAAAACUAGGAUCUAUUAUCUAUAUUUCCUUUUAAUUGUAGCAAAGGUAGGAUCUAUGAUUUAUAUUUUAUUUUGCUUAUAGAAAUACUCCCUAUCUAUCAAACAUGUGACGUGUUCGAUAUGUCUUAAGUUACUUAUCUAAAACUCUGAAUAUAAAUAUUGUUUCAAUUUUUUGAUUAUUUAGAACAAGUCAAUAACAUUAUGUUUAAAUUUGUCUUGAUAGGUAUAUUCAUAACAUAAUUUGAAUGAAUUCAAUUUUUUACCAGUUACUUCGGCAUUUUUACACUAAUUAGCCAUUCAGAACUUUUCAUCCAAACAAGAUGACCAUUUACAUCCUUGCCGCAGAAAACCUCCUUUGGGAGCUUAAGUUUCCCCUAAAGAUUACGAUUUUUCUCCGGCAAUGGGUGUGUGGGCGGAUCCCUUCAGGGACCGAGGUUCUGAAAUACAACGGCCCUAGUGAUGGGCUAUGUCCCCAGUGUGAGAUGCCGGAGGACACCAAUCACAUCUUCCUGCGAUGCCCUGUCGCAACCUUUCUAUGGGGAUGCCUCCUGGACGAUGUGGGUGGUAAUUGGUCGACCCCACUAGUGGAAAACGGGCCUUUGGCCGGGACCAUUUAGUCCCGGCCUGCCUUUGGGCCGGGACUAAAGGCCCGGCCACGUCGCCCCAAUUCUCAAUGCCUCCCUUGAGGCUUUAGUCCCGGCCCGUAAGGAGCCUUUAGUCCCGGUUCGUGUCCCAAACCGGGAUUAAAGGGCUACGCGGUGGGCAGUGGUGGUGGCAACCGUUCGUAUCCCCCUUUAGUCCCGGUUGGUGGCUCAACCCGGGACUAAAGGACUAACACGUGGCCUGCCAUAGUGGGGCGACCGUUGGUAUACCUCUUUAGUCCCGGUUGGUGGUUGAACCCGGGACUAAAAGCCUAACACGUGGCCUGCCGUAGUGGUGGCAACCGUUUGGUAUACCUCUUUAGUCCCGGUUGAUGGCUCAAACCGGGAUUAAAGGCCCAAACGGUUUGCAUCCCGCGUCGUUUCGGGCGAUGAAAAGCACGAACCGAAGCGUACAGUCGCCAUUUCUCUAUUCUUCUUCUCUCUCGCGUCGCCCUCUCUGUUCUUCUCCUCUCUUCUUCCCUUCUCUUCUUCCACCAUGCCAACUAGCUUUCAUGAGGUGGUCGCGCAUGGCACGACGAAGCUCCGUGUCGUGUACACGAACCUGAGCACGGAGGUGCCGUUUUUCCUUCAACAGUUGAAGGAACGAUGGUUUGACCACGCAGCGGAUCAUGAGAAGUUCUUCGGUCUUGAUCUGGAGUACACGGCCGAUCAACGCGGUGUUGCCGUCAUCCAAAUAUGCUUCGCAAGCCAUGUCUUGAUCUUCCAAUGGGCGAGGUAAGUUUUGAGGCUUUCUUUGAUCCAAGAUAAUGACAUUGUAUAAGUUUAUUUGUUUCUAUCAUAGUUGGUUCCCUUCAAAUAGUUGUAGUGAAACAAUUUUGAUUAGUUGAAGGGGAGCACAAUCUAAUUGGAAUAGUGUUCCAUAAUAUGAAAAAUCGUAUUAGAAUCAACUAGUGUUUAAUAUGUUCCAUUGGAAUCAUAGUUGGUUCCCUUCAAAUAGUUGUAGUGAAACAAUUUUGAUUAGUUCAAGGGGAGCACAAUCUAAUUGGAAUAGUUUUCCAUAAUCUGAAAAAUCGUAUUAGAAUCAACUAGUGUUUAAUAUGUUCCAUUGGAAUCAUAGUUGGUUCCCUUCAAAUAGUUGUAGUGAAACAAUUUUGAUUAGUUCAAGGGGAGCACAAUCUAAUUGGAAUAGUUUUCCAUAAUCUGAAAAAUCGUAUUAGAAUCAACUAGUGUUUAAUAUGUUCCAUUGGAAUCAUAGUUGGUUCCCUUCAAAUAGUUGUAGUGAAACAAUUUUGAUUAUUUGAAGGGGAGCACAAUCUGAUUGGAAUAGUUUUCCAUAAUCUGAAAAAUCGUAUUAGAAUGAACUAGUGUUUAAUAUGUUCCAUUGGAAUCAUAGUUGGUUCGCUUCAAAUAGUUGUAGUGAAACAAUUUUGAUUAGUUGAAGGGGAACACAAUCUGAUUGGAAUAGUGUUCCAUAAUCUGAAAAAUCGUAUUAGAAUGAACUAGUGUUUAAUAUGUUCCAUUGGAAUCAUAGUUGGUUCGCUUCAAAUAGUUGUAGUGAAACAAUUUUGAUUAGUUGAAGGGGAGCACAAUCUGAUUGGAAUACUGUUCCAUAAUCUAAAAAAUCGUAUUAGAAUGAACUAGUGUUUAAUAUGUUCCAUUGGAAUCAUAGUUGGUUCGCUUCAAAUAGUUGUAGUGAUCUCUCUAGGUUCCAUUGCAUAUGUUCUAUUUGAAUCCUAAAGAUAAGUUUCUCUUUAGUUGUAGUGAAACAUGUUUCCUUAUUGCAGCAGUAUGUAACAUUUGUUCCAUUUUAAUUUGUUUCAGUUGCAGGAGUGACAAGCAUUGUCCAGGACUCAUGGAGUUCCUUCGCAGCGGCUAACCUUUUGCUUCCGUUGACAUAAGGAACGACAGGCUCAAGAUGAGGCACAACUUCGGUAUUGAGAUACCAGCUGGUUGCCUCAUUGAUCUCCAAAUGAUAUUCAUGCUUCGACAUGACAGGACUUCGAUGGCUCAUAUGGCAGUUGCCUUGAUCGACGAGUCAUAUGGUGAUAUGAAGACCAGUUUCCCAAAGUAUCAGCACAAACUUUGGGAGAAGGGCCCACUUGAUGAUAUCAACAUUGAGUAUGCAGCAAAAGAUGCAUACGUUUCAUACGAGUUGUACCGCAAGAUUCGAGUCGUCAAUUAUGGCCAGCGUCACCUCGAGGAACGUGGACAUUCUGAUUUAGAUGAUUCAGACGAGUAGUGUUCUGAACGUCGAACACUUGUAUAUAUAUCUAUGGUAGCUAUUAUUAUGUACUGUUUGGGCUAGUAUCAUGUACUUCUUGGACCAAUUUAUAUAUGUCUAGUUUCUGUUUGUGCCAUUAUAGUUUCCAAAUUUGAAUGGUUUAGCCCUUUCUAACUUCAUUUGCUACUUUUGAAUGGUUUAGCCCUUUCUAACUUCAUGAUAUCAUGCAUUUCGACCACAUAUAUAUACAAAAAGUCUUCAGUUCAAAUAAGUUCAAAAAAUGAAAUCCCUUUUGUAACAGAUCUGUUUUUGAUUAAAACAAUUACUUCUCCUUCUUCUCCUUGUGCUAGAUAUUGGUUAUGCACUAGGGGAAGUAGGAGUAGCGACCAUCAUCGACGGUUGAAAAAUCAGGUGAGCUAGUGUCCACCAUAUAUGAGAGAAGAAUAAAUCCCUUUGUGAUGUGCCUUUGAAUGGUGCAUUUUGAACACACAAAAAGUAUGGAGUUCAAAUAAGUUCAAAAAAAAUGAAAUCCCUUUGUAAGAGAUGAGUUCUCGUUCGAAUCCCUGUUACUUCGAGAGAGAUUGUCAGUUUUGUACACGAAGUGCAUCCAGUUUUUGUCGUAGCCCUCUCAACUUUUUAACACAUGCUAUGUGGGUGAAAUGAUGAUAGCAUGCCAACUUUCAACAUUUUCAGAGUUCAUUUGUAGUGCUUUUCAAUUUCAGGGUCAACUAGCUCAAAAAAAAUAAGUAAAUGCACGAAAUAUACCAAAUGAAGUCAGAAAUUGUUGAAAUUUUGUGAUGUGCCUUUGAAUGGUGCAUUUUGAACACACAUAAAGUAUGGAGUUCAAAUAAGUUUUAAAAAAUGAAAUCCCUUUGUAAGAGAUGAGUUCUCGUUCGAAACCCUGCUACUUCGAGAGAGAUUGUCAGUUUUGUACACGAAGUGCAUUCAGUUUUUGUCGUAGCCCUCUCAACUUUUUAACACAUGCUAUGUGGGUGAAAUGAUGAUAGCAUGCCAACUUUCAACAUUUUCAGAGUUCAUUUGUAGUGCUUUUCAAUUUCAGGGUCAACUAGCUCAAAAAAAUAAGUAAAUGCACGAAAUAUAUCAAAUGAAGUCAAGAUAACAAAAUAGAUAAUAGUUUGGAUAGUCAAAAUUAUUAAUUAUGAAAAUAAAAAAUAGUUUUGCAUUAUUUAUUCAAUUUGAAACACUUUUCAUUAUCAUAGUUUUGUCAAAUUCUCAAAUAUGCAAAAAGAAUUUUUAAUAAACAUAGUUUUUAAUUGAAAAUAACAAAAUAGAUAAUAGUUUGGAUAGUCAAAAUUAUUAAUUAUGAAAAUAAAAAAUAGUUUGCAUUAUUUAUUCAAUUUUAAACACUUUUCAUUAUCAUAGUUUUGUCAAAUUCUCAAAUAUGAAAAGAAUUUUUAAUAAACAUAGUUUUUAAUUGAAAAUAACAAAAUAAGUUAAUAGUUUGGAUAGUCAAAAUUAUUAAUUUUGAAAAUAGAAAAUAGUUUUGAAUUAUUUAUUCAAUUUCAAACACUUUUCAUUAUCAUAGUUUUGUCAAAUUCUCAAAUAUGCAAAAAGAAUUUUUAAUAAACAUAGUUUUUAAUUGAAAAUAACAAAAUAAGUUAAUAGUUUGGAUAGUCAUAAUAAUUAAUUUUGAAAAUAGAAAAUAUUUUUGAAUUAUUUAUUCAAUUUCAAACACUUUUCAUUAUCAUAGUUUUGUCAAAUUCUCAAAUAUGCAAAAAGAAUUUUUAAUAAACAUAGUUUUUAAUUGAAAAUAACAAAAUAAGUUAAUAGUUUGGAUAGUCAAAAUAAUUAAUUUUGAAAAUAGAAAAAAAUUGAAACUAUAUGAGAAAUCAUGGACAAAAUUCGACCUGAAUUCAGAUUGAAUUUUAUCCACAAUUUCGAAUAUAGUUUUAAUUUUCAGUAAGCUUAGGCCCGUAAGCCUGCUUUAGAGAGGAGCUCGAUGGACAAGCUGCGACGGGGCUUAUAAACAAGUGUUAGUCCCCCUCGCUGGGCGAGGUGGGACUAAACUUAUCGUGCAGCCGAGGAGGGGCUUUAGUCCCGGGUGGAGCCACGACCCGGGACUAAAGACCCCCCCUUUAGUCCCGGUUGGAGCCACGCACCGGGACUAAAGACCCCCUGCUUCCCGCCUCUUGGUCUGCCCGAAAAGAGGCCUUUAGUCCUGGGUCGUGGCACCACCCGGGACUAAAGGGGGUCUUUAGUCCCGGCCCGAGCCACGCACCGGGACUAUAGAUCCACCUAUAUAAGCGGGACUUCGAAAAUUUCCAACCCAAUUCGUCCAUUUCUCUUCUUCUUUCUCUCGUUCUCGUGCCCGGCGCGGCACCGCGACGAAUGUAACCGACGCCAUCAGGCUGCCCGCCGUCCUGUUCACCGUCGGCCGUCCUCCUCGCCGCCGCGCCGUCCUCCGCGCCGUCCUCCUCGCCGUCGCGUCGUCCUCCUAGCCGUCGCGCCGUCCUCCUCGCCAACACUCCCACCAGUAAGCCCCCCGCCCCCUCAUCCCCAACACUCCGGCCAGUAUAAAAGAAAAGAAGAAAAAGGAGAAGAGAAGAAGAAAAAGGAGAAGAAAGGAAGAAAAAGGAGAAGAAAAUAAGAAAAAGGAGAAGAAAGGAAGAAAAAGAAAAGGUUUUUUUGUCAUUUAAUUCCUAUUGUUAUUAGGUUUGUGCUAGAUUAUUAGGGUUAGUAAUAUUUAGAAUUAGGUUAGGGUUACAAGAAGAAGAAAUAUGAACAAAAAUAAGAAAAUAAGAUUAUUGCUUAAUUUUGCUAUUAUUAAUAGUUUAAUUUUGCUAUUGUAAUAGUUUAAUUUUUCUAUUAUUAAUAGUUUAAUUUUGAUAUUGUAUAUGCUUAAGUGUUAAUAGUUUAUUUUUAGCAAGAAAAUUAAUAGAACUAGUUUAUUUUUUUAGUUCAUUUUACGAUGCCUAUCCCGCAUCCUCGUCGUCGACUCGGCGGAGGACACCUGCUUGAUCAGAGGGGCCCUGUCCGGGACUGGGCUCCGCCCGGCUGGUAUUGGGAGGUGCUACCUUUCGGGGGGCGUAGGUUGGUGAGGAGCCAGCCCGUCGUUGACCCGAUCCUUGUUUGGUGGCGGUCGCGUGGGCCAGUGAGGGUGCCGAGGCUUCCGGACACCGCGGAGGUGUUACGUCACCGUGUCAGCGAGGAGGAUGAGCACGUCCGUCGCUACAUGGUUGCGUUGGAGGGCAGGUUCGAGCAUACCUGGCAGGUUCUUCGGGGAUCUUACUGGAGCCAUGAUCCUGUGAUGGUUCCUUCUCUUUGGGUGUCCACCGCCCGCGCCGAUACCCGUCGGGCGCUACGGUUCUAGAUGUAUUAGUGAUGCUAUAUGUAUGAUAGUAUUCGAGGAGUAUUAAUGAUAAUAUUCGACGAUGUACGGACAAAAGUGAUGAUGUAUUAGCUUAUAAUUGAAUGCAUGCUAAUUUGAAUACUACUUUAUUUUACGAUUUGGUUUUGCUUAUUGAAUGCUCAAAUUGGAAAAGUACUCCUACUUUGAAUACUAUGCAGAAAUAUAGGAGUCUCAAAUUGGGAAAGUACUCCUACUUUGGUUUUUGGUACAAAGGUUAAGAGAAUCCGUUUUUUGCAGAACUAUGGAUCCACAUAUCAGGAACCUCGAAGAGGAAGAACUUCUGGAAGAUAUAAUCAAAGACGGCCCCGACGUUGAACCAGCUGAAUCUCCGUCGUCAUAUCUAAACCAGGACGUUGGAAUGGAGGUCGAGUGACACGAAGAUGAAGCCGAUGGGGCAGGAGAUAGGUCCAAUGACGGAGAAGGUGAUAGCUCCACUAAUGGAGAAGCCGGUGAAGAGGAGAAGUCCGACAAGGUAUACAUAUGAAGUUCGACAAUCACUUGUAAUAUGUGAAAAAUAUUGGAGAUAGCUCUAUAUUGUAUACAUAUACAUUCAUUUGACGAAUGUUUCUCCCUCUUAGGCCUCCACAUCGAGCAAAACUACGAAACGAGGCCCGACUAGAAAGUUGGAUGCACGGACGCAUUACACAUUUGAGGUGAUAUUUCCUACGGGCGAACCCAAGCUUCCUAAGAAUGCUGCUGACACAUUCAAGAAGCAAUGCGGAGUUCUCGUUAGGAUCACGUCCCGAUCAUCGUUCGUGAGUGGAACAAGUGCAAAGGGGCAGCCGAUAGUGACUAUGUCGCCGAAAGGUACAAAGAUAAUCUUUGGAAUGAUCUCAUGUCACAUUUCAACCUGCCAGAAUGUGAGAAUGAAGACGCCGCAGACAAACUGAGGGCCAAAGUCAAGCAGUGGACUCUGAAGAAGAUGGCCGAACUGUUCCGUAGCUGGAAGAAGAAGCUAUGGAAAAACUAUCUGAAGACACAGAAAGUGCCAGUAUUCGAGGGGUAUCUAGCCAAGCAGGCGAAUCACUGGAAGGCAUUUCAAGAGUACAAGGAGUCAGAAGAUGCCCAGGCAUUAUCAGAAAAGAACAAGAUAAAUUCCGACAAGAAGAAAUAUCACCACAAGCUCGGGCCAGGGGGCUAUGAGACUGCCAUCACAAAGUGGGAUAAGAAAGAGCAAGAUCUGAUAGAUAAAGGCGUCGUACCUGAACCACUCCGUGAUGAGUGGGAAUUGAGAGCAAGAAAUUGGUUCCUUGCGCAUGAUGGGUCGUACGACGAAACAACAGGGGACCUCUUCUGCAAUGAAAAUCUUAGGAUACCCAGGGAGAAUUGGAAAAGGAUAGUGAAAGAAAUUAAGGAGGGAAGAAGAAAGUUCACUGCAGAUAGAGAGAAAGAUUUGCUCACACUGGUCCUCGGCAAUGACGAACAUGGAGGAGGAACGCGAGGCUUCGGUCCUUCUUACCGUGGUGGCUUGGGUUUGCCAGAGACCAAGACACUUACAGAAGCCGAGAGAGAGCAAAGAAGCGGCAGCAGGAUGAGGAGAAUGACAAGUUCAACCAGUUGCUUGCCAGGAUUAACGAGCAACAGAAGCAGAUUGAUGAGCUUAGAGGAGUACCGCGCCAGGAAGAUCCUGCAGUUGAUAUUACUGGCGCCCCAUCUAAGCGGAAAAGCAGCGUGGCUGAAUCUGAGGCCCCGCCCGACGAUGAACGAAGAAUGAUAGAGGGCGGUCCCGGCUACCCCGUGGAUGGAAUCAAGGAGUCAACAUCAUGUGAACUCCAUCAGAAAUUCAAGAACAUAUCCAUGAAGGUGGCCGUCGGACAAGCUUUACCUUCUGGCCCUGAUGCACGCUGGCAUGGCCGUGAGAUUCCAGCUGGCUUUGCUAAAGUCGGGGUGGAUGAAAUCAUGACGGGGUUUAAUGAUAUGGAGCUCGACAUAGCUGGACCCGAAGAUGAGAGGACACUCGGAGAAGUACUGGGUGGAGUCAUCCUAUGGGACAAGAACUACAUCAAGCUUCCAGGCUCGGCCCCAAGGACAACACCGCCUCCGAGUCAUCGCAGGUCACCUACACCUCCAUUACCUCUAAGCCCUCCACAUGACGUCGGCCAGCACAACACGAGUCCAUCUUGAUCACCGCCGUCGGACUUGGGUCGUCCGUCUCCGCCGCCGCCCGCACAUGAUACUAAGCGGAAGCGUGCCAGCAAGAACGCUUCGUCGAUGAUUUCUAAGGGACGGAGCUCCCCAAAGCGCAAACUGUCGCCCCUCCCAAACGUACCUCAUGCUAAUCUUCCUAUCAGACCUUAUGAUCGUACCCCCGAGGAAAAAGCCAGGAUAGCAAAGGAACAUCAUGAUGCGCAGAUGAAAAGGAAGGAACCCGAGCCCCGCCCGAAAUACACCGAGAAGAACAUAGCAUGGGCAAAAGACUUCAUAACCACUCCAUCACAGUAUGAUUUACACUAUAAGCCUGAUGACUAUACACGCACAUUGCAAAAGGAAGUGAAAAAGAGCAGGUCACAUGCAAGUGCAAGUGGGAGCAAAUCAAGUUCAACUACAAGCAAGAAAAAAUCAGACGUUCCUCAGCUUGGACAACAGGCCAAACAGUCGAUCCCACCCCUCAAGGUGUUAACCGAGAAUGUUCCCCCUCCGGUGCAGGGGCAAGCUUUUGAAAAAGCAAAGGAGUUGGCGGAUGAAUGUGGUAUCUUGGUUGAAAAUUUGCUGGCUUCCCAAGACGACGGGAUACCCAAGGCUGUGGUAGCCCCUAAGCCACAGUUUGUCAAGGGAGAGCCUUUGGUCAGCAAAGAUGAUCUCCCAACAAAUAUGUGUUACUUGCAUAAAUGGUACUUAAGUGAAUCAAAGAAUGGGAGAACGAUGAUCGUGUUGAGUGUCCCACAGGAGUACUACGGCCGCUCCGAAGAAAUCCAUAUCGACUUUGAUGAACUCUUCCAGAUGUACAAUGGCGACGCCCUCGACAAAUCGCUUAUGAGUUGCUAUUGUCUGUAAGUUUUUCAAUUUGUUGUCUACAUAUAACUUGUUUAGUUAUUUCAAUUCAUUGUCUAUAUAUAACUUGUACUCUAUUAUGCAGAAUGAAGAUUCUGGAGUGUAAAAGUAAGAGCAUCCUAAAUAUUGGGUUUAUUGAUCCAGAUAAAAUACAUAUAGCGACGCUAACUAAUUAUCCCAAGGAGAUGGAGGAAAACCUUCUAAGGUUUCUAAGAGAUCAAAAUUUCUGUGACCACAUACUGUUUCCAUACAACUUCAGGUGAGGGUCUUUACUGUGUCCAUUCACUUAUAAGUGUAAUUGAUAAGUUACUCACUCACACACNNNNNNNNNNNNNNNNNNNNNNNNNNNNNNNNNNNNNNNNNNNNNNNNNNNNNNNNNNNNNNNNNNNNNNNNNNNNNNNNNNNNNNNNNNNNNNNNNNNNNNNNNNNNNNNNNNNNNNNNNNNNNNNNNNNNNNNNNNNNNNNNNNNNNNNNNNNNUAUAUAUAUAUAUACAUGUGCAGCUUCCAUUGGAUUUUGUUGGACAUUCAAAUUGAUAAGGGAAGAGUUGAUGCCUUCGACCCAUUAUCGAGACCCUCGGAACAGUUCCAAAGCCUACAGGACAUGCUCCAAGGGUAAUUUUAAUCAUUCUUGUGCUCUAUCGGUCUCUUUCGAUGAUUUUCUGAUAUAUCAAUUAAUGAAAAACUUAGCAAAUCAUUAUCCUUGUCGGGCAGGGUUUGGAAUCGGUUCAAGUGCGUGACUCCCGGUAACUUUCCUGAGAAGCUGACCUUUAGAGCGGCUCAGGUAAGUAGUAGUAUGAUAUACUUCUAUUAAUUUUCAAUACAUUUAUGAUGCUAGAUUAUUAUUUUGAUUAUAUAUAUUCCAUUCUCGUAAAGUGCGACCAGCAGCCACGGGGAACGCAUCUAUGCGGAUACUAUGUUUGCGAGACCAUUUGCACGUUUACCUCUGAGUUCAAGGAGCACAGAUUCGACGUAAGCAAUGAACAUUCACACCUCUAUUUUUACCCGUCAUUCUUUGUUAUCAUGAUUGAUAUUCAUAUUCAUCUCCUCUUCUUAUAUAGCACACGACCAUGAGGACGAAGGUCCUAUCAGAGCAACGCGCGAUUGCUGUUGCAGAGGAGCUUGCGGGAUUUCUGAGGACGGAAGCUAUAGAAGACAAAGUACGAUUUAGUGUAGCUAAGGGCCAUUACUGAUGUUCGUCCAUGUAAUCGAAUAGACGGGCUCUAAUCCCGAUAAUUCAGAUCUCCAUAUAAUUGUAUAUAUAUAUGAUCGCUUGUAAGAUAAGUUAAUCUUAUAUAUAUAUAUGCAUAAUUAUUUCUAUUUUAAAUUAUAUGAAAACUAAUUCCCGAACACAAAACGAGGCAUCACGUUAAUCUCCUGAACACCUAAACCCUAAAACCCAAAAUAAUUUCAUUCAAAAAAAAACCCAAAAGCCAGCAAAAUCUGAAAAUCUUUAGUCCCGGACCGUGUAACGAACCGGGACUAAAGGGCCUGCCCCUGGGGCGCUACGAGGCGCCCACGUGGAGCACCUUUAGUCCUGGCGUGUAAGAGGGCCGGGACGAAAAGUUUAGGCCUUUAGUCCCGCCCCUUUAGUCUCGGUUGGUGAACCGGGACUAAAGCCCCUUAUGGGCCAGGGCUAUAGGCCCUGUCCCCACUAGUGCCCAUGAUAACGUCCCAGACUUAUUUAGUGAGGUAUUGGCAUUCCCCCAGGAGUCGCGGGCCGCCUUAUGGGUUGUUGUUGGGGCGCUGGCGUGGACCCUUUGAGAUAUGCGAAAAAAGCUUGUGAUAGAAUAUGUGAUUCUGCACCACUCGACUGAUGCCAUAUAUAAAUUGUGUGGCUUCUUGCAUCUAUGGCGGCCGCUUAGCAAGCAUUGGCAGCAGGGGUGUUCAUCGACAUCAUCAACAUUGGUAUUUGCUCCCGCGCAUCCUUCUUCACCACACCGGCGCCCCCUGCCUCCAUCGGAGCCUAAGAGUAACUCUAGCAGACCCCGCAUCCCGUCGGCCCACAAAACGCGUUUGCAGUUCGCGCAAAACCCCUUUUGCGGGUCGGCGCGGGCUGGCAUGGAUGCAGACCCCCCCAAAUAACGGAUCUGUAAAAAAAAUAUUCGUGGAAUAUGCUUUUUUACGGGUCGGCCUCUGCGGGUUCUGCUCGGGCUCCACCGCGACGAUACACAAACAGAAAAACUGCAAAUCUCGCAUUUGACAUAGAGUUUUGGCAAACAAGUUCAAAUUUAAACGACAUAAACAGUUUGCGCACAAAUAAAAGCAAAGUUCAUUACGCAAAAGAGGGCAUGCAAAUGUUUGCGGCCAUGUCCGACAUCAUCUUGGGGGUCGAUCUUCACUCCGCGCCAUGGAGUCCAUAUUGAAGUUCAUUGGCGCCACCGAAUCCACCUCCGUCGCUUGUUCCAACUCCCGCACCGAAAUCAGCCACAUUGGUACCAUAUGAAGCAGAGAAAACAUCACCGAAACUGGAACACGGACCGGCCGAGGCGACCAUUCUCCUCUUCAAGAUCUCUCUCAUUGCCAUAUCAUGUCAUGUUUUGGUGAGGUCGUCCAUGUCAUUGCGGUUCAUUGACAUGAUCUUGUUCUCCUCGGUGAGCAACAAUGACAUCGAUUUGUUUUCAGAGGCGCGUGCUUUUCUCUCCUCAAUGGCUGCUUUGCGGAGCCCCUCUUCCUUGAGCAUUUGCCAUUUUCUUGCUUCUCUUUUGCCUUCUUCUCGGCCAACCCUUUCUUGAUCUCCAAUGACUUCAGCAACAUCAACUCGUUUGAUUGCACCAUGGCAUCAAUCUUCUCCCUCAAGCUCGCUACUUCUUGCUCUCUCUUCAUCUCCUCUUUAGUCUUCUUGUCGCCAUCGGGCUUGUGCAAAGUUCUUGGGCCAUCAUCAUCCUCAUCUUCAUCCAUGUUUAUAAGUGAGCCUCUCUUUGGUGGGGAUUCUUUGUCGAUCAACUUCCACUUCUCGCACUUUUGGAGCAACUCCCAACAAUGCUCUAAUUUGAAGAAUUUGCCUUCCGAAGCUUCCAUGUCCUUGUAUCUAUGUUGAGCAAUCUUGUCCUACAAAAUGUGAACAAAGUGAUGCAAUCAUUUCCCAUGAUACAUUAUGAUGAUGCACAACUUGAACAAAGGAAAAACAAAGUCACAUAGUCGGACUCCACGGUGCCACUUGGAGGUGCAUUGCGUACUUGCUCCAAGCAAGCUGCCCAACGGCUGCACAUAGGCUUGAUAUUCUCCCAACGCCCUUGAAGCGACCGAAAUGUGCGUGAAGUCCUAUUGGGAUACUUUUUCAUAAUGCAGAAGUAUUGAUCUUCGAUCCUUUGCCAAUAUCUCUUAGCGGUUUGAGAAACACCCAUGCAUGCAUCAAGAGACACCGCACUCCAUGCUUGGAUCAAAGCUUGAUCUUCCAAGAUCGUGUAGUUCUUUGAUCUUUGGCUUUUCCCACUCUUUGCUUUCGAUUGCUCAAAUGCUUCCGCUUCAAUAUCCUCCAAUUCGUCCGCACAACCAUGAUCAUCCACGCCACCGUCCGUUUGACUAUAGUCCAAUGGUUCGAAGGAGGCUUGAUCAAUGUCAACCGCGUUGGUGUCCAACAUGUUCACGAACUCGGUUGUUGCAUUGUUUGAACCACCACUAUAGCGAACGAUAACAAGUCACGAGCUAUCGAGACUAAGGGCAAAAAAUGAAAGGGAAUCGCCAAGACCGAAGAGGCAUGCCUUCCGGCCAUUUCGUCGAACACCUCGCUCACGGAGGGAGCGGCGGAGCACCUCCUUGCGGGGUGAUGAAGUCGAAGGUUGAAUAAGGUGGCUUCCUUGAAGCUGGAACCUUCCUCCACUUUACGCCCGCGGCCUUGCCGGCCUUCUCCGCCGCCGGCCUGGAUCGCACUGCGGCGUUGGCGCCCGGAGCGCGGGCCUUCGCGGCGGGGGCAGCCGGAUUCCCGCCUUGCACGCCCAUGUUGCCCUGCCGCUUGUGGGAAGGCGCGACGUGUGCUUGGGCGACGACGGCCGGGGCAACAUGGCCAGCGACGAGAUCCGCCCGAGGGGAAGGAACAUGCGCGACCUCGACGGUGACGGGGGACAUCAUGGGGUCCUCCAUGGCGGCGAGGAACGGUCGGGGAGGAGGAACCGGAGCUUGCGGAGGAGGGGGGGCAAUGGUGGCGGAGGGUGGAGGGAGCGGGAAAGGGCGCGCGGAAAUGUCCCUCCCACCAAAUCUCGCGCCGGGUAGGGGUUCAGCUCGGGUCGGCCUCCCAGCCCGUGAAGAUAGAGGUUGGGGGAGAAGAUUUGCCGCGUCCCGCAAAAAUUUUGCGGGCCGGGGCGGGAUGCGGGUUCUGAUCGUGCGGAUUUUUCGGCCCCAACCCGCAAUUUGGCGGUUAUUUUGCGGGCCGGGGUGGGAUGCGGGGUCUGCUAGAGUUGCUCUAACUAGAUGCUAGCUUUUGUUUCUUUGAGGUGUGUUGUGUUGUGCCCCAGGUGAACUUAUGGUUCUUGAUUUGACUUAUUUUGUAUGACGCUUGAAUGCUUGUGGUGGUUGCCUUAUAGUAUAAAGCGGGGAGAAAUCCUUUUUCAUCAUUUUAAUUUUAGUUGAGAAGUUUGAAAUAUUUUCGUCAAUGAUACCAAGGUUUGAAUUAAAAUGUUGUUGAAAAUUAGUUCAAAUGUCAUAUCAAUUUUGCAAAAGAAAGUGAUAAAUAUUGAAGGUAUUUUUUAGAGAACUAAGUUCUCAGGAUGGCAUAGAUGUCAACCUCCCAAUGCCUACAGAUUUUUGGAAAUUAAGUUUGAGAUAUGUUAGAUGCCAAUCUCCCAAUGCCUAUGAAUUUUUGGAAAUUCAGGCUGGGAUGGGUUUUUGGCCACUAACUUUUGUGAAUGAAUCAUGGUUGCAAGAUGCCCAGCAUUCGUUCCUGGUGGGGGUGCUGCGAUGGCACCCCAUAGGUCGUCUUUCUUUGUAGAACGUCAUAGAGCAUCAUCUUCUGCUUUUGCGCCUUUGGUGCACUUGAUCUUGAUGAUUUCAAAACUAUAGUUGACAAAAUUGAAUAGCGAAAGCAUAUAAAUUAUUAAGACUUAUGGCAUGCACAUGGGCGAUAGAACAUGUGGACCAAUAAAAUGGAAUAAAACUUACGGGGUUGCUUUGGGUGCACCACUAAACACUAUUCACGUGUAGAUUUAUUUUCAUUUCUAUUUAGAUAGUAUUUGGAAUUUGAACUUUUAGAGAUUGUAGAUGUUUGAAUUUUCACUAAUUUUCAGUUUUUUUAACUUCCGAAUUUCAGUUUUACUAGCAAAAGGACCCGUGCGUUGCAACGGGAGAAAAAUAAUUAUAAUCUUCAACGAUGCUGAUCAUAUUACGUCCUUCAAUUUUUAGGACAUUUCUUGAAAUGCAUGAACAUUUUUUGAAUUAUCAAACAUUUUUUUAAUUGCACUCAAAAAAUAAUACACAAACUUUUUUCUCAAAAUCAUGGACUUUUAUUGCUUUCACCAACAUUGUUCUCAAAAUUAUGAACAUUUUUCUGAAUAUGGGAAUACUUUUACAAAUAUCCCGAGCAUUUUUUGAAUUCACAAACAUUUUAUGUUUUCUUCAAAAUUCUAUUUCAAAAUUCUCAGUUUUAUAAGUUGCAAAAGUUUUUCAAAAGUCGAUAUUAUUUAAAUUUAACAAAAUGGAGCAGAAUAUGAAAAUAAAAAAUGAGACCAAAAACAGAGGCACGAACUGUUUUUAAGAUUUUUACAUGGACUUUUGUUUAAAAUUAUUGACUUUUUUCAUUUUACAGACAUUUUAUAAAAGUUUAAACAUUUUUUUGUAUAUGCAAACAUUUUUCAAAACUCCUGAGUAGUUUUUGAAUUCUCAAAAAAAUUAUGUUAUUUGAAUAUUUUAUUUCAAAAUUCUCAGUUUCUUAAAUUUAAGAAAAGUUAUUUGAAGUUCUAAAUUAUUUAAAGUAGAAAAAAAUGGAACUGAAAAGUAAAAUAAAAAAACUAAACUAUAAGAACAGACGGCCACGCAUGGGCCGGCCCAAAUAGGUGUGCUGCAUCUUUUUCCAAUGCUCAGAGCGUAAUAUAGGAGGUGCCUACAUGGGCCGUCCAGUCCGGAGAUUUUACUGUUUGGAACGUUUUCUGUGACUUAUAAGUGGCAAUUAUGGAUAAUUUUCAUCAACUUUAUGGGUAAUGUUGAUGACGAACGACAGAAGCACUAAUUGCUUUAUUACUAGGUAAAGAUACCGUGGGAUCAUGGUAUCACCAACCAAUAGUGUGGUAUCACAUGGUACUUUCCCCAGAGUGCAGGAUGAUAGACUACAUACAUUCUCCUCUGCACAUUUUCACACCACAACAAGUAUAUGUAUUUCUCAGCAAAAAACAAACAUAUGUAUUGAGAAGUAGUAAGAUCCCAAUGGUUACCAUCACAUCCAGAACAAGUCUCUUUUCUACAUUGUUUCCCUUUGUUUUAAUUGAGAUAUCAUCAAUUUACCACAGAUUUUUUUUAUUUUUUUGGGAGAGGAGAUGAACACCACAUCUUCAUUUGGUCUCAUAUAAGAAUCAUAUGUAAGUUAAUUAUGUUGUCUUUGCCGGUCAGAAAAUCAUCACUGGGCAGCAAGACAUCGUCAAGUUUUAAAUUCUUUAUCCCUUGGAUUUAGUUACAAAAUUAUUAAUGUGCCGUGUUGGUAUCAAACACAUUAAUAACACUUGCUAAAAAUUUCAGCAGCAACAUACGGACGUGAAACUAGUUUAUAAUCAUUAUUUAUUUACGAGUAAAGCUUUUGAUCUAUUCAUCAACUGUCGACUGCCAUCUGUCAAGAUAAUACAAAUAAGACGAGAAGUAAAAACAUACAUUCCCUAGACCAUCUAGUAAAGAUAGUUUAUAAUCAUUAUUAAUAACAGCCAAUGUCAUACAAAGUGAAGCUCAACACAUUAUUUUAUUGAUGAUUCGAUCAAUAGUUCAAUACUCCUCUCGAUGCUCGAUCUGUAAUAAGGGCAACAGAUGGAGGUCGAACACAUGCAGAAAACAACAACGACAAACAACACAUGCACAAAGCAGCAACAGACACACCGAUAGUCGGGUAGCUAUCCAUAGCCUGGUCUGAUGAUGCUCAAAGAUAACUUAGUGAAGCCUGCAAACACACAACAGACAAAAGUUCAACGAUUAGUCUUACUAUUUACUUACUAAUUAAUGGUUAAAUGGCUAAUGAGCAGGAUAAAAUCUUUUAAGUGAUAGGAGUGGAGGAUGUACUUGUUGCAGUCGACGCUGGUGCUAAUGGGGAAGGAGACGGAGACACCGCACUUGCCGGGGAUGCUGGCGGCAUUGCCCAUGCUGAUGCCCUUGAACGACCCCGCCAGGUUCUUCAGGCAGCGGCACGCGGCCUGCCGGUCGGCCGCGGUGGACGCCUUGCCGUUCAGGGUCUUCACCCCGCCGCAGCACCCCGCCGACGGUGCCGUCGCUUGCCCCGUCGCGUACGACAUGCAUGGCGCGAUCGCGGACGUCACGUCGCCGCAGGUCACCGCCGCGGACGCCAUCUCCGCCACAGCCAGUGCUGCGAGCACGGCGAACACGGCGAUCAGUGCCACGCGUGCCAUCGAGGAUCUCGUGCUUCGGCCUGCUUGCUGGAAACCGUGAAGCUAGGCAGGAGCUGAGAGCUUGAUUGGCUUGUGUGGUGGUGGUGGAGAUGGAACUCCAUGGAGCUGGGUUUAAAUGGGGGGGGGGGGGGGGGGAAGAGGAAGAAAGAUAAGGUCUUCCUGCAGCAUUGCACUGCUGGGUGGCGGACGGUGGUGCGUGCAUGCGCGUACGUCGUACAGUACGUAGCUAGUGGAGCAUGCAUGCAUGCGCAUGAGGGUGGUUGGGGGCCAGGGACCGUACGAUGGAUCGACUGGUCGCGUCCACUGCACGCAUGUGACGCUUCUUUAUUUAUGUAUUAGGAAAAAAAUAGCGCAGCCUUAAAAAAAACUCUAUGAACGAAAUAGCGUGCUAAUAGCCGAAUAUUGCUUUUGGCUCCCGAACUCAUUGGAGGCCAUUAAAUUCAAACUUCAAAUUCAGUAAAAAUUUGUAUUUUAAUGUUUCAAAAAAUUCUGAAAAAAAUACAUAGAUAAAUGAAGGUAUAAUACACAAGUGUGUAAAUUUUCAGAACAAAAUACGGUUGAAAUGAGGGCUGUGCAAAAAAGACAAAUUUGAGGCUGUUUAACACAUGUUACUAUUCAUCAUUUCAGACCAUGAAUUUGUCUUUUUUGUACAGAUCACGUUUUAAAGUAUUUUGACCUGAAAUUUUACACACAUGUCGGUUACAUCCUUACAUACAUGCAUAUUGUUUUUCAGAAUUUUUUGAACCAUAAAAUUUUGAAUUUGAAUUUUUCAAAAAUAAAGGCCUCCAUGGAGCUCGACCUCCAAAACGCCAUUCUCGCUAAUAGCGCGCUAUUUUGCAAAAUAGCGUGUCACAAAACAUUGUUCAAAUUUCAGCAUAUAGCAACACAAAUGACAGAUUUCAGCAGAGACGGCAAGAGGAGAGGAGGCUGCGAGCGGAGGAGGUGGCAAGAGGCGGUCAGACGUGGCUGGAGGAGACGGGUCGCUGCCACCGUCGCUCGGUAGGUUUGGUUAGGGAUUUAGGGUUUGCUCGGUAGGUCUGGUUGCCGCUGGUUAGGGUUACUGGGCUGGAAAGCCCAAAAGAAUAGUGGGCUGAUGAAACAUUCGUCUGAAAAAAUAGCGCCGCGUCGAGAAAAUAGCGCCGAUACGCCCUAUAGCACGAAAUUGCCGUAUUUAACAUGAAUAGCGCCAUAGCGAGUGAAAUAUGCAUAGCGUAGCGUUUAGUUUUCAAAUACGCUAUUAGCGCACUAUAGCGGCGUUUUAGCGCGCUAUUUUUUUCCUUGAUUACUAGCAAAGGGCCCAUGCGUUGCAACGGGAGAAAAAAAUAUCACAUGCUUUUGAUUUGUUUAUAAUCAUUUUGAUUUAUUAAAAUAGUAAGCUAACUAACUAAUGUAGUCAGUCCUAUCCUAUUUUGUUGAGAAAUCAACCCGUCCAUUGUUAAUUCCACCAUGAUGAGAAAUUGAGCGGGACAAGCAAAGCAAAACAAAGAGCCUACGUGAAUUGAUCAAUGGACUGUUAUCUUAUUUCACUCAUGGGAUAGAGAAUGUGGGAUCAGAUGACAAAUUGAAGGUGGUGUGCCAUUCUCUCUCUACAACAAUGCAAUCUUACAUUCAAUACAUUCAUUCAUCAGUAAACAAAUUCCCACAAAACAAAAUUUCUUGCCGUGCUUGGCACACGGUUGGAGGCAUGGGGAGGGGAUCUCACCAGAUGAUGAGUUCCUGCCGGAGUAGGGAUAUGAUGAGAGGAGCAAGGGUUAGGCGCCUCUAUCUGGCCAUAAGGAGUCGCCGUUGCCGCGCCAUAACCUCGGAGUUCCCCGUGUGAGCCAUGGAGGCCCGCCUCCACCUGCAAGUACUUCGCUCCGUCGCGCCUUAUCCGCGCGCCGCCGCCGUUCUGCAUCGAGCAAACGCAUCAUCCCAAGUCGUUGUAGCUGUCGCGUUGAUUUGAUCCAGAAGCUGUGCUCGAGCGCCGAAACGGGGGCAGCAAACGGACAGAGGUAGGACCGCGGAGGCGGGUGGGUUGAGAUCGACAACAGUGGUGGUUGAGGUCGGCCGCGGCAGCGAGUGGUGUGGCAGCGGCCUGGGCACAGGCCAGGGUGGACCAGGGUCGACGUGAUGCGCUCGAGCGCCGCAACGGGGGCAGUGAGCGGGGAAAGGUACAUUCGUGGAGGCGGGUGGGUUGAGAUCGGAAGCGAUGGCGGUUGAGGUCAGCCGCGGCGGCGAGUGGUGUGGCGGCGGCCUGGGCACAGGCCAGGGUGGUCCAGGGUCGACGGGAGGAGGCGAUGCGUAGGGUAUAAUUUUUGCAGCGAAUCGAUUUUUACUUUUGCGUUGCAGAUAAAUGAUGGAGCGCGGGUUGAAUAACAAAAAUUACUGGGGCUUUUUUAUAAUAAUGUCGUGGUAGGUUUUCCGACGAAAGCAAUAGCCGCUUUAUUAUUAGGUAGGUAUAGACAUCUACUGAUCGUACAAUACUCCCUCUAUUUCAUACUUCCUCCGUCCUUAAAUAAAUGUCUUAACCUUAUUACAAUUUUAUACUAAAUUAGUAUAAAAUUAAGACAAUUAUUUUGGGACAGAGAAAGUAUAAUGGUAAUAUAGUGCGUAUAUAUUUAAAAAAUCAAACUGUACAAACCAAGUUUAUAAAAAAGUAUUUAUGUCUGCAAGUCAAAAUAUAUAAAAUAUAAAACUAUUUUUAUGUGUAUAUUGAUUAUAUAUGCUCGACAUUCCAGAUGUGAAUGUUUUUUUUAAUUGGUCAUAGUUUGUUAAGUUAGAUUUUUACAAAUAUCUAUACGCUCUAUGUUAUGAAACAGAGGAGAAUACAUAGUUAAGACAGUAAAGCUUCUGCAAGCAAAUAAUUUCAAUGUGAUUUUGUUCGUGUAACAUGUGGAACCUGUAUCGAGCCAGUGAGCCGGUACUGUGUAGUGUGCAGAUUCACUAAAAAAAACUGCAGUGUGCAGAUCUGGAGGAAGGACCAGUGUAAGUAGGUGGACCGUCGUUGUGAACAUGAUAUGAAGUAAAUUCAGAGUACGAUCGAUCUAUCCAUCGACCACGCAAUGCGUCGUUAAAAGCAAAGUUAGGAUCUAUGACUAGUCUAAGUAUUAAUUUCCACCGAUUUUGCCAAAAGUAAUAAUAAUACUCCGUACCCACCGGCAUAUGUACUGAUCAGGCGGUGCAGCAAAGUGAUCAAUGCCAGCAACAUGCAGUGCUCUGUUAAUUAACUCCAACCCAGUGGAGUAUAUAUAAAGCAUAUACUCCUACUGUAGUGACUUCAUAUGGAGUACAUCACGAACAUUUGUAUGGAGUACGUAUAUGAUUCAUAUCAGUGACCUAAAACAUACUCCCUCCGUCCCAAAAUAACUGUCUCAACUUUGUACUAGCUCUAGUAUAAAGUUAUACUAAGUUGAAGACAUUUAUUUUGGAACGGAGGGAGUAUUUGUUUACCGUGGGAGUAUGAAUUUUUCUUUUAAUUAUAGUAAUAUGUUCCCUACACAUCAUAAAUAAGUAACUUUUUCGGUGUCUUAAGUCAAUUUUUUAAAACUUUGAUGGAGAAUUUUUAAAUCAUAUGUCUAGAUUAGCCUCGAAAGGCGUACUCAUUACAUUACAAUAUGUGUGAAUUUCAGUUUUUACUCCUUACUUUGACACUUUUCACAGUAAUUAGCGCACAAAAAAUCUCAUCCAGAUUGCCCUAUUUAACGAAAAAAGUCCUAGCGUUUUACUCCUAAAAUUUUGAGUGUAAUCUACCAGGUUGGUCUCGUACGUUUGUCUUGUUUAUUCUCGUAAGGGGAGUGAUCUGCGCCGGCGCGCCGGUCCAAACUUUCGGCCGGCCGCGCGCGAGCCGCGCGCGUCCGCACCGUUGGAUCUUCAUGCAACAUUUUUUCUUUCGAUGCAGCAAAAUUCGCCGUGAUGCAGCAAUUUUUUCAACGAUUGCAACAAAAAACAAAAAACAUAGCAAAAAAAUAUCUACGUGAUCGUAGCAAAAAAACGAAUCUGAUGAUCCGUGGUAGCAAAAGUCAAACGCCAGUUGUAACAAAUAUCUACGUGAACGUGUAUGUAACUUUUUUAGUGAACGGUUGCAGCAAAAAAUGAUGCCGGUUGUAGCAAAAAUUCACAUGGUUGUAGCAAAAGUAAAAAACAUCGAUUGUAAGAAAAAAUCCGACGAACUGGAGUUGCAACCAAACGUAUAUGCAGCUUUUCUACUGGACAAAUGUAGUAAAAAAACGCUUGCAGCAAAUAUAACGCUGGUUGCAACAUUUUAGACGGAAAAAUGUUAUAUGCUUAGUCAGCGCUCAGCGCGCGGGUCGCGUGCGGCCGGCCGAACGGUUCGGCCGACGCACCGCCCAGAAACGUUUCCCUUCUCCUAACGGUUUUCUCGCACCCGAACCUAGUUUAGCUCCUUGAGCCGGACCCACGCCGUGUACAGUGACCCAUGUUGUAAACUUUGUUGACAGGGACUUUGGAAUCAGCAUGUAAUAUAAAGCAUCUCAAUUCAUGGCAUCCUCAUAUGGAUGCAUAGUUAAAACAUUAGUAAACCAAAAACUUUGGAGUAGUCAAAUCAGUUCUUAAAUUAUUAUUGUGAAGUAAAUGUCACCGAACAAUUGACCUACUCCCUCCGUCACAGUUUAGAAGGCACGGUUAAAUUACAUGUAUUUUCAUAAUAGACAAGGUUUAGGGCGGAUUGCAUUUACUCCUAGCAGCUAAUUAGUACUCUGUUGUACUACUUCUAUAUGCAUGCGUAGUGUGAAUGCUAUUUUUUAACACAUCUCAUAACCAAUCAAUAACCAUCUAGGUUCCAGAGAAUUUUCAGACACGCCUUCUAAACCAUGACAAAGGGAGUACUAUUAUUUUUGCUAGGCCCUCCAUGCCAUAAUACCUUUGAUUAAUUUUAUUAGUUAUUUUAAAUAAUUUUCGUAUUUGAAUAAAGUGAUAAUUAUUCAAACGCUAACAUUGAUAGAUUUAUAAAUUAUAUUGUUGGUUACGAGUUCCUUGAUGAGAUUGAAUGAAAAUCAAUAUCUGAGGCUUAUAUGGUAGUUAGCAGUUCUAGUAAAAAAAUCAUCAACUUUGAGGUCAUUUCACCUACUUACAUUUCAAAUUGAAAUUGGGACCAGAACUUAGUUUGAAUAUAAAUGACAGUCAAAUAACCAUUGGAUUUUUUUGGAAACAUUCCAGUAGUUGGAAUUAACAUAUACUCCUUCCGUCCCAAUUUUUUUGUCUUAAGCUUGUUUAGAAAUGAAUGUAUCAAAAUACUAAAACAUGACUAAAUACAUUCAUCUCUAGACAAAUCUAAGACAAGAAUUUUGGGACAGAGGGAGUAUAAAACAUGUGAAUAUUUCCAUAAUUUUUCUUGGUUUUUUUAGACUUUAUAAUACUAUAUUCAACUAUUUAGAAAAGUUGAGAAAUAAUAAUAGGGGGGGGGGUAAAUAAAUAUGAAUUCUUAUCCAAAACCAAACUGGGCCUAAUCAGGCGCACUCGGCUUUUCUCCUCCUGAACCUUGCCUAGGAAAAUAAACAAGGCGAUGGCGACAAGAGUUUAUACCUUUAUAUGGUCCUUGUCGGCGAAGUCUACAAUAUUAUCAGGCCCACUGGAAUGUUCAGUAGUCUACAGUAGUAUGAACUUUAUGGUCCUUGUCGGUGAUAUUUACGUAGAUAGGGCAAUACCGCCUAGAAUAAAAGUGCUCUGCUUCUUCCUUUGAUGCAGUGGUGCCUUACUGAACAUCGCCAUAGAACGAGAGAUGUGGUGUCACCGCAGGUUUGAUCUUAUGGAUUUUGUGGUUCAACGACCUCUAAUUUUCGUGGGUCAUCCUCGGCCCAAGUUAAGGUAAGGGUAACUAAAGGGGUUUCCGGAAAUCUUCAAAGUUAGCCAAUUUUGUGCAGGUUCAUGGAGAGUGGUGCCGCUGCUCUGGUCUGGUCGUUGUAUCGCUGUAUCACGCUUUUGAUAGUAUCUCAUGUUGCAAAGAUUGUUACUUUGGAAGGGAUGCAUGAACACAACAUCUUCAUUUUAUCUCGUAUAAGAAUUAUAUGCAAGUUAGUUAUGUUGCCUUUGCUGGUGGUCAGAAAAUCAUCGCUUGAUUCAGUAAGUUGACCUCGGCAAGUAUUUCUUGUUCUUGCAUUUAGUUACAAAAUUACGAAUGUGCCAUGUUAUUAUCAAUGACGCUAAUAGCACUUGCUAAAAUUUCCAGCAUCAACAUGGGGCAUGAGACUAGUUUAUAAUCAUUCUUGAUAACAGAUAACAUCAUACAAAAUUAAGCUCAACACAUUAUUUUAUUGAUGAUUCGAUCAACAAUCUGCAAGAUGGAGGUCGAACACAUGCAGAAAGCAGCAACAGUAGACACCGAGUCGGCUAGCUGUGAUGAAGCUCAUAAGUAACUUAGUGAAGCCUGCAAACACAUAUACAAAGAUGCUCAAUGAUUAGUGCCACUAUUUGCUUACUAAUUAAAGAACAAAUGGCUAAUGAGUAAUAGAACAUAUAUUUCAAGUUAGUAGUGGAGGAUGUACUUGUUGCAGUCGACGCUGGUGCUGAUGGGGAAGGAGACGGACACGCCGCACUUGCCGGGGAUACCGGCGGCGUUACCCAUGCUGAUGCCCUUGAACGACCCGGCCAGGUUCUUCAGGCAGCGGCACGCCGCCUGCCGGUCGGCCGCGGUGGACGCCUUGCCGUUCAGGCUCCUCACCCCGCUGCAGCACCCCGCCGACGGCGCGGACGCCUUCCCCGUCGCGUACGACAUGCACGGCGCGAUGGAGGACGUCACGUCGCCGCAGGUCACCGCCCCGGACGCCAUCUCCGCCACCGCCAGUGCCGCGAGCACGGCGAACACGGCGACCAGUGCCACGCGUGCCAUGGAGGAUCUCGUGCUUCGGCUUGCUUGCUGGAAACCGUGGAGCUAGCUAGGCAGGAGCUGAGAGAGCUUGAUUGGCUUGUGUGGGGGUGGUGGUGGAGAUGGAAGGAACUCCGUGGAGCGGGGUAUAAAUAGCCGGCUGGCGAGAGAUGGCAAGUGUUGGAGCGUUGCAUUGCAGGGUGGCGGUGGACGGUGGUGCGUGCAUGCACGUGGUCGUGCGCGUACGUCGAACGUAGCUAGUGGGGCGUGCAUGCAUGCAUGCGCAUGGCGGUGGUUGGGCGCUAGGGACCGUGCGUACGAUGGAUCGACCGGUGGCGUCCACUGCACGCAUGUGACAUUUGUUUGUUCACAUCUAUACAUUAUUUUCUUCGAAAAGUAUGAGCAGAAGCUUCUGCAAAUAAUUCCUACGUGGUUUUCUUCGUGUGAACGUAUGGAGCCUGUGUGCGAGCUAUACCACAGUCCACAGUGUAGUGUGUAGAUCUGGACGAAGGGCCGGUGAUGAGUAGGUGAGCCGUCGUUGUCAAUCAAACACAAAAAAGGGAGACGGACAUCUCGUUUCAAAAAAAAAAAAGGGAGACGGACAUGAACAUGAUAUGGAGUAAAUUCAGAGUACGAUCGAUCGAUCCAUCUACCACGUAAUGCAUCGCUAAAAGCAAAGUUAUAGGAGCUAUGACUAGUGAAGUAGUAUUAAUUUCCACCGUCAUAUGUACUGAUCAGGCGGUGCAGUGAUCAAUGCCAGCAACAUGCGAUGCUUUAUUUCUUUACUCCAACCAGGUGGAGUGUACAUCAAGCAUAUAAAGGUUUUUUUUAUUGUACAUUUAGUCGUGUUUGAUGAAAUUAAUUAAAACAAUCCAAUGUUUUGUUUGAUUAUUCGAAUACAUCAUUUUUUGAAAAUAGUUUUGAAUUUUAAAUAGUAAAUGGUGUCUGGAAAAAAUUGAAACUUUGCAUGCCGUCAUUAUGUGCCCACUCGAAUAACGGGUUAAAGUUUUAAAGUGUCACACAAAAGUUUGGAUAUAUGUUGCUUACAAACCGAGGGGGUCGAUACCCCGGGGGAGAUUGAUAGUUUCGAAGAGGUGGAGUGUCCGGUGUUGAAAAACAUGGUAGUGUUGUUAUUUGUGUGACCUAGAUUUUUUGCAUACAUGUAAUUUACGCAGUUCACAUUUACAUUUCCAAUCUUGUGAUUUACUUUUUGACAAACGAAAUAUAUUAAUAUCACGAAGAUAUCAAAUAGACCAUGGCUCUCCAAUAAGUGCAAUACCCUCAUGGCACUACGGAUGCAUACAACCAAAAAAAAAAGAAGAAGCUUAAAAAAAAGUCCCACUAGAGUGAUCUAGUCCUUGAAGCAGCAGUACAAACACCACCAAGACAACACCUGAAGUUCAAAUUCUCUAUAAGAGACGCCUACAAAAAGGAAACAGUGCACAGACGCUAUCGUGGCUCGAUCAUAGAUCAUAGGUUUUCAUCGUAAAGAAAGUCCAUGCUCUCAAAACAAUGCCUUUAAAAUGAUCUUUGCCAGGCACAACCAAUUAAGGCUACACAUUGGAUUUCACCUGAAAGGUAAGAUCUUGAACUUCUCCCGUGUUGCCGCUCCCACUUGCAUGUCGCUGCUACGAGUCUUGAAACACCAAGCAAAUUCCUCAUCAUUGCAAUGACUUGAACCACCAUUACUAGUACUCAUAUAGUGAUAUCACAUCUUCCAUGACAUUCUCUGCCUCUGACUUCACCACGGAACGAAAAAGACAAGCCUCGUGAUGGCAAAAAAUACCAAAGCUUCACGUCGCACCCACCAGAAACCAAACGGCCAGAAAAAACAUGGGUGAGCACGACCGAAUCCAAUCCAAUCCAGAAAUCUCCAUCACGAGACGUCCAAGGAAGUUCGUCGGUGGAGCCUUCUGGAACUUGACACUCUCAUCGGAUCAAGGAGGACAAGCACCAGUCCGAUCUUUGUCCUGGCACGAGAGGAACCCUAGGACCAUCACCUUUGUUAGGAAGAAAGAAAGCCCCCACGCCCUCGCCCGUUAGCUCCCAAUAGCAAGCUGGGAUCUGAGCGGACACCGCAUCACCACCUGCACAAUCCGAAGAUGAGGGUCUUAGCCUUGCCGAGUUCCUUGAACCAAGCGUUGUGUUGUGCUUGCGGUCGUUAAGGUCACCGAAGAAGAUCAGGGCUGCCGCCCUGACGUCCAUUUCCGCUACCUGCACCUCGACGUCCACGGCCGCUAGUCUGUAGUAGCCAGAGAUCCCACCGCAUGGGACGAAAUGCCCGUGCCGCCAACCAUCGUGCGAGGAGAUGAAGGCCCGCCAUCGCCAUCAUCCACGCAAGCUUAGCUCGGUGACUUCCUCCGGUGGCGGGAAGGGGCAAAGGUGGAGGGGGUGGGGCGGCGACAGCUGUCGAGAACUGGAUCGCUUGAGCUCACUAGUAGAAAAGCGGGCUUUGGUCCACGGCCUGAAAUCCCAUUAGUCCCGGUUCACACACGAACCGGGACCUAUGGUGUCAUUGGUCCCGGUUCGUGAGGCCAGGGCGCCGACCGGGCAUCGUGGGCCAUUGAUCCCAGUUCGUGUCACCCCUUUGGUCCCGGUUCCAUACACGAACCGGGACCAAUAGGCCGGCAACCGUUCGUAUCCCCCUUUAGUCCCGUUGGUGGAUCAAACCGGGACUAAGUGGUGGUGGCAACCAUUCGUAUCACCCUUUAGUCCCGGUUGGUGGCUCAACCCGGGACUAAAGGUCCAAACGGUUCGCCUCCCGCGUCGUUUCCAGCUAUGAAAAGCACAACCGAGGCACAGUCUCUCGUCAUUCUCUGUUCUUCUCCUCUCUCACUCUCCUCUCUUCUUCUGUAAAACCCUGGUUUUCGCUCCCUGUUUUUUUUUCAUCUGCGAGAUUUGACCCCCAUCUUUUUCUCGGUGUUAUCGGAUUUCUUUCACUCCUCGGUAUGUGAAGAUGGUCAUCUAGCCUUGCCUUUCCCAUCCAACCAAAGAUUCUCCCCAGUCCAACCUUUCCACCCAAAGAUAUCUUCUCAGGGUUUUGCGGUCAAAACCCUACCUUCCGAAUUGCCGGAAGGGAAACCCUAAUCCUUCCAGUUUCAAAGGAACCCCAGUUUGUUUUGUUGUGUUGCCGCCCAAACCUUUGCCCAAUGAUCAUCCCCUAUCUUCAAACCUUGGAUAUGCAAAAAUAUUGCCAAGUCAUUUGCAAUAUUUUUGAUUUAUAAUUAAUUCCUUUUUCUGUCACAUGAAGGAAUUAAAUCCAGGAAAAUCGCAAUCCAUCUCCAAAGCUUAUGAAAACUUGUGGAGGUAUUGUUUGUGAUCAUAUUGAGCUCCCAACAAAUAUUGGCCAUCAUUGAAUAAAGGAAAAUUGCAUUUUCCUAUUUAACGCUAAUAUUGCAUUUUUAGCACUUUCUAAAGGAACUACCAUUUUGGUAGCCAGAAAAAAUCCCAAAUAAUUUGUGGAGCUUCUCCUAUCUAUAUCUUGCCCAUUUCAAUCAAGAUCCCAAGCCCCACAGUUCAACUUUUGAGCACAACAUCAAUUUGCAUAUUCUGUAUAGUUGGGAAAUUUGCAAAGGAAGUGCUCUAUUCCUUGAUCUCCUUGAGCUCAAACUUUUCAUGGUGGUUUACAUUACUAAGUCACCAAUGAAUACCAAAAAUAAGCUCAAUCACAUUUAUCAAUUUUGUCCAAGAAUUUUUCCUAAGUUUCUGCCUAUUUGGAAGCAUGGUGAAGGAAGUACCAUGUAGGAAUUCCCAAAUGAGAUGAAAUUUUUCCAGCAUAUCCAUAUAUUCAAAUAAACCCUCUCCCCCAAAUUUGGGCCAAAUACAUGUAACCAUUUGACCCCAGCUUAUUCAUCUUUAUUUCUGUCCAGUUUGCCAUGGUGUGAAGGAAGUGCUAGAUAGGAUGAGUUAUUUGUCCUGGAAAUUUGCAAAGGCACUCAUCUUAGUAAACCGUUGGCACACACCAAAAUUCAGUAGGUCCUCUUUAGCCAAUAUUCCAGAAAAGAUCAUAAACAGGUUGUUGUCACAUCAUGUUUGUGCAAGUCUCUCUUAUCCUAGACCUCCCAGCUCAUUCCAAACCCUGAUCUCAUCUAUUUGAGCAGUGAGUGAGCUGUUGGACAUGAUUGGGAAUGCAGGAAAGUGCCAGAGAUGGUGGUGCACGCGGUGACCACAGGCAGAGCGCGCCAAAUGCAUGCUCUGUGCAUUUGGGCCCUCGGCCUCGUCCGCUUCCUCUUCCUCUCGCGUCCCAUCCAUGUGCAGUAGCUAGAUCGUGAUCGUGCGGUCAUUCCCCCUUUUUUCCUCACCAUGGACGCUUCUGCCGACCACUGGAGCGAUGCCAAUCUUCCUGGAGCUUCGGUCGCCAGCGAGAAAUGCCUAGAUCCUUCCUCCGAGCCUAUUUAAGGCACCUCCUGAGUCCCUCUCCCUCUCCAGCAAGCCGAGAAACCUCCCAAGCCCCUCCCCAAGUGCUCUAGUGCUCCCCAGCCAGCAAUGGCCGAGACCCUGUCGUCGGAUCCCCAUGACAAUUUUCGCUCCAGAGCCCUCCCUCUCUCCUCUAUCUUCGAUCGGAGUAUCUCCAAGCUCUCGCGAAGCCGCCGCUGCCUUCAUCUUCGAUGGGUAGGUCCUGCUGGUGCCUCUCCGCGCGAAGUCUUCCGACCAUAGCGCCCCUACCAUGGCGAGGAUGCGGCAGGCCGGCCCGAGCCUCCCCUCGACUCCGUGCGGGUGCGGCGUGAGUAGCCGGAGCCGGUACGCUCGUCAGCCAGCCCUCCGGCGCAGGGAGGCAGCGUCCUGGCAGGCGCCCCGAUCUCCUAUGCCCCAGCACGAGGUAGAUGACGGCCAGGUGGGAGGAGAGAGAGGAAAGGAGGAGGUGAACCCCAAGCGUAAGGAGAGAGAAGAGACAGAAGGGACCCGACAGGUGGACCCUGACCCCACCUGUUGGUGAGAGAGAGACCACUAGCGUGGAUAAGUGGAGACGGAAUCUGCUAUAUUACGUUCUCGCUUGAAGAAAACGUAUUCCUAGAGAAGGCGCCGACGGCUGUUCUCUCAGGCACUACUGGAAACAAAUAAUUUGCCCUGUGCCUAAUCUUUGCCGUCUGCUGGCGGUCGGCAAAGAACUUCUUUCCCGUCAGCUUACACGUGGCAGAUGGCAAAGAGGAGGCUGAUGGCAAAGUUUUAAUUUGCCGUCGGCCAACUCUUUGCCGUCCGCUGGCGGACGGCAAAGGAGCCACAUGCGGACGGCAAAGGUUUGGCACACGGCAAAGCCCCCCACCCAAACGGCCGAAACGCACCCCCACCCACCCGCCCCUUUGCCGAUUGCCUGGGACUCCUUUGCCGUCUGCCUGGGAGCACAGCGGAUGGCAAAGGGGACGGCGGCCCCACCCCACUAACGGCUGCCGGCCCCCACUACCUCCCGCACGGCUUCGCCCUCCUCUCGGCUCCCGCACGACCUCUCCCGCNNNNNNUAGUUAGUUUAUUAGGUAGAAUAAAGUAGAUAGAAAAAAUAGAUAGAAAAUAAAAAAACUUAGAACAAAAUAAUAGAAGAAAGUUAGUUUUUUUCCUGUUAAAUUAGAUAGUUAGAUUUUUCUUUUUUGUGUUAAAUUAUAUAGUUAGUUUAUUAGGUAGAAUAAAGUAGAUAGAAAAGAAAUAAUAGAAAAAAAAUAGAUAGAAAAGAAAAAACUUAGAAGAAAAAAGAAGAAGAAGNNNNNNNNNNNNNNNNNNNNNNNNNNNNNNNNNNNNNNNNNNNNNNNNNNNNNNNNNNNNNNNNNNNNNNNNNNNNNNNNNNNNNNNNNNNNNNNNNNNNNNNNNNNNNNNNNNNNNNNNNNNNNNNNNNNNNNNNAAGAAGAAGAGAAUAGGAAAAAAAUAAGAAGGAGAAGAAGAGAAAAAAGAAGAAGAAGUUGAUUUUUUAUUGUUUGGUAUUUAGUGGUAGCUAGAUUCUUUUUUAGUUACUUAGUGGUAGAUUCUGUUUUUGUUAGGUUUUUUGUUGUUUAGUGCUAUCUAGGUUUAGCGAUAGGUUUAGUUAGCUUGGUUAGUUAGGUUAGUUAGUUAGUUAGCUUACUAGAAAUAAUAGGAAGAAGAAGAAGAGAAGGAGGAGGAGAAGACAAAAAGAAGAUCACAUGUUUGGUAUUUAGUUUUUUGGAAUUAAUUAGUCCAUUUAGCUCCAAAAUACCAUAAUAAGCUCAAAAUGGCAUAAGAACCUUGGUUAGCUCAUUAAUAUUAUAUACUUAGCUUGUUUUCCUCUAAAAUGGGAUAAUUAGCCCAUUUAGCUCAAAAAAGACAUAAUUAGGUAAUUUAGCUCCAACAAGAGGAGAAGAGGAGAAGAAAGAGGCAAAAUGAAAAGAAAGAAGAAGAAGAAGAGUAGGAGGAGGAGAAGACAAAAAGAAGAUCACAUGUUUGGUAUUUAGUUUUUUGGAAUUAAUUAGUCCAUUUAGCUCCAAAAUACCAUAAUAAGCUCAAAAUGGCAUAAGAACAUUGGUUAGCUCAUUAAUAUUAUAUACUUAGCUUGUUUUCCUCUAAAAUGGGAUAAUUAGCCCAUUUAGCUCAAAAAAGACAUAAUUAGGUAAUUUAGCUCCAACAAGAGGAGAAGAGGAGAAGAAAUAGGCAAAAUGAAAAUAAAGAAGAAGAAGAAUAGGAGGAGGAGAAGACAAAAAGAAGAUCACAUGUUUGGUAUUUAGUUUUUUGGAAUUAAUUAGUCCAUUUAGCUCCAAAAUACCAUAAUAAGCUCAAAAUGGCAUAAGAACCUUGGUUAGCUCAUUAAUAUUAUAUACUUAGCUUGUUUUCCUCUAAAAUGGGAUAAUUAGCCCAUUUAGCUCAAAAAAGACAUAAUUAGGUAAUUUAGCUCCAACAAGAGGAGAAGAGGAGAAGAAAGAGGCAAAAUGAAAAGAAAGAAGAAGAAGAAGAGUAGGAGGAGGAGAAGACAAAAAGAAGAUCACAUGUUUGGUAUUUAGUUUUUUGGAAUUAAUUAGUCCAUUUAGCUCCAAAAUACCAUAAUAAGCUCAAAAUGGCACAAGAACCUUGGUUAGCUCAUGAAUAUUAUAUACUUAGCUUGUUUUCCUCUAAAAUGACAUAAUUGGAAUAUUUUUGUUGAUCGGGUGGAUUUACAUGUGAUAGUUGUCUCGUCGCUGUGAGGUCUGCUGUGCGAAGACCUGCCCGUGCGUUGUACGAGCUCCGCCCCUGCAUUCGUGGGUCAGUACAAAUUUUAUCUCCUCCCCACCCCUUCAUUUACUGUGGCUCGGUUUCCGGAUGAAACUUUCUAGAUUUAGGUAAUUCAAUUAAUUUAUCAGUAUCCGUGACCAGUAUGCAUCUCCCGUUUGAAAGGGCGACAUCUAUAAAUAUGCAUGUCUUUGCAUAUUUAUAACCGUCAUCCUUUCGAAUUGUCCAACAUUAUCCAUGGACAGCCCGAGUAUGUGUAGAUUGGGUUCGUUUUCCGGUAUGCUGUGCUCUGGAUCCGAUGCGGAAUUUCGUCAGUGCCUCCCUGUUGUUCUCCGGAUGCACAUCCUCUCUGUUUAUUGCGGAGACGUGUAUCAGGAGAACAGCGGGGAGGUGCUGCCAAAAUUUUGCGUUGGAUCCGGAGCAGAGCAUGGGAAAAUGAACCCAAUCUACACAUACUCGGGUGGGAUUAGGACCUAUAUUUACCUAUUAGCGUGUAGGUUGCCUGGACGUAAUAAAAAUGGCGAACCUGAUUAACCGAUGAAUAUAAAUGCUAAAUUAUAUAUAAAUAUAUUUCUUAUGUCUUUAGUAGCUACGCAAGAUGAGUGAUCGUGCGUGGAUGUAUACCGGUCACCCUAGUCAGAAAGAGAUGACGAAAGAAUGGUUUUUAAAAACAAAGGAAUUUGUGAAAGCCGCAUUCGCAAAUGGCCAGGAAAGAAACUAUUGCCCUUGUCCUGGAUGCGACACUAUAAAAAGACGACAGAGGCUGUAAUGAUUAAACACCUACAGAGGAGGGGUUUUAAGCCUAAUUAUACGGUGUGGACAUUUCAUGGUGAGUCUAUACAACGCACAAGAGCUGAGGUGGUCCGUUGUCGCACGGACGAGCAUGGUACUGGGAUCGAAGACAUGGUGUAAGACUUUGAUGAUGCUCGGGAUUCGGAAGAUGAGAUGGAGGAAUCUGCAAAGGCCUUUUAUGAAAUGUUGGAGUCUUCAAAACGUCCUCUCCAUGAGCACACUGAGCUCUGUCAGCUGGAUGCAAUUGCACAAGUAAUGGCUCUGAAGGCUCAGUUCAACUUGGGAAGAGAAUGCUACGACGCGAUGAUGACACUAUUUGGACGUUUCCUACCCAAAGGCCAUGUCAUGCCUGCAAACCUGUACCAGUCGGACAAAAUACUUCGUGUACUUAAGAUGCCCUAUGAGAAGAUAGAUGCAUGUGAGAAAGGAUGUGUCUUAUUUAGGAAGGAGUAUGCACACUUGGACUAUUGUCCCAAUUGCGAGUCUUGCAGGUAUCUUCUGGUAGACAACGGUAUGGGUGAGAAGAGGCAGACCAAAAUCGCAGUUAGUGUUCUUCGGUAUAUGCCAAUCGUACCAAGACUUCAACGUCUUUUCAUGGUCGAAGAGACAGCCAGACAGAUGACAUGGCACAAAUUGGGCAAAAGAACCGAACUAGAUGCGGAUGGGAAUAAGAUGAUGGUACACACAUCGGAUGGGGAAGCGUGGAAACAUUUCGAUGGAUUGCAUCAGGAUAAAGCGGCAGAUCCAAGGAAUCCUCGAGUCUGCGCCGCCACAGAUGGUUUUAAUCCCUUCGGCAUGACGGCAACCCAAUACAGUUGUUGGCCUGUAUUUGUCAUUCCACUCAAUCUCCCCCACGGGCAGAUUAUGCAAAGAAAGAACAUAUUUCUGACGUUGAUAAUUCCAGGGCCCAAUUAUCCGGGGAAGAAUAUGAAUGUGUACCUGCAACCGCUUAAGGAUGAAUUGGAAGAAGCUUGGGAAAAUGGGGUCAAGACAUACGAUGCCGCUAGAAAAGAAAACUUCAAAAUGCAUGUGUGGUACAUGUACUCUAUGCAUGACUUGCCAGCGUAUGCGCUAUUCUCUGGAUGGUGUAUGCAUGGAAGGUUCCCGUGCCCCCAAUGCAAGGCAGCUCUUCAGUUUCAUUGGUUGCAGGAGGGUCGGAAGUAUUCUUGCUUUGACUUGCAUAGACAGUUCCUGGAUCCUGACCAUUAGUUCAGAAAAGACAAGAAGAACUUUACCAAAGGUAAAGUUGUCAAAAACUUGGCACCACCUGCGUUCACAGGCCAACAGAUCCUGGAUCAGUUAAACGCCCUCGAGCCUGAUCCAGAGCGUCUAGGGUAUUUCAAGGGGUAUAAUUCAAAACAUGCCUGGACUCACAAGCCAUGCUUCUGGGAUCUGCCUUACUUCAAAGACCUCCUUCCACACAAUAUCGACAUGAUGCACACUGAAAAUAAUAUCGGAGAGGCUAUUUUUGGUACAUUGUUCGACAUAGAUGGGAAGACAAAGGAUAAUAUUAAGGCUAGAGUCGAUCAAGAGACACUAUGUCAUAGACCGUUACAAAACAUGCGAGAAGGCAAAGGAAAGCAUAAGUGGUCGAAGCCAAAGGCCUGGUUCAAUCUUGGAAGGCCAGCUAUGAGGGAAAUUAUCUUGUGGGUCAAAACGCACUUGAUGUUCCCCGAUGGGUAUGCAGCGAAUCUAAAGAGGGGAGCGAGUCUUGAAAAAUUAAAAAUCUUUGGUCUCAAGAGUCAUGAUUGUCACAUAUGGCUAGAGCGGGUAAUGCCGGUGAUGUUACGUGGCUUUACUCCUGAGGAUGAAUGGCUAGUACUGGCGGAGCUGAGCUAUUUCUUCCGUGUUCUUUGUGCGAAAGAAUUGUCGCCUGGCGUGGUAGAAGACAUGGAGGAGUUUGCACCGGAGUUGUUGUGCAAGUUAGAGAAGAUCUUUCCACCGGGCUUCUUUAAUCCAAUGCAGCAUUUGAUUUUACAUCUAUCAACCGAGGCAAGAUUGGGUGGGCCAGUGCAAGAUCGUUGGUGCUAUGCAACUGAGAGGAUGCAGAAGACCCUUCGAGCUAAAUGUAAAAAUAAGCGUAGAAUUGAAGCAUCGAUGGCUGAGGCAUUCAUUACUGAGGAGGUGGCAAACUUUGUGACAGCACACUACGAAGCCAAAAAUCAUCAUUUGCAUAAUCCGAAGCCUCGGCACAAUGAUGGAGACCCUAAAAAAGGUGGGUCCAACCUCAACCUAUUCAAAGGGAAGCUCGCACCAGUCGGUGCUUCGAAACCAAUAACGUUGGAUAUCGAAGAAUGGCAGAACAUUUCGUUGUAUAUCUUCAACAACCUAACAGAAGUGCGGCCGUACAUCGAGUGAGUUCUCGGCACAUUUUCCCGUAACUUCUAAUUCAUUUGAACUGCUCUUAUUCCCGGAUAUUUCAAACAGCCGUUACGUCGUCAAAUUCUCGGAUGGAGCGGUGAUCGAAAAUGAUUCCGUCGAAGAGUAUGAGCUUCUGUCAAAGACAGGAGGCGGCUGUCCCGGUUUCAUCUCUUGGUUCAAACAAACGGUAAUUAUCAAUAAUGGACCAUUUCAUUCUUGGUCUAACUUGCGGCAAAUGCAACAACCGUUUCGUAUUAAACUUGUAGGCUAAUUCAGAGUCUAUGGACGCCGAAUUGAGACAAGUCGCUAAUGGUUUUGACUAUAAGGUCCGUUCAUUUGAGAAAUACAACAUCAACGGUAUCUCUUUCGUACCUUUGGCAAAGAGCUAUCUAUGCCCGACCGGAAAUCUACAAAUUGUGGUGUCUCUGCUAUCGGCGAAGGUGUUAUCGAGUAUUAUGGAAGAGUUGAAGCAAUUUAUGGACUUCAAUUCUAUGGUGAAAACCGACUGAACGUCGUAGUCUUCAAAUGUUAUUGGUUCCAGCCGAAAAAGACUAGAAGGACUCAUGAACAUAUAGGACUAGUCGAAAUCAAUCCAAACACCCAUUUAGAUGUUCCCGAUGUCUAUAUUACGGCUCAACAGGCGACCCAAGUUUUCUAUCUACCGUGGGCAUGCCAAACGGAUAAGAAUCUGGAAGGUUGGUAUGUUGUUUAUGAAGUGCGCCACAUGUCAGACCACCUCUCCCAAAUGAACAGGAUUAUGAACCUCACAUUAACCCAGACACAUAUGAUGGAUAAUUCUUCCAAGAAGCAUGUAUUUCCAAGAAACGUUUCAAGAACCGCCAUGCUUCAUCCAAGAACAUGGAAGUAGACAGCGACAAUGAAUCCGACUCCAGCCCUGAGCCGGAACCAGAAGACCUGGAACUCGUAGAGGUUACUGAUGCGGAUGACCUGUCAAUGCUUCAACGAUUAAAGGAAGGCCUUUCAUAACUUCACGCCAUUGAACCCGAUGAGCGCGUCAUUCAUGAAGACAUGCGUGAUAGUGAUGAUGAUGAUGCAUUUAUUGAUGAUGAUUAUUAGUUUGUAAGAUUCACAACUUAAAUUAUAUAUAUUUUAAUCUUUAUUAUUCAUGUACAUACUAUUAUUCAUGUCAGUCAUUCAAUUUUUUUAUGUUGUACUAUUUUCUUUUAAUCUUUAUCAUGGCAGGUGUUGAAAGAUGGUGGGCGCGGGUCCAGAGCGCUCGACGGGUUCUUCCCAGGCGCCCCGCAUGAGGGGUGGUACUUCCCUUCCACCCCUAUCUCUCCGUAGAGCCUUGGUAGACAGUCUUUCGACACCAGCCGGGGGUUCUUCUUCGUCGGCGGCAUUGCCCACUGGGAGAGGUGCUGGUCGGGUAGGGAGGAAGGGGAAGGGUACAUGGAGAGGUGGUGGCCGCGGAAGAUCCAGGAGGACUGUUGAGCCGUCCUCGCCACCACCACCAGCUCAUUCACCCGAGCAUAGGACUAGUAUGGUCGACCUGUUUGCGGAGGAGGCUACGGGGACUCCGGUCCAGGAGCCUGGUGUUCACGGGCAUUCGUCCCAUGAGACUCAGGUCCAGGAGCAGCCUCGGGUCGAGGUGCAUUAGGCCCAGGAGCAGCCGGAGGAGACUACAGUUCCGCAGGCUUCACCCGACGUGGAGAGGCCCGGAUGGGAGCCUUGGCCGGAUCGUACCGAGUUGCCGGAUUGGACCGAGGGUCCGGGUGGCUCAGGGGGCGGGGAUGGCGGGGAUGAGCUUACGGAUACUGAGGACGAUGUGCAGGUGGACGGGGCCACCGUGUACAAGCGUGGUAGUACACGUCUCCCGGUCGCCCCGGCUACCCGCGAGCAGAGGCCGGUGAUUAAACCUGAAGGAGAUAGGUAAGUACAUUUACCCUUUUUUUAGCUUUUGCCUUCAAGUUUGUUCAAAUAUCUAAUGCGCUGACCUUAUCAUACUGCAGGGGAUGGGUACACCCUCUUGGAGUCCGCAGGCCGAACUCCGUCCUUGGUGUGCUUUGCUGGACAAAUUUCCCGGGGUUUGUCACGUUGCCUGGUGAGGGUCAGGUUCCUACACUAGGAUUUACCUGGGAGCACUACCAGGCUGCACAGGCCCCGCCGGAGGAGAUUAUAGAUGGUGUCUUGUGCCACACGAGGGCCGAGAUGGUGAUCAGGAGCUUUUGGGUAAAUUAUCCUUUUACAGAAUCUAAAAUUAACAAUAUACCUAAUUAUUGUACUAAUCGGUGUUUUCACGUUUGAUUGCAGACCUUCUAUAGGUGUGAGGAUGGAUAUGAGGAGGAGGCGGCCAGGGUUCUCAAGGUCGAGUUUAGGCGGUUACUAUAGAACUUGCGCCACGAGGCUCGGCCGCAGGCUAUUCGAGAUUACUACGCCACGCAUGGUAUUAAGAAGGAGAAGAAGGAUUGCCACGGAAAGUUUCUGAAGAAGGAGCAAUACAUGAAGGUAAUUACCUAUUCUUAAGUCCUUCUACGUAGUUUUCUUGAUUUCAUUCAUAGGCGUAGCGCUGAAAAUUCUUUCUAAUAACUUACAGGUGCCCCCGAGAUGGUGUGCGGAUAAGAUGGAUUGUUGGGAGGCGUUGGUUGAUGAGUGGUGCAUAGGCAGCUGGCUAGCCGUCCACGAGAAUGCGAAGGAUCGGCGUAGCCAAAUGGUUGGUGUGCCACACCAUCAAGGCAACGCCAACUUACUUCAGUUUGGACGAAACUGGGUAUGUGAGUUGCUUCAUGAUUCAUGCAAUUCAUUCUUGAUGCUAAUAUUUUGUUCCUCUCUUUUAGGCGCAUCACAAUAAGACUGAGAUGCCACACUUGUACGACCUUUAUGGCAUGGCCCAUACUGCCUCGUACAAGAAGGCGAAGGCAUUCUCUGAGUCUGACCUGGAUGAUCCCAGUAACUUCACCAACAUAUCAUCCCACCAGAAGCUCGUGGCAUACAUGGACGCGGGGAAGGCUACGAAAGGGGAUGACUUUAACCCUAGCCAGGAACCUUUGGAUCCAGAGCUGGUGAUGAUAUCUGGUGGCGGGAGGCCCCAUGGCUCGAUAGCCAUUGGAGAUGGGAUAAUACGUUGUCCACUCACUCUUCCGGAGAUCAAGGCACGCCAGUCAAGCGGAUGUCCUGAGAUAACGCCUCCUCCACGGCCAGUCGAACUUGCCAUCGAGGUUAGUUGUAUGGACUAAGAACACUUUCAUCCAUUUCAUUAUGUGUGUCACCAUAGAUCAUUACUGUGGUAACAAGGAAUGGUUUUUCAGGCUGCUCUUCAGAAAGAGAGAGCGGCAAACCAGGUUGCUCUUGAGAAAGAGAGAUUGGCAAGCCAGGCUGCUCUUCAGGCUCCUCUUGAUGAGAGGGACCAGACCACGACACGAUUGCUUGAGGAGGAGAGGGCCCGGAAUGAGGCGGGUCAACGGGCCCUGUACGAGCUUUUUGUGGUAUGUUUUUUUCCACAUUAGCCAAAUCAUGUGUGUAAUGUCUGUUUCAAUACUAACUAAUACGACCCACUCUUCAGGGUAUGUGCGAGAAGAGCGGUCAAGUCCCUCCGCCGAUGCCCGUCUUCUCUUCGAUUGGCACGGUGAGUUUCAUUAUAAACUAGUAUUAAUAAUUGAGUGUCAUCAUGCUAACUGAGACAUUGCAAAAUAUCUUUUCUGCAGAAUAACUCCCGAGCGGCAUCGCACGACCCUUCUCCGGGGCAACCGUCUCCAAACAAAGCCGGCGCGAGCAACCGUGGUGUUUCUCCUCCUUGAUGACCACUACGGUAAGUUUCUCCUCCAAACUUAGCUUGUUUUCCUCUAAAAUGAGAUAAUUAGCCCAUUUAGCUCCAAGAAGACAUAAUUAGGUAAUUUAGCUCCAACAAAAGGACAAGAAAUAGGAAAAAUGAAAAGAAAGAAGAAGAAGAANNNNNNNNNNNNNNNNNNNNNNNNNNNNNNNNNNNNNNNNNNNNNNNNNNNNNNNNNNNNNNNNNNNNNNNNNNNNNNNNNNNNNNNNNNNNNNNNNNNNNNNNNNNNNNNNNNNNNNNNNNNNNNNNNNNNNNNNNNNNNNNNNNNNNNNNNNNNNNNNNNNNNNNNNNNNNNNNNNNNNNNNNNNNNNNNNNNNNNNNNNNNNNNNNNNNNNNNNNNNNNNNNNNNNNNNNNNNNNNNNNNNNNNNNNNNNNNNNNNNNNNNNNNNNNNNNNNNNNNNNNNNNNNNNNNNNNNNNNNNNNNNNNNNNNNNNNNNNNNNNNNNNNNNNNNNNNNNNNNNNNNNNNNNNNNNNNNNNNNNNNNNNNNNNNNNNNNNNNNNNNNNNNNNNNNNNNNNNNNNNNNNNNNNNNNNNNNNNNNNNNNNNNNNNNNNNNNNNNNNNNNNNNNNNNNNNNNNNNNNNNNNNNNNNNNNNNNNNNNNNNNNNNNNNNNNNNNNNNNNNNNNNNNNNNNNNNNNNNNNNNNNNNNNNNNNNNNNNNNNNNNNNNNNNNNNNNNNNNNNNNNNNNNNNNNNNNNNNNNNNNNNNNNNNNNNNNNNNNNNNNNNNNNNNNNNNNNNNNNNNNNNNNNNNNNNNNNNNNNNNNNNNNNNNNNNNNNNNNNNNNNNNNNNNNNNNNNNNNNNNNNNNNNNNNNNNNNNNNNNNNNNNNNNNNNNNNNNNNNNNNNNNNNNNNNNNNNNNNNNNNNNNNNNNNNNNNNNNNNNNNNNNNNNNNNNNNNNNNNNNNNNNNNNNNNNNNNNNNNNNNNNNNNNNNNNNNNNNNNNNNNNNNNNNNNNNNNNNNNNNNNNNNNNNNNNNNNNNNNNNNNNNNNNNNNNNNNNNNNNNNNNNNNNNNNNNNNNNNNNNNNNNNNNNNNNNNNNNNNNNNNNNNNNNNNNNNNNNNNNNNNNNNNNNNNNNNNNNNNNNNNNNNNNNNNNNNNNNNNNNNNNNNNNNNNNNNNNNNNNNNNNNNNNNNNNNNNNNNNNNNNNNNNNNNNNNNNNNNNNNNNNNNNNNNNNNNNNNNNNNNNNNNNNNNNNNNNNNNNNNNNNNNNNNNNNNNNNNNNNNNNNNNNNNNNNNNNNNNNNNNNNNNNNNNNNNNNNNNNNNNNNNNNNNNNNNNNNNNNNNNNNNNNNNNNNNNNNNNNNNNNNNNNNNNNNNNNNNNNNNNNNNNNNNNNNNNNNNNNNNNNNNNNNNNNNNNNNNNNNNNNNNNNNNNNNNNNNNNNNNNNNNNNNNNNNNNNNNNNNNNNNNNNNNNNNNNNNNNNNNNNNNNNNNNNNNNNNNNNNNNNNNNNNNNNNNNNNNNNNNNNNNNNNNNNNNNNNNNNNNNNNNNNNNNNNNNNNNNNNNNNNNNNNNNNNNNNNNNNNNNNNNNNNNNNNNNNNNNNNNNNNNNNNNNNNNNNNNNNNNNNNNNNNNNNNNNNNNNNNNNNNNNNNNNNNNNNNNNNNNNNNNNNNNNNNNNNNNNNNNNNNNNNNNNNNNNNNNNNNNNNNNNNNNNNNNNNNNNNNNNNNNNNNNNNNNNNNNNNNNNNNNNNNNNNNNNNNNNNNNNNNNNNNNNNNNNNNNNNNNNNNNNNNNNNNNNNNNNNNNNNNNNNNNNNNNNNNNNNNNNNNNNNNNNNNNNNNNNNNNNNNNNNNNNNNNNNNNNNNNNNNNNNNNNNNNNNNNNNNNNNNNNNNNNNNNNNNNNNNNNNNNNNNNNNNNNNNNNNNNNNNNNNNNNNNNNNNNNNNNNNNNNNNNNNNNNNNNNNNNNNNNNNNNNNNNNNNNNNNNNNNNNNNNNNNNNNNNNNNNNNNNNNNNNNNNNNNNNNNNNNNNNNNNNNNNNNNNNNNNNNNNNNNNNNNNNNNNNNNNNNNNNNNNNNNNNNNNNNNNNNNNNNNNNNNNNNNNNNNNNNNNNNNNNNNNNNNNNNNNNNNNNNNNNNNNNNNNNNNNNNNNNNNNNNNNNNNNNNNNNNNNNNNNNNNNNNNNNNNNNNNNNNNNNNNNNNNNNNNNNNNNNNNNNNNNNNNNNNNNNNNNNNNNNNNNNNNNNNNNNNNNNNNNNNNNNNNNNNNNNNNNNNNNNNNNNNNNNNNNNNNNNNNNNNNNNNNNNNNNNNNNNNNNNNNNNNNNNNNNNNNNNNNNNNNNNNNNNNNNNNNNNNNNNNNNNNNNNNNNNNNNNNNNNNNNNNNNNNNNNNNNNNNNNNNNNNNNNNNNNNNNNNNNNNNNNNNNNNNNNNNNNNNNNNNNNNNNNNNNNNNNNNNNNNNNNNNNNNNNNNNNNNNNNNNNNNNNNNNNNNNNNNNNNNNNNNNNNNNNNNNNNNNNNNNNNNNNNNNNNNNNNNNNNNNNNNNNNNNNNNNNNNNNNNNNNNNNNNNNNNNNNNNNNNNNNNNNNNNNNNNNNNNNNNNNNNNNNNNNNNNNNNNNNNNNNNNNNNNNNNNNNNNNNNNNNNNNNNNNNNNNNNNNNNNNCCAUUUUGCAGAUUGGAUGUACUACAUGCAUGGAAGCUGGCGUUGGAGUGCUUUAGUUUCCGUUUUUAUUUGAGUUGAUGAACAAUGUGUUGGUUCUUUGUAUGUGUUGAUGAACAAUGUGUUGAUGAACAAUAUAUGUGCAACUAUAUGUAUGUAUACAUGGAUGAAACUUUGUAUGUGUUGGUUCUUUUGAUAUAUGGGAUGUACGUUGAUGAACAAAUGGCAUUGAUGAGCUUUAUAUGUAUAUCAUAUAUGUGUUGUGACCUAUUUAUGAUAUAUGUGCUAUGAAUUAUAUGUAUAUGUGAUGUGAAAUAGAAAAAAUAAAUAAAAAUGUGACAAUAUAGGCUCUUUGCCGUCUUCCAGCUGAUGGCAAAGGCCUUUGCCGUCAGCUGACGGACGGCAAAGGUGCCACGUGGCGCCCAGCUGUGCAACCUGGGCAGUAGCAGCUGGCCAUAUAGUCUCUUUGCCGUCUGCUUCCUGGGGGGCAGACGGCAAAGAAAAGGGCACAGAGGAGGAGGCAGACGACAAAGAGUGGAGAGAGGGGGGAGGGGAGGACCCGACAGACGGCAAAGAUGGUCGUGGAGGCAGACGGCAAAGAUGGAGGGGAGGGGAGGAGAAGGCAGAUGGCAAAGAUUGACGGGGAGGCAGACGACAAAGAUUGACGAGGAGGAAGAUGGCAAAGGCUCCGUUAACCCCUAACGGAGGCAACGCCUGUCGGCUGCCGUCUCAAGCGCUUUGCCGACUGCUCCUAAGGAAAGCUGACGGCAAAGAGCUUUGCCGUCCGCUUUGGGGGGGCAGAAGGCAAAGAAGGUCCUAUGCCGUUGUAGGCUGACGCAGAAAUUUUGCCGGCCGUGACAAUCUUUGUCGUCUGUGGUAUUGUCUUUGCCGUCCGGGAUAGUGUCUUUGCCGUCUGUGAUGGCAGACGGCAAAGAAGGUGAUUCCUGUAGUGAGGGACCCGAUGGCAAUUAUUAUUAUUGCAGAUUGGUCCUUCUCCUUCAAAUGUUUAUAUAUUUUUGCCCGGGACUCCGAUUCCAAAGCCCACAUCUUUGUCUCGUCGAUCCCGUCAUGUUGGUAUCAUUCUCACAAGGUGGAUACACUGUGAAAAUGACCAUUUUGCCCUUGUCUCCAAUCAGCCCCCUUCGAGAGAGAGCGGUAUUCGGUGAUCCUUUUCGCGGACUCUCCGCACCUCUUCUAGGAGUAUACUUUGACCCCAAGCAAGCAACCACCUGACAUAUGCCCUAAAGCUCUGCUCUGUGUUGUUCCUGCAUGUUUAAUUAAUAUGCUUGUGAUUGUAUGUAUAGAAAUUUGCAGUAGGUGACUCUGACGAACCCUUGCUCACAUUUUCUUCAAUGAUGGCACCACGCCUGAGUCUGAGCUGCUUUCGGCCGUCCGGGGUGGAUGCCAACUUUAUAUUUCUCUUGUCAGCAGCUAGCUCGUGUUCUGAGCUGCUUUUCGACCGUCACGGGCAGCUGUUGAAUUUCUUUCUGUGGCAGCGACCCUAUGCUCUGAGAUGUUCCUUGGUCGUCUUAGGAAACUGCUACAUUCUUCUUAUCAACACCGCCUCAUGCUGUGUGCUGCUUUCCAGCCGUCUUGAGCCGGGGUUGAGUUAUUCCGGUAACGUCCUAGAUCUGUGUUGUAAAGACCGUUCUGGUGGCUACCGAUUUAUUUGUCAGUUUUCAGCGAAGGUUCCGAGGGUCUAAUUUACGGUUAGAGCUUGUAAAGUAAUAACUUGUCAUUUACAUCAUGUCUUAUUAAUGACUCAUAAUAUAAAGGUAGGUUGUGGUGUUUCUACCGUUGUUAUUUCAUGCAUAAUUAUCAUCAUGUUAAGUCAUUGUUGACAACAACCAUACUUGAUAAAUGUGUUGUUAAAACCAACCUAAUGGGUUGAUCUCGAGUCACUUUUCCGGGCUUAUCCGUGCAACCACAUUUGCCGAUAUGGGACGACCGUGACUUGGGAUGAUCGCGUGACCUUUCACCGGUACUUCCAAAGAGGGAGGAUUAUGCACGCGUGCUACCCUGAUCAGGUGGGCGGUGAUAAUCAUGUGAGCCCAGUUGAGUUGUUUGGGUACCCGUCCCCGGUUGGGACAGUUUAGUUUUGGCCACGACGGUGGCAGGUGUCAUGAGGACACAGGCCACCCAGGGCAGGACUCCAGGGAAGGAUGAAUGCCGGUGGUACGAUGAAAGAGUCACGGGUCAGGCUUGUUUCGUUGGAGCAACACUGGUCCACCCGAAUGGGAUCACGAGGUGAGUGCUCCAUAGUGUGGGUAAAGUGUGCAACCUCUGCAGAGUGUCAAAUCUAUUUGAAUAGCCGAGUCCACGGUAUUGGACGGCCCGACCAGACCUCAGUAGGUGGUCAACCGUAUCAGUGAUAAUAAUGAUGGAAGAACUCGCCUUGUGCAGACAUCGGAAGAUGUCCGGUUUAUGACAUGUUAGCCAUGGGAUGGCUAUGAGAUGAGUGGUCGGAUGACCACAUGAGUUGGAUUGGAUUUGGAUUAGAUUCAGACUGGAUUAUGAGAAUAGUCAGAGUAGAAAUCAUUUAUCCAAUAUGCUUUACCUUUUCAUAUUUACUUUAGAAGUUAUCUUGCUGGAUAAUCCUGUUAUACCUUGAUAAUUAAUAUUUCUAGAUAGGUAUGCUAUGAUGAUUCAUAUUUCUCUAAUAACAAAUACAUGCUUGAUUGCCAUAGAUUGCAUUGCUUAGUGUAUGUGUUAGUUUGGUUUUGCUUGCGAGUACAUUCAAAAGUACUCAGCGGCUUUUAACAUGGCCAGGUUCACAUAAGGAUCCGUCGUCCCUCAGCGAGGAACUGGAGCGUUCGUGGGCUAGGAGCGUAACCGAGUCAGAUCCGUGUGGAUUGGAGCCGCACCAGGACCAUGCUUCCUUAGAUAGAGCUUUUCCCGCUGCCAUCACCCUUGUAGUUCAUCAUGUAAAACUCUUAUAUUCAUUAAUAGAAAUGCAUGUGUUCAUGAUACUUGUUGUAAAUGUGCAUGCCAGAGUGAUUCCCUAGGCCGGUAUGCGCGGCGACCGUCUGGCUACAGUGGUAAUUAGACGGAGCGCCACAACAAAUGGUAUCACAGCUGCCAGGCUGACUAUAGGUUAUGCUAGCAAGACUUCACUGUCUCGUGUUCAGUAGAAAGCCUAGAUGGAUUUCAGCCAUCUUUGCCACUUGGCACGGCUACUAUUGAUCAUAAGGCAACCCCAUAGGUUUUCGGCUCCAUCAGACCCCAACUCUCGUGGCCCUUGCCUCCGGUAUGAAAUGCUCGCAACCGGCAAUGACCCGUGAGCCCAAGAAACCCCUAGGCAAACCAGAUAUCCUUACCCCUGCUUGCUAGCCAUGCCAUUUCUCUCCUUACUCUAGUUUCCUUUGGGAGACGCUUAUAAAUUCUAUCCCUCCUCGACAACCUUAGGAGUGUUGACUAAGCCACUUUGGUUAUGGUCCUGCGUCGAGUGUGAUGCUCCCUAAGUAAGUAGUAGGAGCUUGACACCAAUGCUACCAGGAGCAUUGCGUGGUUCCACUUCUAAAUCCUUAGAGGUACAUCGAGUGCGCUAUAUUAUUUAUAUUAGUGAAUCCUCGGCCAUGUGUAAGGUCCGCAACACUUGAACUUUAUUUGCUUUUUGGUUUUUCGCGAUUCUCGUUUCUUUUGUCGGUUUCGUUUUUUCUUCUCCGACUGGAUCCAUCUGCCAGAGUUGUCUAAGAAGACUAACAUGCAGCCAGGAUAAUACCCAAUAAUCCCCAUUUCAACAAAAGACAAGCCAUGCCAACCGCCUGAUAUUCAGAACAUUACCACCGGAUCUGUCAAGAAUGAAGAAUGGGUCAGAAGCAGAAUCGUGUGCAACAGAAAAAGGCAGAAUAUACCUGAGAGAGUUUGCCUCAGAAUAAACCAUGCCUAAGGAACAUGCAGAUCGGCUACCAAGAAUGAACAUCAAUAGGGACAAAUUAUUCAGUCCACGAUACAAGGAUUAUUUCAGUCAGUAUGGUAAACCCUGAGUUUUCUUUCAAUUGACCCAAGAAUCAUUUACUCUUCACCAAGGACAUAUUUCAAGAAUGAGAGUGACCCAAAAGCAGCAAAACUCCGGUACGUUGGUACAAAUUUCAAGGCAAAUCUUGAAGCUCAUUGGUGCAAAUAUAAAAUUUUCUGGGCACUGUGAACAAAGGUCUACAAGGAAUAUGGAUAAGUUCACAGUUGUCCGAAUCAAGGAGCACCUAACAUGCUUGGAAACUUAGCUGAAUCAAAUGGAAUUAUCCAUCAAUUGCUUAUUAUCGACAACACCUGGUUUGAACAUAUGACCUUCUGAAUCAAUUGUCAACAUGAGGUCUGCACCAGCUAUGCAACCUUUACAACGACAAUAACCACACCAGCAGAAGGACAAGCGAUGCGCAUGACCAAUGAAAUAUCUUCAGUCAAGGUAUGACAUAUAUCAAGUUGUGACUCUGCUAUGGGUAAAAUUUUGGAUACUUCAAAAGGAAGCCAGAACCAGAUCUGGGGAUACAUCAUAGCAAAAGGCUUCUGGAAUAAGUAACCUAGCCUUCCCCCACAAGCUACCAAGAAGAGCUUACUGUCAGUCAUCCUCGAUACGCCACUCGGUGAAAGAUCCUUAUGGGAUAUGACACACCCAUCUUCAAUAGUAGGCUACCACGGAGAGCUUCUGGCAUAAGGAACCCGACCUUCCGCAGCAAGCCACUUGAAGGAAAGAUUUUGAGGUAUGAUAACUGAUACGUCUCCAACGUAUCUAUAAUUUUUUAUGGUUUCAUGCUAUUAUCUUGUCAAACUUUGGAUGUUUUGCAUGCCUUUUAUUUAUUUUUUGGGACUAACUUAUUAACUCAGGGCCAAGUGACAGUAACUAUUUUUUCCAUGUUUUUGACCCCUUUCAGAGGAGAUUUUGAACGGAGUCCAAACGGAAGAAAAUCCCCGAAAAGAUUUUUUUUUGGAAUGGAAGAAGAUCGGAGAACUUGGGAGCCAAGCCAGAGGAGCUCCAGGGGCCCCACAAGCCCCCACCCCGCGGCCAGGGGCAUGCCAUCCAGGCUUGUGGGCCCCCUAGAGGUCCAUUGACCUAGAUCUUUCGCCUAUAUAAUCCCAAAAAUUCCAGAAAAAAUCAGGAGAUCAUCGCAAUCACUUUUCCGCUGCCGCAAGCUUCUGUCUCCGCAAGAUCCCAUCUGGGGCAGGUCCUGGUGCCCUGCCGGAGGGGGGAUUCAUACACGGAGGGCUUCUUCAUCAACACCAUGACCUCUCCGAUGAUGCGUGAGUAGUUCACCAUAGACCUACGGGUCCAUAGCUAGUAACUAGAUGGCUUCUUCUCUCUCUCUUGGAUCUUCAAUACAAAGUUCUCCAUGAUCUUCAUGGAGAUCUAUCCGAUGUAAUCUUAUUUUGCGGUGUGUUUGUCGAGAUCCGAUGAAUUGUGGAUUUACGAUCAUAUUAUCUUCGAAUCUUAUUUGAGUUUCUUUUGAUCUCUCUUAUGCAUGAUUUUAUAUCCUUGUAAUUCUCUUCGAGUUGUGGGUUUUGUCUGGCCAACUAGAUCUAUGAUUCUUGCAAUGGGAGAAGUGCUUGGUUUUGGGUUCAUACCGUGUGGUGACCUCACCCAGUGACAGAAGGGGUAACGAGGCACGCAUCGUGUUGUUGCCAUCAAGGGUAAAAAGAUGGGGUUUUCAUCAUUGGUUUGAGAUUAUCUCUCUACAUCAUAUCAUCUUGCUUAAAGCAUUACUCUAUUCGUCAUGAACUCAAUACACUAGAUGCAUGCUGGAUAGCGGUCGAUGUGUGGAGUAAUAGUAGUAGAUGCAGAAAGUAUCGGUCUACUUGUCUCGGACGUGAUGCCUAUAUGCAUGAUCAUUGCCUUAGAUAUCGUCAUGACUUUGCGCAGUUCUAUCAAUUGCUCGACAGUAAUUUGUUCACCCACCAUAGUACUUGCUAUUUUGAGAGAAGCCUCUUGUGAACACUAUGGCCCCCAGGGUCUACUCCACACCAUAUUUUCAGCCUUACACUUUUUACUUCGUUGCACUUUCCGCCUUUAGAUCUCACUUUGCAAACAAUCUUGAAGGGAUUGACAACCCCUUUGAAGCGUUGGGUGCAAGCUUGUUUGUGUUUGCGCAGGUACUCUGGACUUGACGAGACCCUCCUUCUGGAUCGAUACCUUGGUUCUCAAACUGAGGGAAAUACUUACUGCUCAUGUGAUGCAGGCCCAGCCUUUGUCAACGUGUCAACUUCUGGCGCUGUUGUCUGUGGGAUAGCAGAAGAAUUUCUGGCGCCGUUGCCGGGGAGGAUCAAGUCAAGAACUCAUCCAAGUAAGUGUCACAAACUCAUCUCUUGCAUUUACUUUGUUUGCCAGUUGCCUCUCGUUUUCCUCUUCCCCACUUCACCAAUUUGCCUUUUUAGUUUGCCUUUUUCGUUUGCCUUUUUCGUUCGCCCUUUUAUUUCGCUUGCCUUUCCUUUGCUUGUGUGCUAUGUGCCUUCAAUAUGCUUGCAUCUUCGCUUGCUGAAAAUCUAGUGUAAUGCCCCAAGUGUGUUACCUUCCCUUUUUGGAACCUUCUUUAUGUGGGUCCAACUUGUCAUGGACAUGAGAGUUAUCAAUGCAUGUGAUUUCAUGUGUCACCUUGUCUAAUUCUUCCUUGCAUGCAUGCAUUCCAUAUCAUGUCAUGUGUCAUGUGCUGUUGCUUGUCGUCAUAUGAGGUGAUGUGUGAUCUUGUGUGAGAUGUGGCUUUGGAAUGUGUGGUGUGGUGCAACUCUAGUAGUUUGCAUGUGAUAUAGGAAUAGUGAUUGUGGUGGCAUAAGGUUUCAAAACUUCUCCCUCCUAUUUAUCUCAAGCCCAUGUAUUUGUUUGCCUCUUCUUUGUUUUAAAAAUGCCCAUGUGUUAGCAUAAUUUGUGGUGAUUUUUGAGAUGUGGAGAAGCUGUUUUAAAGGGUGUUUCAACAGGUGCAAAUAUGCCCAAAACAGCCAAUGAUAAUGCUGUUUUGAAAAUAUUAAGAAGCCCCAAAUAAUUCUUUUCCAUUUUAUUCAAUUAGGUCAUGAUUUAUCAUGACCAGGGACAUUUUUGUUUUGAUUUAAUCCCCAACAUAUUUUUCUUGGCUUUAUUUUCUUUCUCUAAGUAAUUUUUAUAUUGGGAAGCCAGGGAUUUAUUUUCCUCUCUCUUAUCUGGCGCCACCCUGUGGGCUUCCUCCCACAGGCCGGCCCAGUCCCUCCUCGCUCCCGCGACCUCCUUCUCCUUCAAACGUCGUUCCCCUCUUCCUUCUUCCGUCACAGAGAGAGCGCCGCGUGUGUGUGAGAGGGCGUGUAACGCCAUGAGCUUCACGGACGUCGAGGCCUCUAUUUAACCUCGACGUGCGUGCCCUACCUGUCUAGGGUUCCGCGUCCUCCCCUCCUGUCGUCGCCACCUCCAUUCCCCAUCUCUCUCCCCCUCUCCUCUGCAAGGUAAGCAACAGUGAGAUUCAGAGAGAGCAGAGGUUCAGAGAAGUGCGUCGUCGAUCGCCGUCCCUUCCCUCGUCGCCACCGCGUCUCGUCGAGCCCGAGGCACCCACGAGGAUGGGGAACCUUCCCCCGUUCCAUCCCUGGCGCUAGCGGGGUCGGACCUCCUUCCUGGCGUCACCUCCAUGUCGGCGUCGCUGGAGCAGCUGCGGGUCGAAGCGGUCUGCUUCCCCUUCUUCCCCUUCGGUCAAGCAGAGCGGCCUCGAAGGUCCAGGGUGAGCAGCUCGUCCCUCCUCCGCCUUUUCCCCCUCGCGCGUAGCAUCCCAGGCUCCUAGCGCCGCUGUUCUGUCGCCGUCGCCGCCGCGUAGCCGUGUGUCGUGGAGCCGCCGUAGUGGUCUUCCUCUCGCCAGGUUAGGCACGGGAAUGAGACCCUGGUGAUCUCCUCUUCCUCCCCGCAAGCAACCGUAGCUCGAUUAGGCGCGCAGCACCGUCAAUUGCCGUCCCCUGUUCCGGCCACCGCCGAUCGGGUGCAGGAACAGAGGGGGGUUACCCCAAGAGGGUUCCCUCCUCUUAUGUGUUAAGAACCGAUGCAUAGCAGGGUCGAACCCAGGAACCCCUUCCCUUUGUAUUUUUUGUUGUUUUUUCCUUGCUGGCUAGUUCCUUUGUUGCCCUAGUAAAUCCUGUGCAUGUGGUGUAUUCUUUUCCUUUUUGUAUUGUUUUCUUUUGCCUAAGUGUAUGUAUGUGAGAGCAGGAGUGUGUGCAUGUGUAGGUGGUAGUAGAGGGUGAUGUGUAGAUGAUGGUGUUGUGGUGUGUGUGUGUGGUAGCACACAUGCAAGUGGUGCCUUGUGGUUGAUGUGUGUGUAUGCAUCUCACACACAUGAACAAGAGUUCAUGUGCAUAAGUGUGGUGCAAGCACCAAUGAGGUUAUGCUUGUGCACCUCUUGUGCAAUAUGUGGUGCUGUGUGUGUAGUUGUGUGGGUGUAGGUUGGUUCACCCCACCUCCUAAAGCAAGGUGCACCAACACAUGUCCAUAUGUGUGAGUGUGUAUCCUCAUGAGGGUGUAUCCUUCCUUGUGAGUGUGUAGUAUUAUCAUGUGUAUGAGUGCAUUGUUGUUAUGAGUGCAUGGAUUUAUAGUAUUUCUAGAUCCUAUGUGAGUGUGUGGGUGCUCAUGUGAGUAUGACCACACCCACAUCAUGGAAAGUUAUGCCUUGUUGGGCAUAUGUGCAAGAUUUCAUGUGUAGGUGAUGAUAUUAUGUUUUGCUUGUUGUUUGUGAUGGUGUGGUGAUGUGCCAAGUCACAUAGGCAUGAGGUCUACCCCUCAUGUACCCCAUAGAUGUUGUGGUCAUGUGUAAUGAUUUUGCACUUGUGAUGAUGCACUAUUCACUACUCCCUCCGUUCCUAAAUAUAAGUCUUUUAAGCGAUUUCACUAAGGGACUACAUACAAAACAAAAUGAGUGAAUCUACACUCUAAAGUAUGUCUAUAUACAUCCGUAUGUAGUCCUCUAGUGGAAUUUCUAAAAAGACUUAUAUUAUGGAACGGAGGGAGUACAUAUGAUUCCUUGUAGUUUUUCUUCCCUAGUUUGUGCUCACUUGUUCCAAGCAAGUGCAUAGGUAUUUUAUAUGCUUUUGGGGUAGAAUCAUCCCAGCAAUCCAUUGGUGAGAUCAGUUUUGCCAUUGGAACACUUUCUGGAAAUGACAUAUUUCAGAUUUGUUCUAUGUUUAGAGCUUGGUUCCAUGAGUUGUGGUGUGCACAAAAGGUUGAUUCCUUGUUGUGGCAUUGGAGGGUGACCCCCUCUACCACUUGUUGCUUUUGUUUCAUGUUUAGGAAUGCAUAUGUGCAAGUUGUGCCCAAUCAAAGUAGGCAUGUGGCUGAAAUUCCAGAUUAGUGAAAAUCUGAGAUUUUCACUAAGUCUGAGAAUCUAUUUAUAUUUUCUUCUCCUGUUGAUGAGCUUGUGCAGGUCAAUGUGUUGUGAUUCAGCCUUAGCUUUGAACUGGAAAGUUGAAGCUUAUAUGUUUGUCUAGCUCCCUGUAAAUUUUCAUUCCAUUUGGAGUCAUGUAGAUAUUGUUUUGGCUGCUGUCAAAAUGCUUCAGAGCAUAAACAUAUAGUGAGAAUCUGGAAUUUUCACUAAGUCCCUGAAAUCUGAUAAUUUUUGGGCAAGUUUGCAGCUGUGUAACUUUCUGUGUUUAACUCCUUUGUGUGAUAUUUUUGCUUGUUAUUUUAGUACUCUUGGAUAGCUACAGCCACAUAUCUUAUUUGGCAUGUUUAGGUGGCUGUAGGUGCUUUGCAUGUAGCUCACAAAGUGCUAUGAUGUUGUUUAUGGCAGAUUGUGUAGUUUUGAUGUUUUGAUGAUUGUGAGUGCAUAGUUGAUGGUGUGGUGAUAUUCUUUGCACCACCCUAUCCAUGUUGGUUUGUUUUAUGUCUUGGCUACCUGAGAAUACCAGAGUUGAGCCAUUGGAGUGUAUUAUGAUGAAUUUGACACGUAGGGCUUCAUAUCUUGUUUUGUUGAUUCCUGUUGAUCCGUAACUCCGUUUGUAAUGUUCUUUAUAUGCUUUUGCAUCGUUUUCACGUGACGCAUCUGAUCAUGUCAUUCUCAUGCAUGUCAAGAUAGCUUAGGAUGCAGUUCUGUCCAGGAACAUGUAUUUACUUCUCAUGCUUGUGCUAGUGAGUAGAAUAGUGAUGCAUGCUCAUAUUCAUCUCAUGCAUCAUGUGCUUGUUGCAUCUUGAGGUGCUGUUGUUCAUUGGAUGUUAUUCUUAUGUUGGGUAGCACCGGGAUCGGAGAACGAGUACAUGGAUUCGGGAGAGUACGUGCAGGACGAACAAGAAUAGUUCCAAACUGAGGAUAUCACAGGCAAGAUGAUAUGACCUUGAUUCCAUCUCUAGACUUGUUAUGCUAGAUUACAUUUCCUUUGUCAUAUGCUCGCUGCCUACCACUGAAAUAAUUGCCUCCUGAAUUGCCAUGAAACCCAAACACUUAUCCCUUCCUAGCAAAUCUUGAAUGGCUAAGUAGGCUUUGCUCAGCUACUAAUGUUAGCGUUGCUAGAUGCAGGUGCAAUUGUCUAAUGUGAUAACAUGAGUUUGAUAUCAUUAUGUUAAAUCUGUUAUUUAAUUAAUGCAGCUAUAUACUUGGUAAAUAACGGAAGGCCUAGCCUUUUGUCGGGUGUUUUGUUCCAUUAUUGCCGCCAUAGCUACCGGCUACCGGUGUUUGAUUCCAUAUUGAUCGCUCCUAACACGUUCGGGGUUGUUAUGGAGACCCCCUCGAUAAAUCGCGUAGUGUUAAGACUUGUCCGGCAGGACCCAACAUUGGUGUUAAUUUGCUAAUCACUUAAUAAUAAUCUGCAUAGGGAAUAGCUACCCCGAGGAAUUUAAUCAACAACCCGGUCCAGUGCUCCUCAUGAGUGUUGGUCCAACCCAGAGCAGCUUAUUACGCUCCCCGGGGCAACUCGGUGUUUUGGCGUGGUAACCAUCGCUCAUGCGGCGUGUCCUGAGACUGAGAUACGCGACUCUCAUCAGGGUCGUCGACACGUCGGGAGGUCCUGCUAGUCUUGUCUUACUUUAGCGAUAUAUCUUGCGUAUAGGAAUCCCGAUGAAGCUUUGGUUCUCCCCAGAGUUGAGGUUUUCCUCUAAGGAAUCCGACGACAUCACGAGAUUCGUGAUAGAGGAUUACUUUGCGGCCAGUGUACGUUUGUGAUAGACUAGUUGGAGCACCCCUGCAGGGUUUAAUCUUUCGGAAAGCCGUGCCCGCGGUUAUGUGGCAAUUUGGAAUAUUUUGUUAACAUCCGGUAAUAAAUAACUUAAACAUAAGCUAAUAAAAUUGCCAACUGUGUGCGUAACCGUGACUGCCCCCUCGAAGAUCUCUCUUCGAUCGGGAACAUGGUGGGGUUAUGAUUGACGUAGGUAGGUGUUCAGGAUCACUUAGUGAUCAUCUAUUAUCAACCGCUAGAAUAGACCACCUUCAUACAUGUUCGACGUAAGUUAGCCACCAUAUUAAGCUUAGGAUGCUGCAAGCUAAACACUCCAUCUUCCAACCUAAUAACUUGACUAGUUCUGGCACCGAGGUCAUAGAUUGUUGAGUCCCCGUGCCUCACAGAUUCCUUCACAACACCAACAGGUUCAGGUACCCCCAAGACAGGUGAUCCCGACGGCACGCAGCUAGCGUGGCAGUACGAUGAGGAGAACGACCGCCUGUACGUGAACUAUCUAGAAGAUUGAGGCGUGGUCGUGAUCGUGGGCAAGCAUGCAGGGUAGCAUAGUCAUUUCCCUUGUUUUGUAGUCCGUAGCGGAAUUACCUUGUUAGGAUGCAUGAUGUAACUCUGAUAUAUUUAUGAGAUGACAGUUGAAUCCCUUAUUGUCAUUCCUCUACUUUAAUGUAUGUGCUAUGUUACCAUGUUUGCGAAACGCUUAAAUGCGCUUCUUUCCAAUUCGGGGCCUCGAUCCCCAAAUCGGAAAGGAUCGCAUCUUAGUCGUUACAUCUAGUGAUAUGGAUCCUCAUCCACUUGCUAAUCUCUUUAAGAGAUCCAAUUAUGUUGAUCCUAUUGCUAGUGAGUUGAGUGCACUUGACUAUCCUUAUGGAGUUUUGCUUGAGAUGCGUGAAUCUGAAAAUCGUGAUGAGGAAAUUUAUGAAGUGAUUCACGAGGGAUCCUUGAAUGAAAAGCAUGAUUGCAAUGAUUUCAUUAUAAAUUCUAUUAAUGACAAUCAAGCUAAAAAUAUGCAAAACCCUAAGCUUGGGGAUGCUAGUUUUGCUAUGUCCACUACUUGUUGCAAUGAUAUUUGCAAUAAUAUUGAAAGUGGGUUUGGAGAAGUCAUGACUUUAGUUGAUGAUAAUGCCACUAUUUUUGAAGAGCGUCAACUUUGCAUGCAUGUGGAUCAUGAAAAUAAUAUCCUUUGCGACAGCUAUUUUGUUGAAUUUGAUUAUGAUCCCACAUGUAAUUGCUAUGAGAGAGGAAAAUAUUGUGGUAGAAACUUUCAUGUUACCAAAUUACCUCUCAUUAUGUGGAGAUUGCUAUUGUCUCUUUCUUCUUCCUUGCAUAUGGAAACUAUUGGUUGUCUUGACAAUCUGUUUUCCUAUAAAAUACCUAUGCAUAGGAAGUAUGUUAGACUUAGAUGUGAUUUUCACAUGCUUUAUGAUGCUCUCGUUGUGCUUCAAUUCUUGUCUUUUGUGUGAGCAUCAUUGAUUUACCAAUGCCUAGCUAAGGGUGUUAAACAAUAGCGCUUGUUGGGAGGCAACCCAAUGAAUUUGUCUUUUUCUUUCUGUUUUGUUGCAUCCACACUAUCAUAAUUCUGUUGUGAUUGUGUUUUUUGUGUUUGAGACAAGCAAAACCUUUAUGACUAGUCUUGGUAAUGGUUGUUUGAUCCUGCUGGAAAAAGACAGAAACUUUUCGCUCACGAGAUGAUUUUUCAUUUUUAUUCAGAAAUAGAUCUUGAGUUGAUUCUUUUUGUUGCUGGUUGAUAUGCCUUUUGCCCAGGCAGUCGUAAUUGUUCAGAUUUUUUGAGGUACCAGAAGUAUACGAAGUAUACAGAUUGCUACAGACUGGUCUGUUUUUGACAGAUUCUGUUUUUGUUGAGUUGGUUGCUUGUUUUGAUGAAACCAUGGUUAAUAUCGGGGGCUACUAGCCAUGGAAAAGUGAGAAUACAGUAGUCCAACACCAAUAUAGAUAGAAUUCAAGUUUGCUACAGUACCAAAAGAAGUGGUAGUUUGUUCUCUUGUGCUAAUGUUAUCACGAGUUUCAGUUUAAGUUUUGUGUUGUGAAGUUUUCAAGUUUUGGGUGAUGUUCUCAUGGACAAAGAGAUAAGGAGUGGAAAGAGCUCAAGAUUGGGGAUUCCCAAGGCAUCCCAAGCCAAAUUCAAGGACACCAAAAAGCCUAAGCUUGGGGAUGUCCCGGGAAGGCAUCCCCUCUUUCGUCUUCAAUCCAUCGGUAACAUUACUUGGAGCUAUAUUUUUAUUCACCACAUGAUAUGUGUUUUGCUUGGAGCGUCUGGUAUCAUAGGAGUCUUUUCUUUUUGUUGUGUCACAAUCAUCCUUGCUGCACACCUUUUUGUGAGAGAGAGACAUGCACUCAUCGUGAUUUUGCCAGAAUGCUUAUAGUGCUUCACUUAUAUCUUUUGAGCUAGAUACUUUUGCUCUAGUGCUUCACUUAUAUCUUUUGAGCUAGACACUUUUGCUCUUGUGCUUCACUUAUAUCUUUAGAGCACGGUAGUGCGUGAUUUGGUAGUUGGCUUAUGCUAUGAAAGUAGUCCCAUGUGCUAGGUACCCAAAGAGGAUGCAAAAACCUCCAUCUUCAUGUGCAUUGAGUAGAAAGAGAAGUUUCAGUUCCUCUCAACUAGUUUUGAGACAUGGAUUCGGUAAUAUUGAGAGUUAUGUUAGUAGGGUGUUGUGAAUCUAGAGAUACUUGUGUUGGAGUUAGUGAUUCCCGUAGCAUGCACGUAUGGUGAACCGCUAUGUUAGGAAGUCGGAGCAUAAUUGAUCUAUUGAUUGUCAUCCAUUGUGUUGAGGUCGGGAUCGCGCGAUGGUUCACACCUACCAACCCUUCCCCUCGGAGUAUGCGUUUAGCACUUUGUUUCGAUUACUAAUAAAAACUUUCGCAACAAGUAUGUGAUUUCUUCAUGACUAAUGUGAGUCCAUGGUAUAGAUGCACUUUCACCUUCCACCAUUGCUAACCUCUCUAGUGUCGCGCAAUUCUCGCCGGUGCACAAACCACCAAAUUCCUUCCUCAAAAUAGCCACCAUACCUACCUACUAUGGCAUUUUCAUAGCCAUUCCGAGAUAUAUUGCCAUGCAACUACCACCGUUCCGUCUCAUGACUUGUGCCAUCACUCUCAUAUUGCCAUUGCAUGAUCGUAAGAUAGCUAGAGAGAUGUUUCAACGUCAUACGCCAUGCUAGAUCGUUGCACAUCCCGGUACACUGCCGGAGGCAUUUCCUAUAGAGUCAUCACCAUUUUGAGCUGUGAGCAUUGUUGAGAAAAUCGUUAACUGGUAACUGCUCGGUUGGUUGGUCAGUAGGGGAUUAAUGGGUUAAUCGGCAAGUUAAUCGAUCAUUUAAUCCAUUAAUCGGUCGAUUUAUCAAUUAAUCGGCUACUCGGUGACCCUGCGAGUAGGGAUUAAUCGGCAAGUAAACUGAUUAACUCGACGAAUUCUUGAACAAGGGCUGUGAGUAAAUAAAAGUGUGAUGAUCAUCAUUUUUAGAGCAUUGUCCCAUGUGAGGAAAAAAAAGAGGCCAAAGAGCCCAAAAACAAAAAAAAGAGCCCCCCCAAGAAAAGAGAAAAAGAGACCUAAGAGCCCAAAUGAAAAAAAAGAAUGAAAAAGAGAGAAGGGAUAAUGCUACUAUCUUUUUCCACACUUGUGCUUCAUGAUAGCACCAUGUUCUUCAUGAUUGAGAGCUUCUUGUUUUGUCACUACCAUAUGCUAGUGGGAAUCUUAAUUGUAUAACUUGGCUUGUAUAUUCCAAUGAUGGGCUUCCUCAAAAUUGCCCUAGGUCUUCGUGAGCAAGCAAGUUGGAUGCACACCCACUAGUUUUCCUUUUGAGCUUUCACAUACUUAUAGCUCUAGUGCAUCUCUUGUAUGGCAAUCCCUACUCCUUCACAUUGAUAUCUAUUAAUGGACAUCUCCAUAGCCUAUUGAUGCGCCGAGUCAAUGUUACCAUCUCCUCCUUUUUAUCUCACAACCACCACCACACUCUAUUCCACCUAUAGUGCUAUAUCCAUGGCUCGCGCUCAUGUAUUGUGAUAACUAUCUUUGGCCUUGUUAUUUGAAAGUUCAUGAUUACUUUGCUAGUUUGCUUGAAGUAUUACUGUUUUCAUGUCAAUAGAAAACUAUUGUUUUGAAUCUUACGGAUCUGAACAUUCAUGUCAUGUGAAAGAAGUUGCAAAGGACAACUAUGCUAGGUAGCAUUCCACAUAAAAAAUUCAUUCUUUAUCACUUCCAUACUCGAGGACGAGCAGGAGUUAAGCUUGGGGAUGCUUGAUACGUCUCCAACGUAUCUCUAAUUUUUGAUGGUUUCAUGCUAUUAUCUUGUCAAACUUUGGAUGUUUUGCAUGCCUUUUAUUUAUUUUUUGGGACUGACUUAUUAACUCAGUGCCAAGUGUCAGUUCCUGUUUUUCCAUGUUUUUGACCCCUUUGAGAGGAGAUUUUGAAACGGAUUCCAAACGGAAGAAAAUACCCGAAAAGAUUUCUUUUUUGGAACGGAAGAAGAUCGGGGAACUUGGGAGCCAAGACAGAGGAGCUCCAGGGGCCCCACAAGCCCCCCCCCCUCACGGCCAGGGGGCCGCGCCAUCCAGGCUUGUGGGCCCCCUGGAGGUCCCCUGACCAAGAUCUUUCGCCUAUAUAAUCCCAAAAAUUCCAGAAAAAAUCAGGAGAUCAUCGCAAUCACUUUUCCGCCGCCGCAAACUUCUGUCUCCGCAAGAUCCCAUCUGGGGCACGUCCUUAUGCCCUGUCGGAGGGGGGAGUCGGACACGGAGGGCUUCUCCAUCAACACCAUGACCUCUCCGAUGAUGCGUGAGUAGUUCACCAUAGACCUACGGGUCCAUAGCUAGUAACUAGAUGGCUUCUUCUCUCUCUUGGAUCUUGAAUACAAAGUUCUCCAUGAUCUUCUUGGAGAUCUAUCCGAUGUAAUCUUCUUUUACGGUGUGUUUGUCGAGAUCCGAUGAAUUGUGGAUUUAUGAUCAGAUUAUCUAUGAAUCUUAUUUGGGUUUCUUCUGAUCUCUCUUAUGCAUGAUUUCAUAUCCUUGUAAUUCUCUUCGAGUUGUGGGUUUUGUCUGGCCAACUAGAUCAAUGAUUCUUGCAAUGGGAGAAGUGCUUGGUUUUGGGUUCAUACCAUGCGGUGACCUCACCCAGUGACAGAAGGGGUAGCGAGGCACGUAUCGUGUUGUUGCCAUCAAGGGUAAAAAGAUGGGGUUUUCAUCAUUGGUUUGAGAUUAUCCCUCUACAUCAUGUCAUCUUGCUUAAAGUGUUACUCUAUUCGUCAUGAACUCAAUACACUAGAUGCAUGCUGGAUAGCGAUCGAUUUAUGGAGUAAUAGUAGUAGAUGGAGAAAGUAUCGGUCUACUUGUCUCGGACGUGAUGCCUAUAUGCUAGAUCAUUGCCUUAGAUAUCGUCAUGACUUUCCGCGGUUCUAUCAAUUGCUCGACAAUAAUUUGUUCACCCACCGUAUUACUUGCUAUUUUGAGAGAAGCCUCUAGUGAACACUAUGGCCCCCAGGGUCUACUCCACAUCAUAUUUUCAGCCUUAAACUUUUUACUUCGUUGCACUUUCCGCCUUCAGAUCUCACUUUGCAAACAAUCUUGAAGGGAUUGACAACCCCUUUGAAGCGUUGGGUGCAAGCUUGUUUGUGUUUGUGCAGGUACUGUGGACUUGACGAGACCCUCCUUCUGGAUCGAUACCUUGGUUCUCAAACUGAGGGAAAUACUUACUGCUCCUGUGCUGCAUCACCCUUUCCUCUUCAAGGGAAAAACCAACGCAAGCCCAAUCUCCGUCAACGUGUCAAUUUCUGGUGCUGUUGUUUGAGAAGUAGCAGCGUACACGUGGGCUCUGCACCGAUCUGUGACGACGGAGACGAGCAAGCGUUGUUUUCGCCGCCUCGAUAGGGAGAUGGCCACGUAUGGCGAGGAGUGGUCUCGCGUUGAAAUCGCUGCCGCCAAUGACCCCUCCUCCAAGGUCCGCUGGCCUCUACCCGUCCAUGUCGUCGAUGGUCGUGGCCACCCUGCGCACGGGAGGAAGCGGAGAGAAUCAUCCGCGCAAGACAGGCAACUGUCGGGAUGCCCUGCCGCGAGGCCGCCUCUUUCCACCACCCAAAGUCCGACAAGGAAGACUCCAACGAUGGAGCGGGCGACAACGAUGAAGGAGGAGCCGUCGGCCAGAUCGACAUGGCGUACGAGGUCACCGUCAACUAUAGGUAGUUUAGGGUUUUAGUUCACCGGACAAAAUAUCGUCCAGUUUUAUAUACAAAUUAUCCUAUUUCAGAUGAAAUAUGUCGUGUUUAUAUCAAAAUUCGACUAGUUUAUAUGGAUUUUGUCCGGUCAAAUUGUUGUCAAAAUAUUACUACUACGGUUGAACGACAUCCUUUCGCAUCCGUGUCCAUGAAUUAUCCCCUGUCCACGAAUGGAUACGGAAAGAAAUUUACAAAUCACCAUUGAAGAUGCCUUAAGAACCACUCCCCCAACCCUAUUUUUUUAUAUUAGGGUUAGAGAGGCAAGACCGGGAGCAACUAGUUAGCGAGCGCUCCCUCGCGAGCCUUCCAGCAAUCGCUCCCGUGUGCCGCCACUUGGCGCGUUUCCAGCCGCCGCCACGUGUUUUCUUUUUUUACGCGAAAAAACUCGUUCUUUGUUGUUGUUUUUUUGCGAGAGGCACGGUUUUGCUUCAGCAAGAGGCACGGUUUUGCCUUCGCGAGAGGCACGCCCGUGCCUUUCAGAAAUGAAAAAAACACGUUUUCUGUUAUUUUUUACGAGAGGCACGUUUUUGCUUCCGCGAAAGGCACGGUUUUGCCUUCGCGAGAGGCACGCCCUUGCCUUUCGGAAAGGAAAAAAACGUGUUUUCUGUUUUUUUUACGAGAGGCACGGUUUUGCUUCCGCCAAAGGCACGGUUUUGCCUUCGCGAGAGGCACGCCCGUGCCUCUCUCGAAAGGGAAAAAACGUGUUUUCUGUUCUUUUUUGCGAGAGGCGCGGUUUUGCUUCCGCGAAAGGCACGGUUUUUCCUUUGCGAGAGGCACGCCCGUGCCUCUCCCGAAAAGAAAAAAAACGUGUUUUCUACUUUUUUUUCUCUCCGUGAGGCACGGUUUUGCUUCAGCGAGAGGUACGGUUUUGCCUUCCCGAGAGGCACGACCCGUGUCUCUUGGAAAGGGAAAAAACCGCGUUUUCUGUUUUUUCUAUCGCGUGAGGCACUGUUUUUUCGUCCGUUUUUCUUCCGUUUUUUCAUGAAAAAAAUCCUCAAAACCUAUCAACAUGGGAUCUUGUUUUGAAGAUCUCGACGCGUGAAAGGCAACGGUGAAAACGGUUCAAGAUUUGAACACACGGUUUAAGAGAUAAAACGUUUUGAAAAUACGGAUCUACGAAAAAAGGGAAAACUUCCAGGUUGCGACAAAUGGCACGCAUGCAGUGCGCCACUUGUCACAAACUGUGAAGGUGGAAGUAAUCGUUGAAAGAUGUAUUCGCUAACUAGUAAUUUCGAACUGUUGGGGAACGUCGCAUGGGAAACAAAAAUUUUCCUACGCGCACGAAGACCUAUCAUGGUGAUGUCCAUCUACGAGAGGGGAUGAGUGAUCUACGUACCCUUGUAGACCGUACAGCAGAAGCGUUAGAGAACGCGGUUGAUGUAGUGGAACGUCCUCACGUCCCUCGAUCCGCCCCGCGAACAAUCCCGCGAUCAGUCCCACGAUCUAGUACCGAACGGACGGCACCUCCGCGUUCAGCACACGUACAGCUCGACGAUGAUCUCGGCCUUCUUGAUCCAGCAAGAGAGACGGAGAGGUAGAAGAGUUCUCCGGCAGCAUGACGGCGCUCCGGAGGUUGGUGAUGACCUUGUCUCAGCAGGGCUCCGCCCGAGCUCCGCAGAAACGCGAUCUAGAGGAAAAACCGUGGAGGUAUGUGGUCGGGCUGCCGUGGAAAAGUCGUCUCAAAUCAGCCCUAAAACCUCCGUAUAUAUAGGUGGGAGGGAGGGGGCCUUGCCUUGGGGCUCAAGGAGCCCCAAGGGGGUCGGCCGAGUCCAAGGGGGAGGACUCNNNNNNNNNNNNNNNNNNNNNNNNNNNNNNNNNNNNNNNNNNNNNNNNNNNNNNNNNNNNNNNNNNNNNNNNNNNNNNNNNNNNNNNNNNNNNNNNNNNNNNNNNNNNNNNNNNNNNNNNNNNNNNNNNNNNNNNNNNNNNNNNNNNNNNNNNNNNNNNNNNNNNNNNNNNNNNNNNNNNNNNNNNNNNNNNNNNNNNNNNNNNNNNNNNNNNNNNNNNNNNNNNNNNNNNNNNNNNNNNNNNNCCGCGAACAAUCCCGCGAUCAGUCCCACGAUCUAGUACCGAACGGACGGCACCUCCGCGUUCAGCACACGUACAGCUCGACGAUGAUCUCGGCCUUCUUGAUCCAGCAAGAGAGACGGAGAGGUAGAAGAGUUCUCCGGCAGCGUGACGGCGCUCCGGAGGUUGGUGAUGACCUUGUCUCAGCAGGGCUCCGCCCGAGCUCCGCAGAAACGCGAUCUAGAGGAAAAACCGUGGAGGUAUGUGGUCGGGCUGCCGUGGAAAAGUCGUCUCAAAUCAGCCCUAAAACCUCCGUAUAUAUAGGUGGGAGGGAGGGGGCCUUGCCUUGGGGCUCAAGGAGCCCCAAGGGGGUCGGCCGAGUCCAAGGGGGAGGACUCUCCCCCCCAAACCGAGUUGGACUAUGUUUGGUGGGAGGGAGUCCCCCUUCCUUCCCACCUCCUCCUUUUUUUUCCUUUCUCUCUUGAUUUUCUUCUCCUUGGCGCAUAGGGCACUUGUGGGCUGUCCCACCAGCCCACUAAGGGCUGGUGUGUCUCCCCCAAGGCCUAUGGGCUUCCCCGGGGUGGGUUGCCCCCCCCCCCGGUGAACCCCCGGAACUCAUUCAUCAUUCCCGGUACAUUCCCGGUAACUCCGAAAACCUUCCGGUAAUCAAAUGAGGUCAUCCUAUAUAUCAAUCUUCGUUUCCGGACCAUUCCGGAAACCCUCGUGACGUCCGUGAUCUCAUCCGGGACUCCGAACAACAUUCGGUAACCAACCAUAUAACUCAAAUACGCAUAAAACAACGUCGAACCUUAAGUGUGCAGACCCUGCGGGUUCGAGAACUAUGUAGACAUGACCCGAGAGACUCCUCGGUCAAUAUCCAAUAGCGGGACCUGGAUGCCCAUAUUGGAUCCUACAUAUUCUACGAAGAUCUUAUCGUUUGAACAUCAGUGCCAAGGAUUCGUAUAAUCCCGUAUGUCAUUCCCUUUGUCCUUCGGUAUGUUACUUGCCCGAGAUUCGAUCGUCAGUAUCCGCAUACCUAUUUCAAUCUCGUUUACCGGCAAGUCUCUUUACUCGUUCCGUAAUACAAGAUCCCGCAACUUACACUAAGUUACAUUGCUUGCAAGGCUUGUGUGUGAUGUUGUAUUACCGAGUGGGCCCCGAGAUACCUCUCCGUCACACGGAGUGAAAAAUCCCAGUCUUGAUCCAUACUAACUCAACUAACACCUUCGGAGAUACCUGUAGAGCAUCUUUAUAGUCACCCAGUUACGUUGCGACGUUUGAUACACACAAAGCAUUCCUCCGGUGUCAGUGAGUUAUAUGAUCUCAUGGUCAUAGGAAUAAAUACUUGACACGCAGAAAACAGUAGCAACAAAAUGACACGAUCAACAUGCUACGUCUAUUAGUUUGGGUCUAGUCCAUCACGUGAUUCUCCCAAUGACGUGAUCCAGUUAUCAAGCAACAACACCUUGUUCAUAAUCAGAAGACACUGACUAUCAUCGAUCAACUGGCUAGCCAACUAGAGGCAUGCUAGGGACGGUGUUUUGUCUAUGUAUCCACACAUGCAAAUGAGUCUUCAUUCAAUACAAUUAUAGCAUGGAUAAUAAACUAUUAUCUUGAUACAGGAAUUAUAAUAAUAGCUAUAUUUAUUAUUGCCUCUAGGGCAUAAUUCCAACAGUCUCCCACUUGCACUAGAGUCAAUAAUCUAGCCCUCACAUCACCAUGUGAAUUACAUUGUAAUAAAUCUAACACCCAUACAGUUCUGGUGUCGAUCAUGUUUUGGCCGUGGAAGAGGUUUAGUCAGCGGGUCUGCUACAUUCAGAUCCUUGUGCACUUUGCAUAUAUUUACGUCCUCUUCCUCGACGUAGUCGCGGAUGAGGUUGAAGCGUCGUUUGAUGUGUCUGGUCUUCUUGUGAAACUGUGGUUCCUUUGCUAAGGCAAUGGCACCAGUGUUGUCACAGAACAAGGUUAUUGGAUUCAGUGCGCUUGGCACCACUCCAAGAUCCGUCAUGAACUGCUUCAUCCAGACACCCUCCUUAGCCGCCUCUGAGGCAGCCAUGUACUCCGCUUCACAUGCAGAAUCUGCUACGACGCUUUGCUUGGAACUGCACCAGCUUACUACACCCCCAUUAAGAAUAAAUACGUAUCCGGUUUGCGACUUAGAGUCGUCCGGAUCUGUGUCAAAGCUUGCAUCGACGUAACCUUUUACGGCGAGCUCUUCGUCACCUCCAUACACGAGAAACAUCUCCUUAGUCCUUUUUAGGUACUUCAGGAUAUUCUUGACCGCUGUCCAGUGAUCCACUCCUGGAUUACUCUGGAACCUACCUGCCAUACUUAUGGCCAGGCUAACAUCCGGUCUAGUGCACAACAUUGCAUACAUGAUAGAACCUAUGGCUGAAGCAUAGGGGACGGAGCGCAUAUGCUCUCUAUCUUCAUCAGUUGCUGGGCUCUGAGUCUUACUCAAUCUCGUACCUUGUAAAACUGGCAAGAACCCUUUCUUGGACUGUUCCAUUUUGAACCUCUUCAAAACUUUAUCAAGGUAUGUGCUUUGUGAAAGUCCUAUCAGGCGUUUUGAUCUAUCCCUAUAGAUCUUAAUGCCUAGAAUGUAAGCAUCUUCUCCUAGGUCCUUCAUAGAGAAACUUUUAUUCAAGUAACCUUUUAUGCUCUCCAAAAGCUCUACGUUGUUUCCAAUCAGUAAUAUGUCAUCCACAUAUAAUAUUAGAAACGCCACAGAGCUCCCACUCACUUUCUUGUAAAUACAAGAUUCUCCAACCACUUGUAUAAACCCAAAUGCUUUGAUCACCUCAUCAAAGCGUUUGUUCCAACUCCGAGAUGCUUGCACCAGUCCAUAAAUGGAUCGCUGGAGCUUGCACACCUUGUUAGCACUCUUAGGAUCGACAAAACCUUCGGGUUGCAUCAUAUACAACUCUUCCUUAAGGAAACCGUUAAGGAACGCCGUUUUGACAUCCAUCUGCCAGAUUUCAUAAUCGAAAAAUGCAGCUAUUGCUAACAUGAUUCUGACGGACUUAAGCAUCGCUAUGGGUGAGAAAGUCUCAUCAUAGUCAACUCCUGGAACUUGUGAAAAACCCUUUGCCACCAGUCGAGCUUUAUAAACGGUCACAUUACCGUCAGCGUCCGUCUUCUUCUUAAAGAUCCAUUUGUUCUAAAUAGCCUUGCGGCCCUCAGGUAGUAUCUCCAAAGUCCACACUUUGUUCUCAUACAUGGAUCCUAUCUCGGACUUCAUGGCUUCUAGCCAUUUGUUGGAAUCUGGGCCCACCAUUGCUUCUUCAUAAUUUGCAGGUUCAUUGUUGUCUAACAACAUGAUUGAUAAGACGGGAUUACCGUACCACUCUGGAGCAGCGCGUGAUCUCGUCGACCUGCGUGGUUCAACAGAAACUUGAAUUGGAGUUUCAUGAUCACCAUCAUUAACUUCCUCCUCAACCGGCAUCGCAACGACAGAGGUUUCCCCUUGCCCUGCGCCACCAUCCAGAGGGAUGAGAGGUUCGACAACCUCGUCAAGCUCUAUCUUCCUCCCACUCAAUUCUCUUGAGAGAAACUCCUUCUCGAGAAAAGCUCCGUUCUUAGCAACAAACACUUUGCCCUCGGAUUUGAGAUAGAAGGUGUACCCAACUGUCUCUUUUGGGUAACCUAUGAAGACGCACUUUUCCGCUUUGGGUUCCAGCUUUUCAGGCUGAAGCUUUUUGACAUAAGCAUCACAUCCCCAAACUUUAAGAAACGACAACUUUGGCCUUUUGCCAUACCACAGUUCGUAUGGUGUCGUCUCAACGGAUUUUGAUGGUGCCCUAUUUAAAGUGAAUGCAGCUGUUUCUAAUGCAUAACCCCAAAAUGAUAACGGCAAAUCAGUAAGAGACAUCAUAGAUCGCACCAUCUCUAACAAAGUACGAUUACGACGUUCGGACACACCAUUACGCUGUGGUGUUCCAGGCGGUGUCAACUGUGAAACAAUUCCACAUUUUCUUAAGUGAUCACCAAACUCGAAACUCAGAUAUUCACCCCCACGAUCAGUGCGUAGGAACUUGAUCUUCUUGUUACGAUGAUUUUCCACUUCACUCUGAAAUUGCUUGAACUUUUCAAAUGUUUCAGACUUGUGCUUCAUCAAGUAGACAUAACCAUACCUACUCAAAUCGUCAGUGAAGGUGAGAAAAUAACGAUAUCCGCCACAUGCCUCCACGCUCAUUGGACCACACACAUCGGUAUGUAUGAUUUCCAAUAAGUCACUUGCACGCUCCAUUGUUCCGGAGAACGGAGUCUUAGUCAUCUUGCCCAUGAGGCAUGGUUCGCACGUGUCAAGUGAAUCAAAGUCAAGUGACUCCAAAAGUCCAUCAGCAUGGAGUUUCUUCAUGCGCUUUACACCAAUAUGACCCAAGCGGCAGUGCCACAAAAAUAUGGCGCUAUCAUUGUUUACUCUAAUUCUUUUGGUCUCAAUGUUAUGUAUAUGCGUAUCACUAUCAAGAUUCAAUAUGAAGAAACCUCUCACAUUCGGUGCAUGACCAUAAAAGAUGUUACUCAUAGAAAUAGAACAACCAUUAUUCUCUGACUUAAAAGAGUAACCGUCUCGCAAUAAACAAGAUCCAGAUAUAAUGUUCAUGCUCAACGCAGGCACUAAAUAACAAUGAUUUAAGUUCAUCACUAAUCCCGACGGUAGCUGAAGUGACACUGUGCCGACGGCGAUUGCAUCAACCUUGGAACCAUUUCCUACGCGCAUCGUCACUUCAUCUUUCGCCAGCCUUCGUCUAUUCCGCAGUUCCUGUUUCGAGUUGCAAAUAUGAGCAACAGAACCGGUAUCGAAUACCCAGGCACUACUACGAGAGCCGGUUAAGUACACAUCAAUAACAUGUAUAUCAAAUAUACCUGAUUUUUCAUUGCCCGCCUUCUUAUCUGCCAGAUACUUGGGGCAAUUGCGCUUCCAGUGACCCAUACCCUUGCAAUAGUAGCACUCCGUUUGAGGCUUAGGUCCAGCCUUGGGUUUCUUCGGCGGAUUGGCAACAGGCUUGCCGCUCUUCUUCGAAUUGCCCUUCUUGCCUUUGCCGUUUCUCUUGAAACUAGUGGUCUUAUUCACCAUCAACACUUGAUGCUCUUUACGGAGUUCAGACUCUGCGACUUUCAACAUCGCAAACAACUCGCCAGGAGACUUGUUCAUCCCUUGCAUGUUGUAGUUCAACAUAAAGCCUUUGUAGCUUGGCGGCAGUGAUUGAAGGAUUCUGUCAGUGAUAGCUUCUUGCGGGAGUUCAAUCCCCAGCUCAGCUAGACGGUUUGAGUACCCAGACAUUUUGAGCACAUGUUCACUGACAGACGAGUUUUCCUCCAUCUUGCAAGCAUAGAAUUUAUCGGAGGUCUCAUACCUCUCGAUCCGGGCGUUCUUCUGAAAGAUAAACUCCAACUCCUGGAACAUCUCAAAUGCUCCAUGACGCUCAAAGCGACGUUGAAGUCCCGGUUCUAAGCCAUACAAGACUGCACAUUGAACUAUUGAGUAGUCCUCCUUACGUGCUAACCAAGCGUUCUUAACAUCCUGAUCAGCCGUAGCGGGUGGUUCAUCUCCUAGCACAGCACUAAGGACAUAAUCCUUCUUCCCAGCUUGUAAGAUUAGCUUAAGAUUACGAGCCCAGUCUACAAAGUUGCUUCCAUCAUCUUUCAACUUAGCUUUCUCUAGGAACGUAUUAAAAUUCAGGAUGACUGUCGCGUGAGCCAUGAUCUACAACACAAAUAUAUUCAAAAUGGACUUAGACUAUGUUCAAGAUAAUUAGAGUUUAACUUAAUCAAAUUAUAUGCUAAACUCCCACUCAAAAAGUACAUCUCUCUAGUCAUUUGAGUGGUUCACGAUCCACUUACACUAUCCCAAGUCCGAUCAUCACGUGAGUUGAGUAUAGUUUCAGUGGUAAGCAUCCCUAUGCUAAUCAUAUCAUCUAUAUGAUUCAUGAUCGACCUUUCGGUCUCAUGUGUUCCGAGGCCAUGUCUGCACAUGCUAGGCUCGUCAAGCUUAACCCGAGUGUUCCGCGUGCGCAACUGUUUUGCACCCGUUGUAUGUGAACGUUGAGUCUAUCACACCCGAUCAUCACGUGGUGUCUCGAAACGACGAACUGUAGCAACGGUGCACAGUCGGGGAGAACACAAUUUCGUCUUGAAAUUUUAGUGAGAGAUCACCUCAUAAUGCUACCGUCGUUCUAAGCAAAACAAGGUGCAAAAAAGGAUUAACAUCACAUGCAAUUCAUAAGUGACAUGAUAUGGCCAUCAUCACGUGCUUCUUGAUCUCCAUCACCAAAGCACCGUCACGAUCUUCUUGUCACCGGCGCCACACCAUGAUCUACCAUCAACGUGUUGCCAUCGGGGUUGUCGUGCUACUCAUGCUAUUACUACUAAAGCUACAUCCUAGCAAAAUAGUAAACGCAUCUGCAAGCACAAACGUUAGUAUAAAGACAACCCUAUGGCUCCUGCCGGUUGCCGUACCAUCGACGUGCAAGUCGAUAUUUCUAUUACAACAUGAUCAUCUCAUACAUCCAAUAUAUCACAUCACAUCGUUGGCCAUAUCACAUCACAAUCAUACCCUGCAAAAACAAGUUAGACGUCCUCUAAUUUUGUUGUUGCAUGUUUUACGUGGUGACCAUGGGUAUCUAGUAGGAUCGCAUCUUACUUACGCAAACACCACAACGGAGAUAUAUGAGUUGCUAUUUAACCUCAUCCAAGGACCUCCUCGGUCAAAUCCGAUUCAACUAAAGUUGGAGAAACCGACACUUGCCAGUCAUCUUUGAGCAAAGGGGGUUACUCGUAACGAUGAAACCAGUCUCUCGUAAGCGUACGAGUAAUGUCGGUCCAAGCCGCUUCAAUCCAACAAUACCGCGGAAUCAAGAAAAGACUAAGGAGGGCAGCAAAACGCACAUCACCGCCCACAAAAAAAUUUGUGUUCUACUCGCGAAGACAUCUACGCAUGAACCUAGCUCAUGAUGCCACUGUUGGGGAACGUCGCAUGGGAAACAAAAAUUUUCCUACGCGCACGAAGACCUAUCAUGGUGAUGUCCAUCUACGAGAGGGGAUGAGUGAUCUACGUACCCUUGUAGACCGUACAGCGGAAGCGUUAGAGAACGCGGUUGAUGUAGUGGAACGUCCUCACGUCCCUCGAUCCGCCCCGCGAACAAUCCCGCGAUCAGUCCCACGAUCUAGUACCGAACGGACGGCACCUCCGCGUUCAGCACACGUACAGCUCGACGAUGAUCUCGGCCUUCUUGAUCCAGCAAGAGAGACGGAGAGGUAGAAGAGUUCUCCGGCAGCGUGACGGCGCUCCGGAGGUUGGUGAUGACCUUGUCUCAGCAGGGCUCCGCCCGAGCUCCGCAGAAACGCGANNNNNNNNNNNNNNNNNNNNNNNNNNNNNNNNNNNNNNNNNNNNNNNNNNNNNNNNNNNNNNNNNNNNNNNNNNNNNNNNNNNNNNNNNNNNNNNNNNNNAUACAUAAGUUAAAUCAUACAGGUGUCCGUGAUUUUCUCUCUGGAUCAAAAAAUAUUUCAUAAAAGAAAUCAUACAAAGUUUCCACAGUAUGUUGCAUGUGUUCAAGCCAACAUUCUGUUUUUCACAGUAAAGAAUGUUGGACUUCACUAGGGAACGGCGCCGCAUAUUAGUCUUCCUAUGCGGCGGCUUCCUUCCAUCCAUUUUUGCAUGCAUGCAACAUGACAUCAUUAGUAUUAUUUUGAUUUUGUAUUUAAAAAAGAUUUAUCUUUCAAACCGUUAUCUCAAUUCAUUAUCCGUUUUCACCACUGACUUUAUCGCGACGAAAUUUUCAAAACUAGAUCCCAUGUCGACAUGUUUUCAUAACUUUUGUUUCCGUCGGUACUUGCCGGAAUAUUAUCACUUACUUGUCACAUUAUUUAUUACAUAGUUCUCCCAUUAAAUCAACUUGGUUAUCAGGUUUAUGAAUGUCGAUAUGCCUCACUAAAAAACUUGAUUCAUUAUANNNNNNNNNNNNNNNNNNNNNNNNNNNNNNNNNNNNNNNNNNNNNNNNNNNNNNNNNNNNNNNNNNNNNNNNNNNNNNNNNNNNNNNNNNNNNNNNNNNNCACAAGACAUGCCUAGCUUGAUCCAACUUGCAUCAAAACCUAGCUUGGACAAAAUUGCCUCCACAAACACCCACUCAAUGUGGUCAUAUGCUUUGUGCAUGUCCAACUUUACCGCACAGGCUCCUAAUUUACCUUUCUUCCUCUUGUUCAUGGUAUAAAAACACUCAUAAGACACAAUUAGAUUAUCCAUUAUAAUACGUUCAGGAACAAAUGCACUUUGGGUUACACUCGUUAUAUCCGAUAGUAAGACCUUCAGUCUUGAUGCCAACAUCUUUGAGAUCACUUUGUAGACCACAUUGCAUAAACUGAUUGACUGAAAUUGGGCGACCUUCUCGGGGUUAUCAACUUUGGGAAUCAAAAAAAUUGUAGUGGAGUUCCAUCCUUCAGGGAUAACCCCUGAGUUGAUGGCUGCCAAUAUUUCCUUAGUCCAAUCAUCACUUAAGAGCGGCCAAAACUUCUGAUAAAAAAAAUGCAUGUACACCUGCUGGUCCUGGUGCUUUCAUGUCACCUAUGUUGAAUAAGGCGUUUUUGAUCNNNNNNNNNNNNNNNNNNNNNNNNNNNNNNNNNNNNNNNNNNNNNNNNNNNNNNNNNNNNNNNNNNNNNNNNNNNNNNNNNNNNNNNNNNNNNNNNNNNNGGAAUAUAUAUAUACUCCCUCCGUUCCUAAAUAUAAGUCUUUUUAGACAUUUCACUAGAGGGCUACAUACGGAGCAAAAUAAAUGAAUCUAUACUCUAAAUUAUGUCUAUAUACAUCCGUAUGUAGUUCUUUUAGUGAAACCUCUUAAAAGACUUAUAUUUAGGAACAGAGGGAGUAUAAUGCAGGAAUAUAAUGCGGGCGGGCUAAUGUAAGUGAUAAAGGAAUAUAAAAAAUGCAGGAAUAUAAUGGCAUGUUUUUUUGUAAUCCUAAGGAUUUGAAAAGAAUAUUUGAUAACACAAAACACACACACACACAUCAUCUCAUNCACAUAUAUAUAUGGAGGGGAAGUUGUGUGGGGCAUAUGUAUUUGAUUUUUGGACGGAGAUAUUUGUAAUGGUGGAGUGGUUCCAAAGGAAAGGAUGCAUUUGUUGUUGUUAUUUGCAUUGUUGAUUGUGGGGAUUUAAUAGAUAGGGUGUUUUUAUUUUUAUGUUGUGAUAACAACAACACCAACAGCAACAACAACAAUACCAACACCAACAACACCAACAAAAGCAACACCACCAACANNNNNNNNNNNNNNNNNNNNNNNNNNNNNNNNNNNNNNNNNNNNNNNNNNNNNNNNNNNNNNNNNNNNNNNNNNNNNNNNNNNNNNNNNNNNNNNNNNNNCCUCAUCCGCGACAAGGCCUUCCGAGGCUUAGAUCCACUCGGUUUUGCUGCUUUGGAGGGUGGGCCCGCGGGCUCAACGGCAGAAUCCCUGGUCCUCUUUGCGCUCCGAACGCUCGGAGCCACGGGAACGGCUGGCGAGGCACUCGGUGCCACAGGAGCAGCUGGAGGAGCUGGCGGCGCACUCGAGGACGCUGGAGGAGNUUCAUGACGGCGCUUAGUCCGAGGCUCUGGCUGCGGAGGCGGCGAGUUCUGCUCCUCAUCUGCCUCUUCUUCUUCUGCGGACUCCUCUUCCGUCUCCCCGCUGUCAGAGACGUACUCGCCGCUCUCCACGCUACCCUCCUGGCUGCCUUCUUCCUCCUUGGCCGGAUUCCCAUUCGAGACGGGAGAAAACCAGUUAGUCCACUCCUGCACGAGAUACAGUCGACGACAUCAGACGUCAGACAGUGAUUCAAGAAAGCAAUAAAUCUUAGACAGUUGUGUGCACUCGACAAGUUGUACUCACUGCGUUUGGAGGAGGGUUGUCCGCCCGGAAGGCCUUCACUCGCCGAGAUCCUCUAGGGUUUUCGCAGGCGCCGGNNNNNNNNNNNNNNNNNNNNNNNNNNNNNNNNNNNNNNNNNNNNNNNNNNNNNNNNNNNNNNNNNNNNNNNNNNNNNNNNNNNNNNNNNNNNNNNNNNNNAGUGCAAGAUAUCCGACGAGUGUAACGAAAAAACCCUCGCCAGUGAGGUUUAAGUAAGGUUCCAAUUGGGUGACUGGCAAGUGGCCCCGAAAUCUUAUCCCCUGACCGGUCGUGGCGAUAUCAGUGGAGAAGAUGAAGGCGCGGGGAUCGAGGCGUUAGGCNAGCGCGAUGUCGUCAUCCCCGCUGAGCGCGCGGUAACCGAAAUUUGAGGAUCCUGGAAAAUCCGCCGCUGUCAGUUGACUGGUCACGUCAGAAGAUACCACGGAAGCACUCAGUGUCCGACAGUUUGUUUCACAAAUACUUCCACUCGGAUCGCUGGUCAGAGAAGAUAAAAUGGAUCGAGGCAAGCAACGCCAAAGUCGCAUCCGUACCAGUCGGAUCCAUACUUCAAGCAUCGCUUCGUCGUUCCAACCCUAAUCCAUUCGGGGACUAAUGAUGGGGUUAUAGUCCUAGGGUAGGGUCAUAGGCCUGUCAUGUAGGUCCCACCCUAGUACUACCCCUCGUAAGGGACAAGGCCCUUAGUCAGUUCCGACUGAACUAAGGACUUCCCAUCAUCCAGUCGGUAACGGACCCUCCACCAUCCAGUCGGAGGUGAGCAUUCGGAGUAUAUCAAACUAACCGACUNNNNNNNNNNNNNNNNNNNNNNNNNNNNNNNNNNNNNNNNNNNNNNNNNNNNNNNNNNNNNNNNNNNNNNNNNNNNNNNNNNNNNNNNNNNNNNNNNNNNUUAAGAACGGAGGGAGUACAACACAUUCCUUGUCGCAAUAACGCGGACAAUGUUGAAUGCUAAAUCUUACAGCGAUCGAGGCAUGCCCCUAAUUAAAUUGGAUUCAGAUUCAGAUUGAAGAGGCUAUAUGUUGGUCCUGAAAAAAAUGUAUUUUGCUGAGUCGACCUGAUAGGACAUUUGCCGAGUACCGAAUCUCAGAAAAGGCUUGAAUAGGCUACGCACUGAGCUCAUUCAUCGAGUUCGCAACUCGGCAAACAACCCAUCUUCACCGAGUUUCCGGCCAUCAAACUCAGCGAAUAGUUCCCAAGUGGGAUAAGCCAUUGAAACUCAACGAACACACAAACUCAUAAAUAAAGUAGGGCCAUGCGUCUGGCGCCCACUGGUUGUAUAUCUGCCGAGUUUUAUACUCAGCAAAUUAUUCGCCUAGUUGGUCAGACGGUUGAACACGGCGAAAUUUGGCGAAUAAGGCAUCUCCACGCAUCUGUCCCUUAUUGGAUGGAGUUCUACUGAGUUUGCAACUCGGCAUACAAAUUGCCCGGUUUCAGUGUUUACUAACUCGGCUAUAUGUAGCACUAGGCAAUGAAGUUGCCCCACUUGACGGGCCCUUAUUGGACAUUAAACUGCCGAGCUUAAUAGGAAUUCGGCAAACAUGUUGUCCACUUCAGCCUACGAACCAACUCGAUAGAUAUUUUACACUAGACAACAUGUGCUAGCACGUGGAUUAUUCCUAUUUGUACAAGGUCUGUCGAGUUUGAAACUCGGUNNNNNNNNNNNNNNNNNNNNNNNNNNNNNNNNNNNNNNNNNNNNNNNNNNNNNNNNNNNNNNNNNNNNNNNNNNNNNNNNNNNNNNNNNNNNNNNNNNNNGGGUUUCAUGUUUGUAAAGAAUUAGCUGGCUAUUUGAAACACUGAGUAUGUAGACAAAACAUACUUCGGAGAUCAAAAUAGUACAUGAGUGAUAUAUCAUCAUUUGACUAAAACGUCCAAUUUCUGUAACGUUUUUUUCCUUGAUAAAUGUUAAAUUGGUUUCAUUAUGGCUAUAGUAUGGACACUGUCUCGCAGCUUAAGUACCAAUUCCUGAAAUAACAUCCACUACAAACAGUACUGACUACAAAAAUAGUGCAGGAUUAGGAUCAGUCAGCGUCUUUCACUCAGAUGUUUUGUUAGUGCGCAGUUACUACAACAUUAUGCUAAAUUAAUAGACUUUCAUUUCAUCAUAUAACUUAAAUUAUAUGCCUAACAAACUGUCUUCAUGUUCUUUCAGGAGUUCAGUUAUUUGGUCAACUCAGUUGCGAAUGGGUAUGAGUUCUUAACUUGAUGUUCUGUAGUGACAUUCCUUGAAAGGACAUGGCAAUAAAUUUCAAAAUCCUGUUGUUUCUUUGUUGUUACAUUUGGUUUUAAAACAAGUGCUUUUAUCUUUUGUAGUCUGAGUUCUGUUGAGCUGUACAAUAGAAGUAUACAGGAGAUUGUGCCACUCAGGAGUGAGUACACAUACUUGCUGAGAGAUGUUGUUUGUCUACUUGUUCUCUGUGUAACACAUUUUUUUGUUAGUUAUUUCUUUGCUAAGAUUGCUGGCAGAGACUGAGAUCCGAUCACAAGAAGACGAUUACAAAUCACUUCUCCCGAAAAAAACGGAUGCCAUUANNNNNNNNNNNNNNNNNNNNNNNNNNNNNNNNNNNNNNNNNNNNNNNNNNNNNNNNNNNNNNNNNNNNNNNNNNNNNNNNNNNNNNNNNNNNNNNNNNNNAUAUUGCAUAUAGCUAGUGAUCUCUCUAGGUUCCAUUGGAUAGCAAUAUGAUAUGUCAUAGUCAUGAAAAUUGCAUAUAGCUAGUGAUCUCUCUAGGUUCCAUUGGAUAGCUAUAGUGAUCUCUCUAGGUUCCAUUGCAUUUGUUCUAUUUGAAUCCUAAAGAUAAUUUUCUAUUUAGUUGUAGUGAAACAUGUUUCCUUAUUGCAGCAAUAUGUAACAUUUGUUCCAUUUUAAUUUGUUUCUGUUGCAGUAGUGACAAGCAUUGUCCAGAACUCAUGGAUUUCCUUCGCAGCGGCAUCACUUUUGCUACCGUUGACAUAAGGAAUGACAAGCUGAAGAUGAGGCACAGCUUCGGUAUUGAGAUACCAGCUGGUUGCCUCGUUGAUCUCCAAACGAUAUUCAGGCUUCGACAUGAUAGGACUUCGAUGGCUCAUAUGGCAGUUGCCUUGAUCGACGAGUCAUAUGGUGAUAUGAAGACCAGUUUCCCAAAGUAUCAGCACAAACUUUGGGAGAAGGGCCCACUUGAUGAUAUCAACAUUCAGUAUGCAGCAAAAGAUGCAUACGUUUCAUACGAGUUGUACCGCAAGAUUCGAGUCGUCAACUAUGGCCAGCGUCACCUCGAGAAAGGUGGACAUUCUGAUUCAGACGAUUCAGACGAGUAGUGUUCUCAACGUCGAACACUUGUAUAUAUAUCUAUGGUAGCUAUUAUUAUGUACUGUUUGGACUAGUAUCAUGUACUGCUUGGACCAAUUUAUAUAUGUCUAGUUUCUGUUUGUGCCAUUAUAGUUUCCAAAUUUGAAUGGUUUAGCCNNNNNNNNNNNNNNNNNNNNNNNNNNNNNNNNNNNNNNNNNNNNNNNNNNNNNNNNNNNNNNNNNNNNNNNNNNNNNNNNNNNNNNNNNNNNNNNNNNNNCAGCUAGAUGUGCAGAACGUGUUUCUCCAUGGUGUUCUGGAAGAGGAAGAAUAUAUGAAACAAUCUCCUGGGUUUGAAAGUAAAAAAUGCACCUCAUCAUGUAUGCAAGCUUGAUAAAGCAUUGUAUGGGCUGAAGCAAGCCCUAAGGGCAUGGUACUCUCGACUCAUUAAAAAGAUGCAAACACUUGGUUUUGUUCCCUCAAAAUCUGACACCUCAUUGUUCAUAUAUACAAAGUUCAAUACAUCCAUGUUUGUUCCCAUCUAUGUUGAUGACAUCAUUGUCACAAGCUCUUUCGAUGAGGCAAUUUCAGGACUGCUGAAAGACUUGAGUGCAAAGUUUUCUCUCAAGGAUCUAGGAGAGAUGCAUUACUUCCUAGGAAUUGAAGUAAAGAAACACAAUGAUGGGCUUCAACUCUCUCAGGAAAAAUAUGCCAUGGAUUUGGUAAGAAAGGCAGGUCUACAAGGUUGUAAACCUACACCCACUCCAUUAUCUAGUACAGAAAAAUUGUCACUUAUAGAAGGAGAACUCCUUAGUUUAGAUGACAACACAAAAUACAGAAGUCUAGUAGGUGCUCUUCAGUAUUUGACACUUACAAGAUCUGAUAUUUCCUUUGCUGUCAACAAAGUUUGUCAAUUCUUACAUGCACCCACUAUAGUGCAUUUAACUGCCAAGCGUGUAGUCAGAUAUGUGAAACAUACCUUGAGUAUUGGUCUCAAUUUCAGCAAGUCACCUUCUACUCUUAUCAGUGCCUUCUCUGAUUCAGAUUGGACAGGAUGUCUGGAUGACAGGCGCUCAACAGGUGGUCUUGCAAUAUUCUUUGGACCUAACCUCAUAUCUUGGUGUGCCAGGAAACAAGCUACCGUCUCUAAAUAUAGCACUGAGGCAGAAUACAAGGCAUUGGCAAAUGCAACAGCAAAAGUCAUAUGGGUGCAAUCUAUGUNNNNNNNNNNNNNNNNNNNNNNNNNNNNNNNNNNNNNNNNNNNNNNNNNNNNNNNNNNNNNNNNNNNNNNNNNNNNNNNNNNNNNNNNNNNNNNNNNNNNUGUAUAAGGUGAUAAGGGAGGAGACGCUUAGACGGUAGAGACGCACAGCUGGGCAAGGGUACGUACGUACUUCCUUCGCUCCGAAGCACUUGAAAUUUCGAGCUAGGUUUGUUGUAAUUCAAACAUCUUCAUGUUUUUUGUACUCUCUCCGUUUUAUUUAUUCCGCAUAUUAGCUGUGACCUGAGCCAACUUUAUGGCUAGGUUUGUUCUAAUUCAAACAUGUUCCAAGAUUUAGUACUCCUCCCAUUUUUAUUUACUACGCAUAUUAGUUGUGACAUGAGUCAAACUUUAUAAAGUUUGAGCAGAUUUAUCAAAAACAAUCUAAACUUUCGCAAUAAAAAUAUAGAUGGUAUGAUAAUAUAUUGAAUGGCUAUUUCAAUGGUAUUGAUUUGGUAUUGUCGCCUAAGAUGGCCUUGGUAUAAAUGAAAAGAACCGGAUAGACUUUGGGUGGGCCUAGGUAACCCGUAAACGGAAGAGGAUAUGGAUUUCUUCUACUCCUUCACGAUCAUCAUCUUGGGCAACGGAGCCAAUACACCUUUGACUAAGUUCCCCCUGGCUGCUUGGGAGGAAGCCAAAAGACAUCGCUCCUCUAAUCUCCGAGGCCCCCAUGCGCAAGACUUGAAAAGUUAGGGAUGCUCUAAAUGGGAAUGCUUGGAUUCUGAAGAUCAAGCGCAACACUGUCAUCAUCGCCAACCACAUAUGCCAAUUCUUCAUCCUGUGGAUGCUUCUGCAUGACAUUCACCUUGAUGAUCAAACCGUCGACGACAUCGUAUGGAAGCACACUAACGAUGAGGUUUAUUCGGCGGCAACCGCGUACAGGGCUCAAUUCCUUGGGCUCACGCUCUCGCCAAUGGGCUUCAUGAUCUGGAAAGCUUGGGUUCAUCCAAAAGUUAAGUUCUUUGCCUGACUUGCUAUUCAAGAAUGGAUUUGGACCGCCANAAAAGCGUGCUUGAGAAAAUUGUGGGCUUUGUCCACUCUACAAGCGAGAAGGCCAGACGGUGCCCAUCUCUUCUACAAAUGUUGUUACACCAUCAGGCUGUGGAACUCGGUCAUUCUCAAGUUCUCCCUCACGCACAUGAACACCUCCUCCUGGAAUUUGGAUGGACCCGUCCUGAAAUGAUGGGACAAGAGGACCGGUUUGCACAACCCCAAUCGACGUGCUUUGACCUCCCUCACCANNNNNNNNNNNNNNNNNNNNNNNNNNNNNNNNNNNNNNNNNNNNNNNNNNNNNNNNNNNNNNNNNNNNNNNNNNNNNNNNNNNNNNNNNNNNNNNNNNNNGCCUAUAACAUGCAACGCGUCCCCUCACAUUGAGGUAAGACGUUUUCCGCCAUCGCACAAGUAUUACUUGACGUAGAAAAGUCUUCACGACGAUACAAAAAUCUCAUCUCAAUCUGCUACUUGCAAAGUUGCGACUACUCAUUUGAGCAAAAAGCCACACGUUGUUCUAUUUGCUUCGGCAUGUUUAGUGUAGUAGUUUUAACUAGGCAUCAAUUACAUAUGAAGGAACACUUGCAUUGGAAAUGGUAAUACAUGUUGUAUUCUUACUGACGUUGUGCUCCUUUGCUUCUGUAAGCUAUUUAUAUGUUGCAAGGUGAUAUUGCAGAUGUUCUUUUCUCCAAAAUUUAAGGAUAUAAUUAGAAUGUUCUUGCAUCUUUCUGCCCCCUGCAGCUUUGCAAGCUUUCCUGUAUUAGGGUGAAGCUGUAAUCUUGGCACAUAUAACUGAGAAGUAUAAUGUGUGGACUUAAAGUAGAACAAUAUUCUUUGAAAUCACCCAUUCCCAAUAUAUUAUGCGGUCAAACUUCUCUAGCUUUGAACAUAUAUUUAGUUUGAUAAUCUAAAAGUAGCAUCAUCAGUUUGACCACGUAACAUUUCAUAAUCUUCGACUUAACAAAGAUGCAAAGGUAGUAUUACCUCAACGGUAAAAGCGUCUUAUAUUUUGGGACGAAGGUAGUAGCAACCAAAGAUACAUACUAAGACUUAAUGAUUUUCUAUAGGGAUGGCAAAAUUAUAAACAUGGGACAAUGAUGGGCAAAUCCCUUUUUUUGUAUAGCUGUCCCACUCAUUCAUAUCACCCAUAUUACGCUUUCAUUCUCUUUUCACAUAAUUAAACAACGGAUCCGAAUAUGUCAUGUGAUGCAAAGAGGUAUAUAUACUUGUCCAACUCAAUUUGAACUUUUAAUGUGGGAGUAAUCAUACCACAAAACUAAAGUUGGGCCACACGGGACUCCACUACUAUGGAAGAUAUUGCAAUCAGGGUUUAGGCGUAAAGGAAAAGAAAACUAUCAAUCAGGGUUUAGACUAUGUUUGUUUUACUUUUCAGUUUUUCACGCUUCUUCUCAACAUAAGAUUUUUUUCAUUACACUUCUUAUCAAACAAGUAAUUCAGCUUGUACUGACAAUCCAAGGGGGUAGGAGGACGGUACCCCCUCUCCCGCCACCCAAAUAUCUUCUAUAUGGAUGUUCACAAUUCCUUCAUGCCUAAAAGCUUGACGAUUUUGUUGUAAGGGUUGUAUGUUUGUUGUUCUAGAUGCAUGCUGCUCAUGCGCAUGUCACAUAUGACAUGGGUAACAGAUGGUGUCCCUCUCGGGGACGACAAGGGUGGCUUGAUCACCUUGGAGAGAGAGGGUAUUAAUACUCGCCCUUCUUCCUUCUCCAAGGCUCCAAUCCUAACCAACACAUUUGAGCUACUCCUCAAAAGCUCGAUUACUCUCAAUACUACCAUCCAAACUUCAUCAAACUUUAGGGAUUGGAAGAGAAUCAUCCGAUCUACNNNNNNNNNNNNNNNNNNNNNNNNNNNNNNNNNNNNNNNNNNNNNNNNNNNNNNNNNNNNNNNNNNNNNNNNNNNNNNNNNNNNNNNNNNNNNNNNNNNNGUAUAAAACCUUCCCUUUUUGGACCUACUUCAAGUGGGACCACCUUGUCAGAGUUUGUGAUGUUAAGUUGGUACCAUGAUUGCAUGUGUGUUCCUUGCUAUUUCCUCCUCAUGCAUGCAUGCAUAGCAUAUCAUAUCAUGUGCUCUUGUUGUUGCAAAGUGGCCAUUGGAUUACAUGUGGUAUUUGUGGUCAUGAUGUUGGAGGUGAUCGUGUGAUAACAUGUGAUGAUGGUGUGUAGAGAUAGUGGUUGCUUGGGAUUCCAAAGCUCUUUGCAAAAUUUCAAACCCUUUCCCUUUCCUAUUUUGUUUUGUUCAAAAUUCCUUCUUUACGAGAGCUGUUUUAAAAUGUCUUGUAUUUAGAGGCUAUUGUGGGGAUGAGGAUGUGAUGAUGUGGAGUUUUUAUUUUGGUCUUGAGGGUGUUUAUAAAUCACAAAACAGUAUAUUUAGUGUUGUUUUGUAUUUAUUUAAAAGCCCCAUAAAAUUCCUUUUGCAUUUUAUUUUAAAAGCUUAGGUAUUUUUUAGGCCCGGGGGCAUUUUUGUUUUGAUUUUUAUUUCAGCAGUAGUCCUGAGAUUUUCUUUCUUUCUCUGGUUUUGUUACCUAAUUAGAAUAACUCCAGGGCUGUUUUUCUUUUUUUCCCCUUCUCUGGUGGGCUCCCUCCCACCAAGAGAGGCCCAAUUUCUCUCCUGGGCCAAUACCCCUUCGCUGCAGCAGCCCAGCGCGUCCCUCUUCCUCCUCCCAUAGACGUCACACUGUACGACUCCACCUCCUCCACAUAUUCACCAUGGCAUGAUCCUGUGGCUCCAGCGCCUCCCCCGAGGUAAUAUAAGAGGAAGGGAACCCUCCUCCUUCCCCUAGGGUUCCCACUCCUUCUCCCCAGCGCCGCCACCUCCCUCCUUUCUCCUCUUUCGUCUCUGGUAAGUCUCCUGUAGACAGUAGCAAAGGAAGCAGAGGAGCUCCGUCGCGUCUACGCCGUCCUCCCGUCGUCUCCAGCGUCGGGGGCCAUGUCCAGGGGCACGGGGACGGUGCCCGUGUCCCAUUUUCGCCCUCGGUGAGGUCGAGGGUCAUCUUCCACGCCGGCCAGGAGCACGUCAAGGAGCCGGCUCCGGUGAACCGCUCCGUCUACCUCCGUCGACGCCAACCGACAGCAGGGCCUUCACCCGCGCGUCUUCUUCCUCUCCAUCGCCCUCUCCAUCGACGGGCGCCCUUCCUCCUUCCCCUAGGUGAGCAGGAGCCUCUCCUUCCGUCCUCCUUCGUAGAUCAGCUCGGAUGCGGUAUGUGCGCGUGCGUGUUCUCUGUCUCGUGCAGCAGCAGUAGAUCGUGCUUGUUGGGUGGUGCUCGUGCUGUAGGUAUGUGGUGCUCGUGGGCUGCAGUAGCAGUAAGAGUUGCCACGCCGGGGCCUGGGAGCUUUCCCCGUCGACGUUGGGCGUGUGCAGCCUGGUCUGUGUGGUCGUCUGUGUCUCAGGCGAGCAGGUUAGUUCAGGUAGCAGAUAGCGACGGGAGAGACCCUUCUUCUAUUUUUUCUUGCGCGUUAGUUCAGCAGCCGGAUCAUAGCGCAGUGGUUGGCACCUGUGUCUGUAAGUGAGAGGUGCAAGGAUCGAAUCCCCUGUAGAGCACCUUUCCUCCCCCCUUUUUGUGUUGAUUUUUUCGGCCUAUGGUGCUAGCAGCUGCAGAGAGUAUAGCUUGCGAAUUGCCUCUCUCUCUCUGUCAAAACAAUGUCAGCAGUAGAGUGGUAGAAUGCAGUGUGGUAUACCAGGAGGUGCUGGGUUCAAUUCCCAGGAGCCCCUGAUUCAUUUUUGUUGUUUUUUUUCUUUUACUGCCUAUUUUUCUGUUUUGCUAACUCUUAGACAAAGUGGUAUUUUAGUUCUUUUUCCUGCUAGUAUAGUUAGGUGCAGAUUUCUUUGUGUGUGUGUUUUGCACACUAGUGAAGUGAUAGAUGAUGUUUUGCUAACCUUGUGAACUUAUGAUGAGUGCACUUUUGUGGUGUGAAGACACACUUGGUAGGAGUUAUGCAUGAUAAUGUGGUUUCUUGUGAGUGUUGUUCUUAAGGUAUGAAAGUAGCACUAGUGUAUCAUGUGUAGUCCAUCUUUUGAGUUUUAGGUGGACUAAGUUGAUCUUGUAGUUUCUUUUGCUAGCAUGGAUUUAGUGGGGUGGAUGCCUCCCCCUCACCACAUGGGAUUGAGGUGAUGAGUUGCACUAGGUAGCUAUCUUGUUAACAUGUGUAGGUGUGGAUUCCUAGUUAAGCUAGGGUAGAUUGUUGUGGGGGUUGCAUUUUGAGGAUGACAUGAUUCCUAGGAAGAUCCUAGUAAUGCAUGUGAGAGUGGGUACCAUCACAUGCCCAUAUGUGGGGGGGUGCAUAUUCUCUUGUUAGCAUAGAGUCCCAUUGUGAUGUGCUUGAUACUAGGAAUAUUGUGAUAUGGGUGUGGGUGUUGUUGAUGUGCAUGACACAAACAUGGGGUUCAAACCCCCAUGUCACUUUGUCAUUGUGCACAUAAGAUUCACCUAUGUAAUUGUCAUCUUAGAAGCAUACCUUAUGGAGUUGCAUUUACAUUUUGUUGAAAGUUUGGGCUUUGUUUCCAUGGUAUAGGUGGAGCCCAAGGGCAUGGAUCUUUGUGUGUUGGUAGUAGGGGUUUGUGCUCAACACCAUAGUGGUGUCAAACACCUCUUGGUGACAUGUGUGUGCAAACUAUGCCUAGACAAAGUGGGCAUGUGGCUGGAAAAUUCCAGAUUUUUGAACUCUGAAAAAUUCACCAAGUCUGGAAUGCUGGAAACAUUUUCUUCCCCUGUAGAUGAGGAUGUGCUGGUCAUUCUGUUGAGAACUGGACUUAGUUCAGUGCUAGUAUUUUGAACCUGGUAUGUUUGUGAAGCUUUCUGUCAAUUUUCAAGUCAUUUAGAGUCCAGUAGCUUGUGUUUUGAUUGCUGUAAAAAAGCUUCAGAACAGAAACAGAAACUCAGGUGCAGGAAUUUUCACUAAGUCCCUGAGAUCUGAUGGUUUUGGUAAAGUUUGUGGCCUUGUAGCUUCUAGGGUUUAAUUCCUUUUGCUGUGAUUCUUGCUGGAGCUUGUAGUGUUCUUGGUUGGAAACAGCCACAUAUAUUAUUUGUCAUAUUUGAAGACCUGUAGCUAUGUUGCAUGUGGCUCACAAACAGCUAAGAUGCAAAAACUGGCAGAUUGCGUAGUUUUGCCAUUUUGUUCAAAAUUUGUGCUUAAUUGUUGUUGUGGUGUUCUAACUUGCUCCAUUUCAUUCAUGUUGGGUUAAUAUAUGUCUUGGCAACCUGGGAAUACCAGAUUUGUGCCAAAUGUGUGUGAGGUGUUGAAUCUUUCACGUAGAGCUUCAUAUCUUGUAUCGUUGAUUCCCGUUGAUCCGUAGCUCCGUUUGCAAAGUUCUUUAUAUGGUUUUGCACCGUUUUUACGAGAUGCAUCUGUUCAUAUCAUUCCCAUGCAUGUCCAAAUAGUUAGUGCAAAUUUCUGUCCAGAAACUUGUUGUAGUUUAUUUUGCUUAUGCUAGUGAUAGAAAUAGUGGUGCAUGCUCAACUUUCAUCUCAUGCAUCAUGUGUUUGUUGCAUUUUGUGGUGUUGCUGUUCAUUGGCUGUUAUUCUUAUGUUGGGUAGCACCGGGAGAGGAGAACGAAUACGUGGAGUCAGGAGAGUACGUGCAGGACGAUCCAGAACCAUUCCAAGCUGAGGAUAUCACAGGCAAGAUGAUAUGACCUUGAUCCCAUCUCUAGACUUGUUAUGUUAGUUUCGAUUCCAUGUCAAAUUGCUCGCUGCCUACCACUGAAAAUAUAUUGCCUCUUCAUAUGCCAUGAGCCUAAACACCUUACUCUUUCCUAGCAAACUUGCAUGGCUAGGUAGNNNNNNNNNNNNNNNNNNNNNNNNNNNNNNNNNNNNNNNNNNNNNNNNNNNNNNNNNNNNNNNNNNNNNNNNNNNNNNNNNNNNNNNNNNNNNNNNNNNNAAAUGCCCAAACAAGUACAAGAAGCCGGCGCAGGACUCCAAGUCUGCAAACAUGAUUGUGGGCAACAAUGAAAGUGGUGCAUCUGGGUACGGUAAUUUACUUACUGUAUUUACAGUUUGUCAGUCCACCGAUUGGUGGGUGGACACGGGUGCAAAUAUUCAUGUGUGUGCUGACUUGUCAUUGUUCUCUUCUUAUCAGGCCACCGGUCGCGGGUCCGUAUUGAUGGGGAAUGGCGCGAGUGCUUCUGUUCUUGGUGUUGGCACGGUCGAUCUGAAGUUUACUUCGGGAAGGAUCGUGCAGCUGAAGAACGUGCAGCAUGUCCCCGCCAUCAAGAAGAAUCUCGUUAGUGGCUCCCUUCUGUGUAGAGAAGGGUUUAAGUUGGUGUUCGAGUCUAAUAAAGUAGUAGUUACGAAAUAUGGACUUUUCGUUGGAAAAGGUUAUGAAUGCGGAGGUCUGUUCCGCCUUUCUCUAGCAGAUUUUUGUAGUAAAGUCGUGAACAAUAUUCAUUCGAGUGUUAAUGAAUCUGAAGUUUGGCAUUCACGUCUUUGUCACAUAAGUUUCGGUGUUAUGUCGCGGCUAGCAAAACUGAAUUUAAUCCCAAUUUUCACUUUAGCCAAAGGUUCUAAGUGCCACUCGUGUGUGCAAGCAAAGCAACCUCGCAAGCCUCACAAGGCUGCAGAGGAGAGACACUUGGCACCAUUAGAACUCAUACAUUCUGAUCUUUGUGAGAUGAAUGGUGUGUUGACUAAAGGUGGAAAGAAAUACUUCAUGACAUUGAUAGAUGAUUCCACUAGAUUUUGCUAUGUGUAUCUGUUAAAUACUAAAGAUGAGGCUCUACACUACUUUAAAAUCUAUAAGGCAGAAGUUGAGAAUCAACUUGAAAAGAAAAUUAAACGAGUCCGGUCUGAUCGUGGUGGAGAGUACUUCUCAAACGAAUUUGAUUCAUUUUGUGCGGAACACGGCAUUAUUCAUGAGAGGACGCCUCCCUAUUCACCCCAGUCAAACGGGGUUGCCGAGCGGAAAAACCGUACUCUAACUGAUUUGGUUAACGCCAUGUUAGAUACAUCGGGUUUAUCCAAGGCAUGGUGGGGGGAGGCUAUAUUGACCGCGUGUCAUGUCCUGAAUAAAGUUCCUACAAAAGAUAAUGAGGUCACUCCCUACGAGGAGUGGUCGAAGAGAAGGACGACACUCUCGUACUUACGUACUUGGGGCUGCUUGGCGAAAGUCAAUGUACCGAUCCCCAAGAAGCGCAAGCUUGGACCAAAGACUGUGGAUUGCGUUAAUUUGGGAUACGCUAAGAAUAGCGUAGGCUAUAGAUUUCUAGUAGUGAAAUCUGAGGUACCUGACGUGAAGGUCGGUACAAUAAUGGAGUCGAGGGAUGCUACAUUCUUUGAGGAUAUAUUUCCCAUGAGAGAUAUGCAAAGCACUUCUAGACAGGAAUCUGAGAUAACUCCUGAGCCUGCCAUUCCUAUGGACUAUUAUGAACAAACACAUGAUGAAAAUCCUGAGGAGGAUGACGAGGAAGCCCGUGGUAGGGGCAAGAGACAAAGGACUGCAAAGACCUUUGGUGAUGAUUUCUUCGUAUACCUCGUGGAUGAUAAUCCCACUUCUAUUUCAGAAGCGUAUGCUUCUCCAGAUGCUGAUUACUGGAAAGCUGGUGUCCGUAGCGAGAUGGACUCCAUCAUGGCUAACGGGACAUGGGAAAUCACUGAUCGUCCCUAUGGUUGCAAACCAUUGGGAUGCAAGUGGGUGUUCAAAAAGAAGCUUAGGCCCGACGGUACUAUUGAAAAGUACAAGGCUAGGCUUGUGGCCAAGGGCUAUGCCCAGAAAGAAGAGGAAGAUUUCUUCGAUACUUAUUCACCUGUGGCUAGACUGACCACCAUUAGAGUACUACUCUCAUUGGCGGCCUCUCAUGGUCUUCUCGUUCAUCAAAUGGACGUUAAGACGGCUUUCCUGAAUGGAGAGCUAAAUGAGGAAAUCUAUAUGCAACAGCCAGAUGGCUUUGUGAUAGAAGGUCAGGAAGGAAAGGUGUGUAAGUUGCUGAAAUCUUUAUAUGGUCUGAGACAAGCACCUAAGCAAUGGCAUGAGAAGUUUAAUACAACUCUGACAUCUGUUGGCUUCGUUGUUAAUGAAGCUGACAAAUGUGUAUACUAUCGCCAUGGUGGGGGCGAAGGAGUUAUAUUGUGCUUGUAUGUUGAUGACAUACUGAUAUUUGGAACCAACCUCAAAGUAAUUGAGGAGGUUAAGUCUUUUCUGUCUCAAAACUUUGAGAUGAAGGACCUUGGGGUGGCUGAUGUUAUCUUGAACAUCAAGCUGUUGAGAGAUGAUGAGGGUGGGAUUACACUUCUGCAAUCCCACUAUGUUGACAAGAUUUUGAGUCGCUUUGGAUAUUCAGACUGCAAGAUUUGUCAAACACCAUAUGAUCCUAGUGUGCUUAUUCGAAAGUUUAAAGGCACAGCUAUAGNAGAUCAAUUGAGAUUCUCUCAAAUUAUCGGUUCACUUAUGUACCUAGCUAGCGCAACGAGGCCCGACAUCGCGUUUGCUGUGAGCAAACUUAGUCGGUUUGUUGCAAACCCGGGCGAUGUUCAUUGGCGUGCUGUUGAAAGAAUUAUGCGCUACUUGAAAGGUACUGUCAACCACGGGCUUCACUAUACGGGAUUCCCAUCAGUACUUGAAGGGUAUAGUGAUGCGAAUUGGAUCUCUGAUGCUGAUGAGAUGAAGGCCACUACUGGGUAUAUGUUUACUCUUGGGGGUGGUGCUGUUUCCUGGAUGUCUUGCAAGCAAACGAUCUUAACAAGAUCGACAAUGGAAGCAGAAUUAACAGCAUUAGACACAUCUGGUGUCGAAGCAGAAUUUCUUCGAGAUCUUUUGAUGGACUUACCUGUGGUUGAGAAGCCGGUUCCGGCUAUCCUUAUGAACUGCGAUAAUCAGACGGUUAUUGUUAAAGUGAAGAGUUCAAAGGACAAUAUGAAGUCCAACAGACAUAUAAGAAUGAGAUUGAAGUCUGUCAGACGUUUGAGAAACUCCGGAGUGAUAGCGUUGGAUUAUAUCCAAACGGCUAAGAAUCUGGCAGAUCCCUUUACUAAAGGGCUAUCACGUGUUGUGAUAGAUAGUGCAUCGAGGGAGAUGGGUAUGAGACCCACAUGAGUUGCCAUGGUAGUAACCUAACCUAUAUGAUCGGAGAUCCCGUGAAGUAGGACCUGGGAAAACAAGCCAGUGGUGAACUGAGGAGAGUAACUUUACUAACCCACUCCGUUGGAGAUGCAAUACUCUCGGAUACUGUAUGGUAGGAUGACUACUGUCUUAAUGUGUUCUAAAGCUUAUAUGUAAGCAAGAUGCUGUCCUACAGAGCGAUCUUUGGAGGAACACACCUAUAUGAGCUUGACUGCUGGUCACAGUCUAUGAGAUUUGGGUGAUCUCUAGUAAACUCAUGAAUAGGCCAGGAGUGUGACUAAUAUGCUCCACCCGAGGGGUCACCUUCGGCAGCCUAGUACUAGUAAGACUUGUGGUGAAGCUCCUUUACGCCAAACUGACAAUUCAAGGCAUAGUCCAUUGUUCAGUUGUGAAGGGGUGUAGCUACUUGUUCUAGGUGAAGCUCAACCUUAACAGGUCUUCACUGAAAUGCUGGUAUAUUAAAACAGUGAUUGGAACGAGGGAACACGAUGUGCCCUUGAGAUCUGGUGGGGGAUUGUUGAAAUUUGGAGGUGGGCCUUAGGCCCAUUAGAGAAUUUCAGAAAAUCUACAAGGGCCCAUGUAGGUGGUGGCAUGGCAAGGUGGUGGGAGUUUAGUCCCACCCCGCCUAGCCGUCACGAAAUCAGAUCACAUCUGCCUCACGCGUUCGUUCCUUGAACUGCUGCUGCCGCCGGCGACUCCGUCCCGUUUACCGCGUACACGGUCGACGGGAGAGCAGGCCUCCGAAACCUCGCCUCUCCGGUUCCUGUACGGGAGAGGGGCGAUUAGGUUUUUGGGGAGCGAUCACGCGACUGCUCGCCUCCGUCCGUCUGCUUCGUCUACGUCCGCGUCGCCCUCGUCAUCGCCAUGUCUUCACCAAGCGAAGCUGAUCGUCUCCGCGAGGAAGCCGAGAAGAAGACGGCAGAGGAUACUGCCUCCGCCGCCGCUGCUGCUGCUACGGCCAACUGGCCGAUUGGAGGGUAUGACUUGUUUAUCCUCUUGUUCGUAUUUAUUCUAGCAGUACUACUUGUUUGCAUAGAUGUAUCCACUAUAUGCGUAGUAUGUGCUAGGUUAGCUCAAGAUCAGCAUGUCAUUAGUCUAGUCAAUGCCAUGCUAGUUAUUAUUUUGUGGAUUAAUCUACUCGGAAAAUUGCCUAUUUACUCAACAAUCCAAAAACCUAAUGUCUGUAGGAAUUUUUCGAGUAAUGGUUUUGCUGCUGCACUGAAACCGGAUAAGUUUACCGGUACUUUUUUCAAGCGUUGGCAAACGAGAACCACCUUAUGGCUCACGGCUAUGAACGUGUUCUGGGUAGCCGGUGUCACUCCUACGGAAACUAUCACUCCUGAACAGGAGAAGAUGUUUAAGGAGGCCACCGUCCUAUUCCUUGGAGCAGUCAUUAGCGUGAUCGGAGAUAAGCUGGUUGAUGCAUAUUUACAUAUGCAUGUUGCCAAGGACUUGUGGGAGGCGCUCGAAUCUAAAUUCGGGGCCACCGAUGCUGGGAGUGAGAUGUAUGUUAUGGAGCAGUUCCACGAUUACAAGAUGGUUGACAACCGUUCUGUAUUGGAACAAGCUCAGGGGGGAGAUAAUAUGCAUAGCUAAGGAACUUGAGGUUCUUAAGUGCAAUUUGCCGGGCAAGUUUGUCGCGGGCUGUAUAAUUGCUAAGCUCCCUAAUUCCUGGAGGAACUUUGCUACUACUCUGAAACAUCAGAGGCGUGAGUUCUCAGUAGAGGACAUCAUCGGCCAUCUGAGUGUUGAGCAGAACUCGAGAGCAAAGGACUCCAAUGGAAAAGCGGUGGAAAGCUCUUCUGCUGCCAAUAUGGUACAUCAGAGGAACUUCAAUUCUCACAAGCCCAAGGGAAAGAACUCUGUCCAACAGAAUACCGACUUCAAGAAGAAGGGGAAGAAGCCCUUCAAGAAGAAUAAGAAGGGAGAUGGCUGCUAUACUUGUGGUUCAGAGGAACAUUGGGCGAAGAAAUGCCCAAACAAGUACAAGAAGCCGGCGCAGGACUCCAAGUCUGCAAACAUGAUUGUGGGCAACAAUGAAAGUGGUGCAUCUGGGUACGGUAAUUUACUUACUGUAUUUACAGUUUGUCAGUCCACCGAUUGGUGGGUGGACACGGGUGCAAAUAUUCAUGUGUGUGCUGACUUGUCAUUGUUCUCUUCUUAUCAGGCCACCGGUCGCGGGUCCGUAUUGAUGGGGAAUGGCGCGAGUGCUUCUGUUCUUGGUGUUGGCACGGUCGAUCUGAAGUUUACUUCGGGAAGGAUCGUGCAGCUGAAGAACGUGCAGCAUGUCCCCGCCAUCAAGAAGAAUCUCGUUAGUGGCUCCCUUCUGUGUAGAGAAGGGUUUAAGUUGGUGUUCGAGUCUAAUAAAGUAGUAGUUACGAAAUAUGGACUUUUCGUUGGAAAAGGUUAUGAAUGCGGAGGUCUGUUCCGCCUUUCUCUAGCAGAUUUUUGUAGUAAAGUCGUGAACAAUAUUCAUUCGAGUGUUAAUGAAUCUGAAGUUUGGCAUUCACGUCUUUGUCACAUAAGUUUCGGUGUUAUGUCGCGGCUAGCAAAACUGAAUUUAAUCCCAAUUUUCACUUUAGCCAAAGGUUCUAAGUGCCACUCGUGUGUGCAAGCAAAGCAACCUCGCAAGCCUCACAAGGCUGCAGAGGAGAGACACUUGGCACCAUUAGAACUCAUACAUUCUGAUCUUUGUGAGAUGAAUGGUGUGUUGACUAAAGGUGGAAAGAAAUACUUCAUGACAUUGAUAGAUGAUUCCACUAGAUUUUGCUAUGUGUAUCUGUUAAAUACUAAAGAUGAGGCUCUACACUACUUUAAAAUCUAUAAGGCAGAAGUUGAGAAUCAACUUGAAAAGAAAAUUAAACGAGUCCGGUCUGAUCGUGGUGGAGAGUACUUCUCAAACGAAUUUGAUUCAUUUUGUGCGGAACACGGCAUUAUUCAUGAGAGGACGCCUCCCUAUUCACCCCAGUCAAACGGGGUUGCCGAGCGGAAAAACCGUACUCUAACUGAUUUGGUUAACGCCAUGUUAGAUACAUCGGGUUUAUCCAAGGCAUGGUGGGGGGAGGCUAUAUUGACCGCGUGUCAUGUCCUGAAUAAAGUUCCUACAAAAGAUAAUGAGGUCACUCCCUACGAGGAGUGGUCGAAGAGAAGGACGACACUCUCGUACUUACGUACUUGGGGCUGCUUGGCGAAAGUCAAUGUACCGAUCCCCAAGAAGCGCAAGCUUGGACCAAAGACUGUGGAUUGCGUUAAUUUGGGAUACGCUAAGAAUAGCGUAGGCUAUAGAUUUCUAGUAGUGAAAUCUGAGGUACCUGACGUGAAGGUCGGUACAAUAAUGGAGUCGAGGGAUGCUACAUUCUUUGAGGAUAUAUUUCCCAUGAGAGAUAUGCAAAGCACUUCUAGACAGGAAUCUGAGAUAACUCCUGAGCCUGCCAUUCCUAUGGACUAUUAUGAACAAACACAUGAUGAAAAUCCUGAGGAGGAUGACGAGGAAGCCCGUGGUAGGGGCAAGAGACAAAGGACUGCAAAGACCUUUGGUGAUGAUUUCUUCGUAUACCUCGUGGAUGAUAAUCCCACUUCUAUUUCAGAAGCGUAUGCUUCUCCAGAUGCUGAUUACUGGAAAGCUGNNNNNNNNNNNNNNNNNNNNNNNNNNNNNNNNNNNNNNNNNNNNNNNNNNNNNNNNNNNNNNNNNNNNNNNNNNNNNNNNNNNNNNNNNNNNNNNNNNNNGGUGCACGCAGGCGUCGCCGUCGAGGAGAUGGUGGAGGCCCCAGCGGAUGAUGUUGGCGUCCAGAUCUUGGUGGCCCCGCACCACCAUGGUUGCCCGGGGAUUGAUUGAUGAGAAUCGAACCUGCGACGGCUGAAGGAAAUCAUACUGCAUUGCAGUUAGUUAUCCCCAAGAAAACAAGAACCGACACGGAAUCGACUUACUGAAACACCCCUUACGAUCUGAGCUACCAAGCCGAGUCCCCUACACACAAGGCACAACAUGAGAAGAAAAUUAGAUCACAAGUAUAAUGCUACCACAGCGCGGUAGAGACUACAGGGAUUGUAGUAGCAGACAACAUGAUUUUGAGGAUUCUAUAUCAUCUUAUCAGAUUACCUGACCACCAACCAAAAGGACAACGGCCAGCCUCCCCUUGGAGNCUCUCAGCCCCUUCUUCCACCACCAUUCUUUGUCCUCCGGCGACCUCUCCUCCACCCUCGAGACGCUGGAUUCCAACAAGAAGUAGAAAAGCAAGCAUGAUUAGAAGGUAUUAUCGAAAAAGCAUAACCAAAAAAUAGGAACCACAAACUAUCUCAGAAAGAUUCCUCUGAAUUUAAAUAUUUUUAGUGUGCGCUGACUUGGAACUCUAUGUCAGUAAGCUUGUACCAAUUUAUUUUCUAGGUUACGAUCCAAAAAUGUUGCGAUAUUUACAUAAAUACUGGAAACAUAUUUAUAUUAUUAGAUACAAAAAGAGGCUUUGUGCCUCACAAGCACUCCAUCCAUUUAACACUGUAAAGUGCAAUAGCUGAUGUACACGUUUUUCAAACUUUAAAAUUUCCAUAAUUUACAAAAGAUAGUAUGAUAAGUCAAUUGAUGACCAGACAAUGCUUAGAAACAAUAAGAAAACAUACGUUUCAGAUAACAGUAAAGGUUAAUUUUAUCACAGAAUAUAUAUAACACUAUUACUGUAUCAGGGAGAAAUUUACCGCAUACUUCUCUCCUCCGAUGUUGCCUCCAACAAACUUAUAUAAAACUGCGGUAUGGCUUGAACCAGAUUUCCUGGGAGAAAAAGAUAAAUGAAAACAAAUGUUUUAUAGAUGUCAAUAGAUGGCCCAACAAUAACUUGGAAAAUGAUUUUUUUUUGAGAAGUGGAAAAAUAAAUUAAUAACAGUCACUUGAAUUAGAUUUGAUGUGUUUGUACACACCGACACCAGAAAUCUUGCAAAUUGCCAAAAAGGAAACCUACAUGUAUACCUUUCAUAUCUUCAUAACAAAAAAGGAGAUAUGGGUGCAAUGAUCAUGGUGCUCAGCUGUGACGUAUCUGCAAUAUUGUCUGCUGUCCCAUCUACAAUCUCUAAGAAAUUUACAGAAGUAACUAUUGCAAAAUGUACCGCCAGGAAAGCUAUAUGUGUUGUAUCACUUAAAUUUGUACAAAUGAUAACACAAUCUUCAGAUUGAUAAAAUCACAUCACCGUUGGAUAAAGAAUACUGCUAUCUGAGAGCGUGGAAAGUACGAGAAAUAGGCGAAAUUACUGUAUUAAAGGAGAGAAGUUGGAAAAAAAUACGAGCAUGGUUGUGAGAGACAUAUCUGGAGAUAAGUUAUUUAUUGUAGAGAAGCCUGCCGCCUUUCGUCAUCUCGUCGAAGAGCCCGUUGAUGGCUUCGUACCUCCUUGCUUCCUCACAAGCUCAAUCCGCAGAGCCCAGGUCUUGUUAAUCUCGAUGCCGGGACAAAACAAAAAUCCAAGCACUUAUUAUGAAUAUCAAAAUAAUGAGCGAUGUAGGCAUAUAUAAGCACUAUAUUCAUAUAAAAAAUCUAAGCACUUAUUAUGUUGCUAUUUGUGACGCCUUUCUUAUUUUAGCAAGAAAAUAAUGGUCCCCUCAUAUUAUUAAGUUGUAACUUUCGCAACCAUUAAAAACAUAGAUAAUUAAAGAUAUCAACUAAUUUGCUGUUAACAUGAAAUAAACAAUGCUCCAAAUCAAUGUGUACCUGUCUUAUACCUCGUCAACAAAUUGAACUCGUUGACAUGUCCCCAUUUUUAUCUCCGUUGUUGCAGUUGUUUGGUCCAAUGUCUCCAUGUAUCGCACUUACUAAUCAAAAGAGAAAGUUUGUCCGUCUUCAUAGUUCAUACCGAGUAUCAAUCAAAAGAUAAAGCAUGCACUGGAGUACUCAACAUCGUUAUUCCUGAGGGCACAUAUAUCUGCAUACCCAGAUUUCUAGCUAGUUAUCUAAGAUAGUAAAGUGACACUUGUACAAGGUAACAAAAAUCAAGCACACAAGGAGACUCAAAAGAAAGCUCUGGCCGACCAGUGGUCCGUACAUUUUGUGGUCUCAUGCCGGUUAGUAUUUUACUGUCUAGAUCCUUGAUUCUCUUGUCAUCCUGUUUUGGAAUAGCUUUAUGUUAAGAUUUCUUCUAUUCAUAGUUUGGUACGUAGUUGCGUACCCAAUUUUUUAUAGAAAAACCAAGCUAUUAUUUCAACCAUAUAACUAAGGGGAACACACCUAUGAAAUUCAUUGAUAACAGGAACAACAAAGAUCUUAAAAAAUGUCAUCAAAGAAAUAAAAAAGUGCAGCUAGGUAAUUCAAGCAUGGUAAAAAUACAAAUGCUUUAUUAAUAUAAUAUUUUCUAAUAAAUUCACAAAGGCAUCAUGAUUCUAAACAACAAUAUAUCUCCCGUUUCUGCUUUCAUUGAUCAUUGCCAAGUGACAGCAGCACAAACGUUGAAGCGACUUUCAGCCUCCAAUCAAACAUGAACAUGGGUUGAGAUUCUUUCUGAAUCAAUAUGAUUGUUCAUAUCAGUACAAAAUAAUCUUGCAUUCAGUAGAAGCGUGUAUGUUAAUGGUAAAAGAACUACAAGAUGAAUUAGCGGAUAUGGAUGAAUAAAGUACCUGGAGCCGAGGUUGACCGUGACAUGGUGUGGGAAGAGCAUGAAUCUAGUGAAUCAUCCAUCAACUUGCAUUUAGACAUGACCGAAGCUAAAUGUAAUGAACCAGGAACGGUAAAUUUGACUAAUCUUGUCCGUACAAAUCCACAAAAAGAAACACUGCAAAAUAGAAGAAAUGAAAAUAUCAAGGGUGGAUAAAAUGGUAGGAUCACAUCAUAGAAAGGAAAAUCCAACAAUAGACAUCACUAAAAAUCCCUAACUUGCAAGACUAAAAAGAUAUGGAUGAAUNNNNNNNNNNNNNNNNNNAUGUUAUGAAUUGAUGUUUUCUACCUGGGAAAGAAACUUGCAAUGGGGACGAAAGCACAAGACAACGAGGGUAAAGAAACUUGAUGUGAUGGCGGGAUGCUUAAUUCUGUAUAGAUAUUGGACUUAACGAUCGAAGAAUCAUAUUGGAAGAUUUAACCUCACACGCCUGACGCCACUGGCCAUGUAUGCCUCAGUCACUCUGUGUGCUAUGUAAUUGUGAACAUGUCUAGAGAAUAAACAAAACAAGGAAAUAAGAUCACGUGAAUGAAGAGACAAUUAUUGUUCUCUCGUGAUUGCUCUCGAAGCAAUAGCGGUAGCAAGCACGAGCAGAACAAAACAUUAUGAAGUGCAAAUUAUACAUGUCCCUUCUUUGAACAGUAGCAACAGCAGCUAGGAAAGCAUUACUGAGCCUUCCUCUCUCCCUCCUCUCCGAUUUCUGCAACUGCCACCGUCGUCAGCACCUCAUCCAGCAACGAUCUGAAUCCCUUUUUUCUCCUCACGUCCCCAUCCCCUGUAAGAUAUGGUGACUCUCUCGCAUUCAAGAUCUGCAAAAAAUCAUGUAAUGCAUAAAUCUGAUGCAUCGAUCCAGUGAUCAAAGAAACCAUUUUAGCUGGAAAUUCAAUUGGAUCAUUCCAGAGAAAGGAGUAGCGCGAGAUCCACAGUGGCAUGGGGAUGGCAACGCCUUGGGGAGAGAGAGGGAGUAGCACGCGCCACACCUCGUCUUCAUGCCGCCUCCUUCUAUGAUGCGACNNNNNNNNNNNNNNNNNNNNNNNNNNNNNNNNNNNNNNNNNNNNNNNNNNNNNNNNNNNNNNNNNNNNNNNNNNNNNNNNNNNNNNNNNNNNNNNNNNNNUGAUGCGCUCGAGCGCCGCAACGGGGGCAGUGAGCGGGGAAAGGUACAUUCGUGGAGGCGGGGGGGUUGAGAUCGGAAGCGUUGGCGGUUGAGGUCAGCCGCGGCGGCGAGUGGUGUGGCGGCGGCCUGGGCACAGGCCAGGGUGGUCCAGGGUCGACGGGAGGAGGCGAUGCGUAGGGUAUAAUUUUUGCAGCGAAUCGAUUUUUACUUUUGCGUUGCAGAUAAAUGAUGGAGCGCGGGUUGAAUAACAAAAAUUACUGGGGCUUUUUUAUAAUAAUGUCGUGGUAGGUUUUCCGACGAAAGCAAUAGCCGCUUUAUUAUUAGGUAGGUAUAGACAUCUACUGAUCGUACAAUACUCCCUCUAUUUCAUACUUCCUCCGUCCUUAAAUAAAUGUCUUAACCUUAUUACAAUUUUAUACUAAAUUAGUAUAAAAUUAAGACAAUUAUUUUGGGACAGAGAAAGUAUAAUGGUAAUAUAGUGCGUAUAUAUUUAAAAAAUCAAACUGUACAAACCAAGUUUAUAAAAAAGUAUUUAUGUCUGCAAGUCAAAAUAUAUAAAAUAUAAAACUAUUUUUAUGUGUAUAUUGAUUAUAUAUGCUCGACAUUCCAGAUGUGAAUGUUUUUUUUAAUUGGUCAUAGUUUGUUAAGUUAGAUUUUUACAAAUAUCUAUACGCUCUAUGUUAUGAAACAGAGGAGAAUACAUAGUUAAGACAGUAAAGCUUCUGCAAGCAAAUAAUUUCAAUGUGAUUUUGUUCGUGUAACAUGUGGAACCUGUAUCGAGCCAGUGAGCCGGUACUGUGUAGUGUGCAGAUUCACUAAAAAAAACUGCAGUGUGCAGAUCUGGAGGAAGGACCAGUGUAAGUAGGUGGACCGUCGUUGUGAACAUGAUAUGAAGUAAAUUCAGAGUACGAUCGAUCUAUCCAUCGACCACGCAAUGCGUCGUUAAAAGCAAAGUUAGGAUCUAUGACUAGUCUAAGUAUUAAUUUCCACCGAUUUUGCCAAAAGUAAUAAUAAUACUCCGUACCCACCGGCAUAUGUACUGAUCAGGCGGUGCAGCAAAGUGAUCAAUGCCAGCAACAUGCAGUGCUCUGUUAAUUAACUCCAACCCAGUGGAGUAUAUAUAAAGCAUAUACUCCUACUGUAGUGACUUCAUAUGGAGUACAUCACGAACAUUUGUAUGGAGUACGUAUAUGAUUCAUAUCAGUGACCUAAAACAUACUCCCUCCGUCCCAAAAUAACUGUCUCAACUUUGUACUAGCUCUAGUAUAAAGUUAUACUAAGUUGAAGACAUUUAUUUUGGAACGGAGGGAGUAUUUGUUUACCGUGGGAGUAUGAAUUUUUCUUUUAAUUAUAGUAAUAUGUUCCCUACACAUCAUAAAUAAGUAACUUUUUCGGUGUCUUAAGUCAAUUUUUUAAAACUUUGAUGGAGAAUUUUUAAAUCAUAUGUCUAGAUUAGCCUCGAAAGGCGUACUCAUUACAUUACAAUAUGUGUGAAUUUCAGUUUUUACUCCUUACUUUGACACUUUUCACAGUAAUUAGCGCACAAAAAAUCUCAUCCAGAUUGCCCUAUUUAACGAAAAAAGUCCUAGCGUUUUACUCCUAAAAUUUUGAGUGUAAUCUACCAGGUUGGUCUCGUACGUUUGUCUUGUUUAUUCUCGUAAGGGGAGUGAUCUGCGCCGGCGCGCCGGUCCAAACUUUCGGCCGGCCGCGCGCGAGCCGCGCGCNNNNNNNNNNNNNNNNNNNNNNNNNNNNNNNNNNNNNNNNNNNNNNNNNNNNNNNNNNNNNNNNNNNNNNNNNNNNNNNNNNNNNNNNNNNNNNNNNNNNNNNNNNNNNNNNNNNNNNNNNNNNNNNNNNNNAUGGUUGUAGCAAAAGUAAAAAACAUCGAUUGUAAGAAAAAAUCCGACGAACUGGAGUUGCAACCAAACGUAUAUGCAGCUUUUCUACUGGACAAAUGUAGUAAAAAAACGCUUGCAGCAAAUAUAACGCUGGUUGCAACAUUUUAGACGGAAAAAUGUUAUAUGCUUAGUCAGCGCUCAGCGCGCGGGUCGCGUGCGGCCGGCCGAACGGUUCGGCCGACGCACCGCCCAGAAACGUUUCCCUUCUCCUAACGGUUUUCUCGCACCCGAACCUAGUUUAGCUCCUUGAGCCGGACCCACGCCGUGUACAGUGACCCAUGUUGUAAACUUUGUUGACAGGGACUUUGGAAUCAGCAUGUAAUAUAAAGCAUCUCAAUUCAUGGCAUCCUCAUAUGGAUGCAUAGUUAAAACAUUAGUAAACCAAAAACUUUGGAGUAGUCAAAUCAGUUCUUAAAUUAUUAUUGUGAAGUAAAUGUCACCGAACAAUUGACCUACUCCCUCCGUCACAGUUUAGAAGGCACGGUUAAAUUACAUGUAUUUUCAUAAUAGACAAGGUUUAGGGCGGAUUGCAUUUACUCCUAGCAGCUAAUUAGUACUCUGUUGUACUACUUCUAUAUGCAUGCGUAGUGUGAAUGCUAUUUUUUAACACAUCUCAUAACCAAUCAAUAACCAUCUAGGUUCCAGAGAAUUUUCAGACACGCCUUCUAAACCAUGACAAAGGGAGUACUAUUAUUUUUGCUAGGCCCUCCAUGCCAUAAUACCUUUGAUUAAUUUUAUUAGUUAUUUUAAAUAAUUUUCGUAUUUGAAUAAAGUGAUAAUUAUUCAAACGCUAACAUUGAUAGAUUUAUAAAUUAUAUUGUUGGUUACGAGUUCCUUGAUGAGAUUGAAUGAAAAUCAAUAUCUGAGGCUUAUAUGGUAGUUAGCAGUUCUAGUAAAAAAAUCAUCAACUUUGAGGUCAUUUCACCUACUUACAUUUCAAAUUGAAAUUGGGACCAGAACUUAGUUUGAAUAUAAAUGACAGUCAAAUAACCAUUGGAUUUUUUUGGAAACAUUCCAGUAGUUGGAAUUAACAUAUACUCCUUCCGUCCCAAUUUUUUUGUCUUAAGCUUGUUUAGAAAUGAAUGUAUCAAAAUACUAAAACAUGACUAAAUACAUUCAUCUCUAGACAAAUCUAAGACAAGAAUUUUGGGACAGAGGGAGUAUAAAACAUGUGAAUAUUUCCAUAAUUUUUCUUGGUUUUUUUAGACUUUAUAAUACUAUAUUCAACUAUUUAGAAAAGUUGAGAAACUGUCUCUUAUNNNNNNNNNAAUAAAUAUGAAUUCUUAUCCAAAACCAAACUGGGCCUAAUCAGGCGCACUCGGCUUUUCUCCUCCUGAACCUUGCCUAGGAAAAUAAACAAGGCGAUGGCGACAAGAGUUUAUACCUUUAUAUGGUCCUUGUCGGCGAAGUCUACAAUAUUAUCAGGCCCACUGGAAUGUUCAGUAGUCUACAGUAGUAUGAACUUUAUGGUCCUUGUCGGUGAUAUUUACGUAGAUAGGGCAAUACCGCCUAGAAUAAAAGUGCUCUGCUUCUUCCUUUGAUGCAGUGGUGCCUUACUGAACAUCGCCAUAGAACGAGAGAUGUGGUGUCACCGCAGGUUUGAUCUUAUGGAUUUUGUGGUUCAACGACCUCUAAUUUUCGUGGGUCAUCCUCGGCCCAAGUUAAGGUAAGGGUAACUAAAGGGGUUUCCGGAAAUCUUCAAAGUUAGCCAAUUUUGUGCAGGUUCAUGGAGAGUGGUGCCGCUGCUCUGGUCUGGUCGUUGUAUCGCUGUAUCACGCUUUUGAUAGUAUCUCAUGUUGCAAAGAUUGUUACUUUGGAAGGGAUGCAUGAACACAACAUCUUCAUUUUAUCUCGUAUAAGAAUUAUAUGCAAGUUAGUUAUGUUGCCUUUGCUGGUGGUCAGAAAAUCAUCGCUUGAUUCAGUAAGUUGACCUCGGCAAGUAUUUCUUGUUCUUGCAUUUAGUUACAAAAUUACGAAUGUGCCAUGUUAUUAUCAAUGACGCUAAUAGCACUUGCUAAAAUUUCCAGCAUCAACAUGGGGCAUGAGACUAGUUUAUAAUCAUUCUUGAUAACAGAUAACAUCAUACAAAAUUAAGCUCAACACAUUAUUUUAUUGAUGAUUCGAUCAACAAUCUGCAAGAUGGAGGUCGAACACAUGCAGAAAGCAGCAACAGUAGACACCGAGUCGGCUAGCUGUGAUGAAGCUCAUAAGUAACUUAGUGAAGCCUGCAAACACAUAUACAAAGAUGCUCAAUGAUUAGUGCCACUAUUUGCUUACUAAUUAAAGAACAAAUGGCUAAUGAGUAAUAGAACAUAUAUUUCAAGUUAGUAGUGGAGGAUGUACUUGUUGCAGUCGACGCUGGUGCUGAUGGGGAAGGAGACGGACACGCCGCACUUGCCGGGGAUACCGGCGGCGUUACCCAUGCUGAUGCCCUUGAACGACCCGGCCAGGUUCUUCAGGCAGCGGCACGCCGCCUGCCGGUCGGCCGCGGUGGACGCCUUGCCGUUCAGGCUCCUCACCCCGCUGCAGCACNNN